rnacentral:lncRNA from 1 species
AAUAUGCCUUCUUGGAUGCCUUUUGCACAAACUCAUCAGUAGAGUUGACCCGAAUCUACACCAGGUUCAAAAGGCACAAAAACUCUUCUGCCACAUUCGACUCUCAAUCAAAGAAGCUUCUCCUAAACCUUGGAUUCCAGCAGGCUGUUAUCCCUGCUCCUGUUUCUGAAUAAUCCUCCACCUAAGCAUCCCUAUGAACCACAAACGCAAGGAAAAAAAAAAGGCUCAAAUCCUCCACCACGCCACUCAUCUGUCCAAAAUUUUGUUGUUUGACCAUUUGAUGUAAGAUCUUUGUUUGUUGUAUAAUGAGAUGAGAGAUCAAAUAUGAUAGAAGAAAGGAAAGAAAGAAGAGAUGGAUCCUUGGUAAUCACGCUAAGGUUCCUUGGCAAUCACAUCUAAGGGAAACAAUCACACCUUUAAGAAGCUAAAUAGUCACAAAAUUGUUAAUAAAUCUAGUCAUUAAAAUGGAAGACACAUAGGUUUAUAUAAGACUCAUGGAACUCCUUUUCCUAAUAAGACUAAGGCUCUUUUUCAUAGUUGGAAUAUAACUCAGUUUCUAAAGCAAAUUAGAACUAAAACUAAUAGAAAUUAACUAGGAAAUAAACUUCUAAAACCAAUUCUACAAAAACAGGCUCCAACUAAAACUAAGAAAUGCUAAAGUACUUACUUAUUUUUGUUGAAUAUUAUUCCCUAUGAUCAUUAUAAAUGGAGAUGUUACUUCUCACUUGAAAAUCUUCCUAACAGACCUGACCUCUUUGUAUCACUUUCUAGAGGUUGCAAUCAUAAGCCUCUCCAUCAACCUUGGAGCACCACUUCCCAGCCAUUUCACCAUACUUCCCCACUAUGACUCUACUCCAGAGGCAAUACAUUCACAAGAAAUCUCCAUAACCAUUUCCAAGGCAAUGCUUUAUUCAACAUUGAGAGCCCUUUGAACCCUAGUCCUCCUUUGUUCUUCUCGGAAGACAUUGUGCCUUAAUCGACUUGAUGAAACUUACCAUUGAAAGGCUCCCUGCCUUAGGUUGAAACCCACACGAGAUUGCAAUCAAGAAAAACCCACAAAAGUCACACGAGAUUUACGAGGCUCAAUUCCCUAACUUGUUUUUUAUUUCUUCUCUAAAUAACAAUACAAGACAUAGCUCAGCAAGAUCCCACAAUUUCUUUAGUGAGUUCAUGCUCUCUCAUGCUAUGUUUUGAGAAGACUCUCCCUCCCUAAUAUACCUUUGUAUAUUCUCUAUCUCAAGAUAAUUUCAAAAGGCAUUUUCGGUCUUCCUUUUCAUAGGUGUGACACCAACCACUCCUUAUGUGAUUAGGAGGAAGCAAUCGUAGUCCUUAAACUACAAUUAAAAUUAGAAUCUGAACUCUUAUUCAAACUCAAACUAUAAUCACAAUUUGAAUCCAACUCUUAGCUUUCAAAUGUCCUUGGCUCAUUCCUCCUCAUCCAUUUGAAAUUCCUCAUGUUAUUGCCUCUUGUAUCAAUCCACGUACCAACCCUUCAAGUUCUUGGUUUGCUGUGCAACACGUCUUUGUUGGACUUUCCCCAAUACCAAGACGUCUCUUUGGUGUUUUGCCUCAAGUGUGCUUGCUCUUGUGCCUUGAGUUAGUCUAUUCAUGUGCUUGAAUUACCCAUGCAUCUGAUUAGCUCUCUAAAGCAGCCUAUCACAUGCAUCUUGAUGCAACCCAUGCGCAUGCUAAGCCCUCUCUUAGCUUGCACAUCUAGAAACUUGCCUUAGUGCCAAUCCUUCCCCUGGUUCAUGUUUUGUUGCUCCUUGAGCGUAUUAAACAUGCUCAUAUGUGUUCCCGUAUCUGGAUCACGUCCAUUUCGAGGCAACCUGCUCUUGCAUCCGUCUUGUUGCUGCUAUGGUACCUUGCCAUGCCCAAGCCCUCUUCUUGGUGCAACAACCAAUCAUGACAUUGCACGCAUGAUUCCUCAUCUCCAUACACAAGGUAUUGUGCCCUUGUGCCAAGUCGUCUCAUUGCACAAGGCAUUGCACCCUUGUGCCAUUGUCAGGAGGGGGAGAUUACAUCGCACCAUGUGCCAUACAAGGCCAUGGCUUGCACGCCACCACAUGUCAUGUAGCCAAUGAUGCUAACAAGGCUUGCCCCAUGUGCCUUGCUCAUGUUUGAGGCCUUACACUGAAGCCCUUAAGUGUGGCCACGCCCAUGCCACCUUACCUCCCUCAAGUCACUAAAGUUCCCCUCCCCCCUUUCUUCUUAAAGAGCAUUUUAGGCCAUUUUGGAGGAGACAUCAUCCAUACUUGAGAAGGCAUAAUGAAUUUUAAUUAAGUCAUGAAUAUUUAAACAUUUGGCUUCAAGUAGAGUCUCCCUUUUGAAGUUUCCUCUUUAAAGGAAAAAUACCAUCAUGCCAUGCCAUGUGCUGCCCUUCGCUAGCCUCCAGCUCACAUUGCCUUGGUUAUCGGCCACUCAUGGAGCCAGGGUGCCGCUCCAUGAGGCAUUGGUGCCACAUACUUCAAGUCAAAGUGUUGCAGCUGGGAGGCAUUUUAUUUUUUUCUUAUUAUUUUUAGCUUACAUUCUAGGAAAAUAUGUUUAUAUUUAUGUGGAGUUCUAGAUUUGCUUGAAAUAUCCCAAUCCUUUCAUUAAAUGUAAAAUUCUAUUGUGUUUGGAACCAAUAUUGUUUUACUACUAAUCAGUAUAGUGAUGUUGUCUGAGAAUGCAGCAAGAGCGCCCUAGUCUUCCAGAAGACAUAUCCCCUGAUCUUGCAUUUAUCAUACAAUCUUGUUGGGUUGAGGACCCUAACAUGCGACCCAGCUUCAGCCAGAUCAUCCGCAUGCUGAACACAUUUCAUUUCAAAGUCACACCACCUCCAUCAUCAUUACUAGAAGAAUCUGACACCAAUGGAGCAGCAAUGUCUAGCAAUGGUACCAUGACCGAGUUGUCCGCACGUACGAGAGGGAAGUUUUCUUUCCUUCGCCAACUUUUUGCUGCAAAGAGGACAAGGAAUUCACAGUGAGCUGGUAAAUUUUUGAAAUUUUUUUUCUUUUUGUUCCAACUCAAAAGGGAAAUGGCAUGCAAUGGUAGAUAUCAUCAUAUUUUUAGUGAAUCUUAAUUGCGUAUGAAAUGAUGAUUAUUAAAGUACGGAAAAUGUUGGAAAUAAAUGGUGUUAAUGGGAGAACACAUUGGAAAUUAAGAAGCAAAAUAGAGGACUUGACCUUGUUGUAAAGGUGAGACAUGGUUUUAGAUGUUUUGUUCAUAUCAGUGUUAUCCUUUUGAAGGUGCAUAUUAUAGCGCACUUUUAGUGAUUAAAUUUCAAGUAACUUGUAGGUCAUCUAACGGUUGCCAUCAUGUCAAGCAAGCUAGUGAUCGAGAGGCAUAUUUUCAAAUUUGUUCAUAGCAGUGUUAUUCUUUUGAAGGUGCAUAUUAUAGCACAAUUUUAGUCAUUAAAUUUCAAGUAACCUGUAGUUCAUCAAACAGUUGUAAUCAUGUCAAGUAAGCUUGUUCUCAAGAGGCAUAUCUUAUUUUGAAAUUUGUUCAUAUCAGUGUUAUCCUUUUGAAGGUGCAUAUUGAAGGUGCAAUUUUAGUGGUUAAAUUUCAAUUAGGUCAUUAAACAGUUGCCAUCAUGUGUGAUCAAGAGGCAUAUCUUAUUCUUUGAGAAUGGUUUCUUAGAAACUGUCCUUGGUGUUUAGAUGGCUAAACUUGGGGUAUUAAGAAAAGUUUUGAUGCCAGGAUGCUUCUAAACAAGAAUAUGUUCCAUAGGUCGAAGUUUGUUGUGUCUCAAUGGUGAUGGAGAAUUGGGCAUUUGUUUUUCUCUAGGCACCCCGAUUGUAUAUGGGGCCAAGGCCUGUGAUUUAUAGAUCUGCAUUGGCUUUUAUCCCAUGACCCACUUCCACCUAGAAGUGGCAUCUAAAGAAUUGUUGUGCAUCCAAAUUUAAGUGGGGAAUUAUAACUUGCAUUUCCUCCAAUUUGAGUGUUUGAAUAGAGUCUGCAGUAUUGAUCUCAAACAUUAAAACAGGCAUCUGAGAGAUAGGGUGAAUCAUGCCAGCUGAUGGUACUGAUAACAAAUGGAAGUGUAGAGAAGCAAGGCUCAAUGAUUUGAUUUUAUUUUUUUCCAAGUUUGCUCAUGAAAGAUUACAGCUGUUAUGAUACAUAGUCGCAAAUGUUAUCAUGUGUGUGCUAAUGAUCAAACGUUUUCCCCCUAGAAAUUCUGGCAUGGUGUAAGAUUUAAAUUCCUCAGGUCAGAACAUCUCAGCGAGAUUGAGAGGGAUUGGCUUGUGGACCGCCGAAACAAUGUGAUCAAUUAUGGAAGAAUGGAUGAAUAUGGCACAUAUGGUAGGACCCGAUAGUAUUGAUAGGAUUAAGUGAUGUGGACAAAAGUUGGAAAAAAGUUACAGAAUCGACCGGCCUUACUUUCUGUCAAUUCAGGUAUUGAGUGGUAAACUCUAGCUAUGACUGCCCUGCCAACCACUGCUGUUCUUUGUAAUCACCACCCAUUUGCAGUGUAUUUGUGGGCAUCGACAAGGCAAAUGUACCAUUUUGUACAGAAACACAGUUGGCGGGACCAACAAACCCUCAAUUCCUUGAUGUGGAGGGUCAGUCCUUUGCAGUGAAGACGAGUUUCACACUUUUUUUUUCACCUCAAAAUCACUGAAUGAUUUCAGAUGAAAAUGAUGAUAUGAAGUUACUGGAGAGUAACUUUGAUAGCUCAACCAAUUUACAUUGCGGGGUCAAUGAUUGAUGCACCCUGUGACAUGAGGGCAAUGAGUAUGAGGAUGAUUGGGGUGGCCCAGGGAGUUAUUUUGGGUCUCAGACCACAGUCCAUAAUUUUUGAAGAGCUUACUUUUUUUUUUUUUUUCCUUUUACCGAUGGAUCAGCAGCAUUGCCCCUUUUUCCUUAAUGGUCGUCUUGAUUUGAUGCAAUUAACCACGCCGUUGUGAUGCUUCUGAGUGGCCUGAAAAUUGGGAAAACCCCAAAAGGCUUAAACUUCCACAAAAAGCAGCUCUUUUGAGGAGCUUAGGAUCAAUACGUCGACGACUACUUUUUUUCUUCUUAUCCUUCCUUUACCUUCUCCUGUCUAUUGAGCACACGUGCACCACGUUACUUUUUUUUUUUUCUUUUAUUGGAAAUACAAUUAAAUAAACUAUAUAUAAAAAAAAUGAAAUCAGUGGAUUGAUUGAGAAACCCGUAACAUGAGCGAAGAAGGAACGGUGGAGGUUAGCAAAUGGCUUCUUGAUAAGCAUAGAGGCAGCUUUCACCUCUUUUUCAUUAUUAUUAUUCUUUUAAGUUUUAAUUCAUCUUUCACAUUUCAUGACAAGGCCUUCUGUUUAACAGCUUUCUGAGAAACGUGUUCUUUGGUUUAGUUGACCCUCGCUGCCACCUCAUAUUUGAAUGAAUAGCAUCUAUUAUUUAUCAAUAUAAUUUUUUUAAAAAUAAUAAUAAUAAGAAAUAAAAGUCUUCAGGUAAUACGAUAUCUUCCAAACUUCAAUUAAGAACCCCUUCAUCCCAUUUUGUAUUUGACCUUUUUCCUAGGAUGAUAUUCCUACCCUCUCGAUUCCAGCAUUAAAACUCAAGGUUUUUUUUUUUUUUUUUGUAAUAUAGAAGCAUAAAAAUAAAAAAAAAUUAUGACGGGGGAUGUCACUCGUUGGUUAGAUAUAUUAUAUGAAGUAUUUAAACUUAUUUAACUUAUACUGAGAUAUCCAUUUAGUUAAUAGUUUGAAAGAAAAUUAGGUAUUUGAGAAAUUUUAGUCAAUAUUUUUUAAAAUAUAAAAAAUCACUUGUAAUGCUAGAAAGUUAUUAUAAACUUUAUUUAUCUUUUAUUUGUCUCCCAUCAUUCUUUUCCUAAAAGAGAGGUUUUUUGCGUUUCACAGUGAUUUAAAAUUUUUUUUUUUAAUUUUUUUAAUACUUAAAAUUUUUUAUCUUUCAAACAUAAAAAAAAGAAAAAAAAAUUAAAAAUAUUUUACAAAAUCACUAUUAAAUGCACUCUAACUUUUUUGGUAUCUCAAUUCAAAAGUGAUUAUGUACAUCUUGUGUUUACAACAAGAUCUAUAUCUAAAUAUUAAUAUCAAAUUCCUUACAAUGGAGUCUAUACUUGAUGUAGAGGAUUUUUUUAGUGAAAUACUAAAUGAUUCUUUUAAAAUAUUUAAUAUAUAUAUAUAUAUAUAUAUAUUUUAAUUAAAAUACUUUAAAUAAAAAUACUAUUGAUUGUAAUCUCUAACAAUAUCAACUAUAUUUUCUAACAACUUGAAAGUGUUUUUGAUCUUUUUUCUCAUCAAUGUUUUGAGUAAAAAUUGAAAAUAUUUUGAAAAAGUAAGUGCAUAUUAUUUUUAAGAAAAAUAAAUCAAAAAUAUUAUUUUUUAUAUGUAACUAAUAAACAAAACUUUCCUUUUAGAAAAAAGUGUGAAUUAUUUUUAAACAUUAUUUUGGAAAACUAUUCUUUGAAAGCGAUUUUUAGAACAUUCACAGGCAAGGCUUAGAAUUUGAUACUUAAUACUUUUCCACAUGACGUGGGUCUUUGUUCUCGCGGAUAUAUUGACGAGAAAUUGAUGACGACCACCAGGAAAAAUCAGCUCAAAUCAGCUCGUCCUGCGUCCAUGUUAUCUUUACCUCUUGACGGGCUGGAUGAGAUCUGGAGGUGGAUCUAAGGAAGUGGACGGUGUGGAUCUAGAGUAUACGUACUUGCGAAGAAGCAGCGUUACUUUCGUAAACAAAUAAUAGUUAAAAGACUGAGGAGUCAAUGCCUGUUUGGACAAUCCAAAAACACACUGUAGAGAGAGAAAGUAGACAGCAGAGGAAGAGAUGGGAAAAUCCUCCAUGGAUUCAAGAUCCAGAGGAGGCGUGGAGUAAGGGACAUUUCAUGGUUUACCGAUUCGAAUUGUCUCUGGAAUUUUUCAAAUUGAAAUGGGGUUUAAAGUUUUGUCCCUUAUGGUCAACUCAUCAAUGGAGAAAGGAGAGAAAACGGUUUAAUUAUCAGGGUUUUUAGGGAGAAUUUAUAUGAGUUUUUUUUUUCGAGGAAAAGAUAUGAGGAAUUGGGUUUUUGGUUUCGGUUUGUUUUGAAUGUGGGCUCACUUCUGAUCAGGGUGGGAUUGUGGGGAAUGUUCUGUGUAUUCUGAUAAUUGAAAGUCUCAAAAUUCGCUAGGGUUUUAGUUUAUGGUUCUGUUGUUUACAAUACUGGGUUUGCCUCUGAUCGGACUGAUUUUACUUCAAUUUCUAGGGCUGAUGAAAUGGGGGAAAAAGCUGUAGCCUUGCAUACAGCUUUGAAUUCUGUACAGGCUCUGGGCAGGGGCUUUGAUGUGAACUUCGAUACCAGGUUGCUCUAUUGUAAAGGGGGGGCAGGGUCUAGGGUGGUUGAGGUCGAUGAAGAACACACUAAGGAUUUGUGCUUGUAUGAUAAUUUACUUGUACCCAAUGUUUCUAGGGACAUCAAGAACUCCCAAGAGACCAAAGGCCGCGAGAUUUCCGGUGUUUUAAGUUUUCCCGAGGUAUGAUAUGGUUUCUUCUUUUUCAGUCUUGUGUAAUUCAUCUUUAUACAGUGUUGCUGAAUCAUGUUUUUAUAUUUAUAUGGAAAUGUAUAUGUCUUGUCAAUCAGGAAAGUUUUGUCGAAUCUAGGAAUUGUGUCACUUGCAUUCAUCUAGUAGUUCUAGUAGCAAAGAUAGGUUGUCUGUUGAAGUUUUACUGUUAUCAUUUUUUUUUUUUUUUUUUUUUUUGUCUCUUUGCCUAAUUGUUUGAUAAUUUAUUUGCUGUUUUCCUUUGAUCUUAGUUUUUUAUUUGAGAAUGAAAGAUGCUCGCCAAAUUUACUUGGUUUCAAAGAUGAAAGGCAGAAUAACAGGCUGAGAGUUACUUUCUAAACUUAAGAUUAUCACAUAGGUUGUCAUCAACGCUUGCUAUUGCAUUAAAUUGUUCUAACAUAUACAUAUACUUUUGUGAUGAAUGAAUGCAGAUGGUGGAAUACUUUAAUAAAAAGGCUAAUUUAUCAGGAAAUGUUCCUCUUGGUAGCUUCAAUGCCGCGUUUAGUUUUACUGGCUUAAAGCAUAUGGAUUCUGCAACCACAAAGAGCCUCUAUAUGGAUGCAUUUUUCAUUUCCCUUGCCAAGGUUCAGCUUGUAAACUCCCCACUAGUGUUGCAAGAAAAUGUCAAACGGGCAGUGCCAAGUUGUUGGGACCCUCCUUCUUUGGCAAGGUAUGGAUUUUCAAGUUACAUGAAGAGAGAUAUCCACGAUUUCAGAUUGAUCCCUAAUUUUUGCCUUUUCUUUUUGUGACAGCUUCAUUGAAAAUUUUGGUACCCAUGUUAUUACAUCUGUGACUAUUGGUGGUAAAGAUGUUAUUUAUGUUAAACAGCAUCAGUCAUCUCCUUUAUCAACCAUGGAGAUAAAAAAUUACGUUCAGGAUAUUGGAAACCAAAGGUUUUCUGACACAGAAAGCAAUGCAAGUUCAGGUCCAAUGAAAUUAAAGGAUAAGGCUAGUCCCAGAAUAUUUCUCUAUUCUUGUUUGCUUUUUUCCUUCAUUAAUUUGCCUGAAGUUCUUGAUCAUCAGUUACAUUUUUGUUUUGUUUGUGAAAAGUUUUUUUGUCUUUUGAAUUUCACAGAGUGUUGAUCCUUGCUUAUUCAACAGCCAAGGGAUAUACCCUCAACCCACUAGUGCACCAAUUCUCACUGGGAAAGAAGUAUGUAGCAAUCUUACUUGUUUAUUCUUUAAAUUGUUUUCACAGUUUGUAGGCUUACCCUUAUUCUGUUGUUUAAUUGCAAAACUCCAAUUUAUUGAUUAUUAAUAAAUAAAAAAAAGGAAAAUAAAUAUUGCUUUACCUUUAGGGUAAAUUUAACCUAGUCUAGAAACCUAUAUAAUCCAAAUAGAUAUUAAGUUUGGAGUUGAGUUUUCUCUUCUUAUGUUGUUUGUCAUUUAAACUGACAUUAAAAGUCAGGCUAUGCUCUGGUGCAAACUGGGUUGGGUUGGCUUAUGUUGAGGGAAUUGAAUCAAACUUGAGUUAGGUCGCUUUCAGGUUGGUGUUCUAAGGUAUCACUGAUUGGGUUCGGUUUGAUCCCACAGAAACUAAAACUGAAAAAGUGUUGCUGCUUGCUAUGUGACUAGCAAGGUGCAUUUAGUCAUUGACCAGAGGAAUCACCUUGAUACAUAGUUGUUAACUCAUAAAAUGUAUCGUGUAUCGUUUUUCUAUUUCUCUGUAUUGUGUAUUAUAAGUUUGUUUAUAUUGGGAAAAAUAAAUAGAAAAAAUAUGCAUAUACAAGAAUAUCUAUUGAAAGCAUGAAGUAUAAAGUAAUAUAUAAUCAAAUUUUGGAAGAUAGUAGGAUCUAAAGAGUUAAAAAAUAUCAUAUCAUAUGAAAACAUUGAAUGUUAAAGUUUUGACAAGUUCAAAUUAACAAAAUAUAAAUUUAAUAUGCAAAUUCAUCAUAUAAUCCACGAAAAUAAACUUCUUCAAUUUUUAGUUAUGAUUUUUUUGUUCCAAAUUCUAACCAGGCAUGUGCUCUUAUUGUGUUGUUAAUUGAUAUAUAUAAAUAUAUAUUGAUAGAUUCUUUUUGUUUUUUUGAUAGACUAUAUUGAUAGAUAUGCCUUUAUGUGUCAUCUUCAAAGUUCUAGCUUUUUAGUUUUAUCAUCAUUCCUUUUCCUCCAAAAAUGAAAUUUAAAAAAAAAAAGAAACUAAUAUAUUACGUAAAAAAAUUAUCCACUACUCACCAUCAUAUUCUUUGUCAACAUUCAAACCAUUAAAAUGAAAAUUCUCCAAUAUUCAUUGUAAAAAUAAACUUACUUGACUUCUAAUAUAGCAUUUGACAACAAAAAUGCAGUUUUUCAAGAUUAUUUUACCUAUUUCUCCUUUUUAUAAUCAAUUUUAAUCUUUUAGUAUAUUUUAAACAAUUAAUUAAUAAAUUCUUUUAGCAAAAAAAAUUAAUUUGAUUUUUUUUAAUUAUAGAAAAUAUAUGUAUUGUAAGAUACACUUUAAAACACGAUACAAAUUGUGAUACGUAUCAAUUUCCAUAAAAAAAUGUAUUGUAUUGUUGUAUCGUAUCGUGUAUUGUAAGUUUUUAGCAACUAUGCCUUGAUAUAAAAGUUAUUGUUUUGUAUUAAAAUGUAAACAUCUAUUUCUUGUUACUUUCUUAAAAGGAUGUUUACUACAUAUACCUUUUGAGUUUAGGAAAGGGAUACUAAAUGUACUUAGGCACCAAUAAUAAAUUAUGCAAGUUUUGAAGACUGAUAACACACUCAGAGGGAGGGGCUUUCUGAAUACUUCCUAUGUUCAUGGGCUAUGCCUCUUUUUCGAAUAGGUACUUUACUAAUACAACAAUUUAUUUGCCUAUCAAAAAAACAAUAACAGAAUCAUGGUUUACCUUUUCCUUAAAGAGAAUGUUUGUGGAUGAUUUGGAGGGAAUCGUAGUUUGUUAAAGACAGAGCUCUGCUGGCUAUGCAUUAGAUUUUGCCUCAUUUGCUAAAAGGGGUUCUUAGCAUUAAAUUCUGGAGAUUAAUAAUAAGGAGCAUUUAGUUUUCUCUUGGUUUUCUCCCAAAUGUUAAUAAAAUUUGCUGAAACCAAUCUUAAAAGUUCUUGUUCCUCUCUGUCAUGUGUGUGUGUGUUUCAAGAGAAUUUUUAUGAUCAAUAUGGGCAAAGCUUUGUGGAGGUUGUUUUAAUUUUUUUUUAAAAUAAAAAUGAAACACACCUAUGAAGGAGGUUUCUGCUGCAAAAUUGACAACUGACACAUGCAAUGCUUCUAGGUAAGAGAAACUUUUUCACGAUUUAGGUGGAGCCAGUUCACAUGUUUAAACUGCUGGUCCAACAUGAUUUUCUGAAUUUUUUUUCAUGCUUAUACUGAGGUAGUCAUUUCUUUUUCAUUUUUUAAUAGGAAAAUAGUAAUUAUAUGAAGUAGGUGUCUUAACAAAGAAAAUUCAUACUAGGUAAAUAUGUCAUUUACAAAGAGCACCCAGCCCCAAGAGUGGGGGAAGAAGGAAAGAAAGCACACUCUCAGCUAGCCCUUUCUUUUUCCCUGCUUCUUUUCUUUCCAACAGCUUGUAUCUGUUAACAUUUGUGGAUGAUCAAUUUUGCUUUAACAGCAGAAUGAGAAUUAUAGCUUACCCUCUAUUAUAUUAGUACCACCCUCUAGUGUCUUAUUUAUGAGCAGAAAGCUUCUGGUUUCUCUUUAAGAUGUUUGCGUUGUGUCUGUAAACCAAUGUGAAUAGCACCUAGGAUAUUUAGGGCUUCAUGGAAGGUUAUGUGAAAGGUAAUGUUAUUGUAUACAAGUUAUUAAUUAUGAAGACAAACUAAUCGAACAUAGUUUUACACCCUAGAGGGAGGGGUUUUGAAUAGGGUGUUAGUUAUUUUUUACAAUUGAUGAUAGAGACGAAUGCAAUGCAACAAUUUAGGUAAAUGACAAAUAAACAAUAGGGGGAUAAGAUAUCACAAACAACAAUAUAUGGUGGUCGAACAAUCGUCUACGUCCCCUCUCUUUGGCUUCUUCCCAAGUUAGGAGGUAUUCCACUGAAACCAAGGACUCCUUCAACCGAGACUCGUCAAUGUUUUGAUACACUUGGAUUAGUGGUUCCAAUGGUCCUUUAUAACUCCUCAAAGUGUUCACACGACACUUUUAAUAUUUUUCUCUCUCAUAGAAAUCACAAAGAAAUCUUUUAAAGGUUACAAGAGCGAGCACAAUAAGGGUUGAAGUACACUUGAAAGGGGUGCUAGGCUCUAAGGGUGCAAUCAAUCAUAUGCAAGUGAACAAACUAAUGCACUCUAAAUUGUUUUGGCACUCUCACAAAUGAAGUUGGAGAGACAUUUAUAUUGAUUUUGGGCACAACCUAGCCGUUAGAAACAAUUUCCCAUUAAUUCGGUUGACCACCAAGCUGGCCAUUGGCAUUAAAUGCAAGUUGCAGGUGACUGUUAUAGGCUAAACCUGCUUACUGGUCGACUGUUAUGCCAGUUGAAGGCACAUCGUUAGACACUACCAACAAGAGGGGAUUUGGGAUGUUACCAAUGGUGCAACCAAUACACCACCUGAUUGACCGCCCAAGUUCCUUACUUCAAAUAUAAUGAGAUCUUGUGGGUCCCAAGCUUUUGAACUUUGAAAAUUUUGAUCUCAUGAUCUUUUGAAAACCCUUUUAAGUCAAAAGAUAUUUCAAGAAUGUGUUCUGGUUUUGAAAGGAUUUAAAGUAAACCUUUGGAAAAGAUUUUUCAAGAAAUUUGGUCAGGGUCUAUACUUAAAAGAAUGGUUAAGAGUGCUUGAAUCAUUUUAUGAUUAUGCAUGAAUCUUUGAUUGGACUUAGGCCUAGCUUACAAGAAGAAAUAAAACAUUAACCUCAUUUUUGCACUAACAUUGAAAAUUUAAUUUGAUCAACAUAUCUUUCUUGAUAAGAUUUUUUAUUUUGCCUUACUAAAUUCUCCAACCUGCAUAUACUUAAUAGAAAUUAUUUUUUAUUUAUUUAUCUUUUUUUUUAUAGAUAUUUUUUCCCCCAUUGGGACUUGAACCUGGAACCUCCUACAAACCCUUCCCAUCCCUUUACCACUUGAGCUAGACCUCAAGGGUCACUUAAUAGAAAUGAUUAAAUCCCAAUCUUUUGUUUUUUUGUCAUCAAAAUUCUGAUUGAUUGCUUUGGAAAACCUUGUGCUCAAAUUAAUGACAAUUGGAGGUUUUUUAUCCUUCAUCUUUUGUCUUCUCAAGGAAUUUAUUUUGGAGCCCUUGUUAAAAAUAAAAGGAACUUUAAUUGCAUUGCAUUGAUAAAAUCAAGUAAAAAGCGCAUUGAGAUGCACAUUUGACCCAAUUUUCAUACUUCACUCCAUUUUUUGUACAUUUGAUUUAAAAUUCAACAAUCAACCUGAUAAGUGGGCUUUACGUUGUUUGUACGCAUGCUAUAUCAUCCAGUUAGGGGUUUUUAAGUCUUUAACACACACACUUGCAAGUAUUAUGCUGCUGAACUGAAACCUGAAUCCCUCAUUUUUUUUUAUUGGUUGUUGCAACUACUAAACUCAACAAAGCUUUUAACCAGAACUUCAUAGCAUCUAAAUCCUUGUACAUUUUAUUUAAAAUUUAACAAUCAACCUGAUAAGUGGGCUUUACGUUGUUUGUAUGCAUUCUAUAUCACCUAGUUAGGGGUUUUUAAGUCUUUAACACACACUUGCAAGUAUUAUGCUGCCGAAUUGAAACCUGAAUCCCUCUUUUUUUUUUUAUUGGUUGUUGCAACUACUAAACUCAAUGAAGCUUGUAAUCAGAACUUCAUAGCAUCUGCUAUGUAUAUCCCUUUUAACCAUUUAGUUCUAUCUAGAACCAUAUCCUACAUGUUAAUCCUUAGCAAGAGUAUCAUUUCUCUCUGCCUCGACCUACAUUCUCUUUGCCUUUUUCUUGUUCUUAUGGCAUCUUUGAGCUAACCCAAGUCACUCAUGGGUACGGGAGCAUCGAUCUUUGCUUCACCAUGGCCAAAUUCUCAAUCCCCUUUAAGAGGGCUUUGUCAAAAACAUGUACUUAUUGGUGUUGCACUGAAAAUUUAGUGUUUAUUAUUAUUAUUAUUUGAUGAUCAUAAAUAGUAAUUUGCAUGAGGCAGUAAGGGUAUGUUUGGAAGUUUUUCAAAAAACAAAAAAACAAUGUGUUUGACAAUUAGAAAAUAAAAACCAUUUUUCUAUUAUGAGAAAUUUUUGAGAACAUAUUUUAGUCGUAUCAAGUUAUUUUCAAUUUUUUUAAUGGUGGUUUUAAAAGAUAAUUAUACAAAAAUGGAGAGUGAAUGAAAAUAAACACUAUGGAUGAAAGUUACUUUUAAAAAAUAUUUAAAAACAUAGAAAACAGGUUAAGGACAUUUUAAGUUCUCAAGAGACUUUUGUUCUAUAAAUAUCAAAGAAUAACUUUCAAAAACAAUUCUCAAAAACUAUUUUUCAAAACUAUUUUUGAAAACACAUUUCAAAACAAUUCUAAAAAAUAGUUUUUGAAAAUUGUUCUUUAUUAUUUUGUAGAACAAAUGUUUAUUUGGGAAUCUAAAAUAUUUUUGACUUGUUUUCUAUGUCUUUAAAUAUGUUUUAAAAACAAAUUUUAUGUGCAGUAUUUAUUUUUAAUCAUUUUUCAUAUUUAUAUAAUUAUUUUUUAAAACAACCCUUAAAAAACAAGUGAAAAUAACUAAAAAAUAUUCUUUAAAAACAUUUUGCUUUCUGUUUUUAAGAAUAAAUAACCGUUUUUUGUUUUCUUAUCGUCAAACAUGUUUUUCUAUUUUUUUGUUUUUGGAGAACAGAAAAUUGUUUCAAAAAACAGUUUUCAAACAAAUCUAAAGGUUGAACUAUGGUGUUUGCACAAGUGGUUGAGCCAAAGUUAUGUACUGUCAGGAUUUCAGUACUAUAUGGUGGCUCUUUUGUUGACUUCUAAUUUACUGAUUGGCUUGUUGAAUUUCUAUGAGUCCUAGAACUCAAAAUCUUCUGGGCUCCUUGUUCAUGCAGGAUGUUACAGUCAUUUUCAGAAGGAGGGGAGGAGAUGAUCUAGAACAAAGCCACACCCAGUGGGCAACAUCUGUUCGGUCCUCUCCAGAUGUCAUUGAGAUGACUUUCUUCCCUAUCACAGCUCUUCUUGAAGGAGUAACUGGAAAGGAGCAUCUAGCUCAUGCGAUUGGUCUCUAUCUUGAAUGUAAGGCAUCUUAAUAAAUGCCCUCCUCCUCUUUUCAAUGAAUAAUAAUUAUAAAGAUUUUAGAAGGAUUCUUCCUGACUGUGAACUCAAAAAUUCUUAUUGGCUAAUCCUGCACAGACAAGCCUCAACUUGAAGAGUUAAGAUAUUUCCUAGAAUUUCAAAUCCCUCGGAUAUGGGCCCCCAUACAGGACAAGCUUCCUGGGCACCAAAGAAAGGAGCCUGUUUGCCCAUCUUUGCAGUUCAGUAUGAUGGGCCAAAAGCUCUAUGUCAGUCAAGAGCAGGUACCAUUUUCAUUUUAUAUCAUUUUCAUGUCUAGUUUUUAGAACCACCUGGUUAUUUUACCCUGUCGAAAAACUUUUGCCUGUUGAAGCUACAUAGCUAAUUAUUUUUCUUAUUAUUAUUUUUAAAUCUCUUUUAUGCUCCAUGGUGUUUUAUGAGGCAUUUGUCACAAGUGUUGUUUUUUUUUUCGAGUUUUGAAUUGGUUUGCUUUCUUUCAAACUUGUUUGAAACAUAAAAUCUUAUUAUCUUGAUAAAUGAAAGCACUUCUAUAGUGUGACCUUUCUGUGCAACCAACUCAUGUUGAAAUGCUAUGGAUAAAACAUUAUGGAAAAUAUAUGUUUCUUUGGGAGACUCAAAUACACCCUACUAGAUAAUUGAUUGGCCACCCAGAGAAACUCAGCUGGAGUUGCAGCCUUCCAUCUCAAGAAUUGACUUUGCAUAGGGAACCUCCCAUACAUCUUGUAGUUGGUAAUUGCUCAUCUUAAGGUCUACUCAUGAUUUGAUGAGAAUGUUAUGGCAUAUGUUACCAAAGAAACCAUCCUUGAUUGGGUAAACAGUUAAUCUUCUAAUUCAUUUUGCUUUCUAUCUUGCUAUACAUGCAGGUCUCUGUAGGACGUAAGCCUGUAACAGGCUUGCGGUUAUGCCUAGAAGGAUCCAAGCAGAAUCGCCUAAGUAUUCAUAUUCAACAUUUAGCAUCUCUUCCAAAGAUCCUCCAACCGUACUGGGACACCCAUGUGGCUAUUGGUGCACCCAAGUGGCAGGGACCUGAGGAGCAAGAUAGCAGAUGGUUUGAGCCUGUUAAAUGGAAGAAUUUUUCUCAUGUGAGCACCGCACCAAUUGAGAACCCUGAGACCUUCGUGGGUGACAUCUCUGCCAUUUUCAUAGUCACUGGAGCUCAGCUUGGGGUAUGGGAUUUCGGUUCAAGAAAUGUCCUGUACUUGAAGCUGUUGUAUUCUAGGCUACCAGGCUGCACAAUUCGAAGAUCAUUGUGGGACCAUGCCCCUAACGACAAGUUAAAGAAAGGGAUCACUACCGGCAGUAUUGUCAAUAAUGGUGACUCAAGUUCGGGUUCUAGAGAAAAUACUGGUAACAAGUUGGCAAAGUUUGUUGAUAUGUCUGAGAUGACCAAGGGGCCACAAGAUCCUCCAGGUCAUUGGUUGGUCACAGGUGGAAAGCUUGGGGUGGAGAAAGGGAAAAUUGUACUGAGAGUGAAGUAUUCAUUGCUAAAUUACUGAGUUUACUAGUAGAUCUAUCUCAUGAUGUGCAGCAUCAGCUGUUGGGUAGAGGCUUCCGCCCCCCCCCCCUCGUGUGUGUACAUCAUUGGCAUAAAGUAUGGCAGUCUUGAUGGACCAAGGUGUGGCAUAGUGCACUGAAACCAACAGGUUGAGGAAGUGUUUUGGAGUUUUGUGGAGUUUCUUCCUUCUUGGUGGUAAAUUCUGUUUUCUUGGGAAUUUUGUGAAGAUGGUAGAAGAUGUAUUUCUUUUUUUUUCCCAUAUGGGAUUUAUAAUGUGUCCCUGGAACAUAUGUUUAUAUUUUUAACAGGGAAAAGGAACUUCAUUUUUGGUAGCUGACAGUUGUGGAUUUAGACCAAAAUGGCAAGUUGCAACAACAGGAACAAUAUAUAUAUAUAUAUAUAUAUAUUGUAACUGGCCGUAGGCCAAUCCUUUGCUGAUAAAAUUGGUCUUGUAACUUGGCAACUAUGGGGAUAUUUGAUAAAAUAGUUUAUCACUUAUAAAUGACAAAAAAUAAAAUAAAAUAGGGUUGGUGAGUCAUUUUUUUAAGUUGGGAAAAGUGGGAUUUGAUUUACUAAUAUGAAAAUGUAUAAAAAAAAGAAUUUCAAAUUUUUUAAAUUAGUAUUAUUCAAUCUAUUUAAAAAUAAUUUAAAAUAUAUACAUUUUUUAAUGAGUCAUCCAAUUAUUUUUAAAAAUAUUCUUUACUUACUAUAUAAUCCAAACCAAUCGAAACUCCUUCAUGUAAAUGUUUUUCUUCCUUUUAGAUAUUUUAUUAUUUUAUUAUUUGAAUUUUUUUUUCUCUUCAAACAUUAUAUGAUAAGAAUUUGACAAAAAAAAGUUUAUUCUAAUAUUAAUAAGUUAAAAAUAAAUUCAUAUUCUUGAUAAUAAAUAAACCAAUAAUAAAUUUGUAUUUAUUUUAUAAUAUUAAUAAUCGUUUAAUAUAAUAGAGAAAAGAGUUUUUCAGAUAUUAAAUAUUUUACAAUAUGGUUGUAUUUUGAUAUAUAGUAUAAAAAUAAAUAAAUAAAUAUUUUAUAUGAAAUAAAUUAAUCAUAAUUAAAAUAGUUAUAUAUUAUUAAAUUAUUAUUUAUUAUUUAAUAAACAACCUUAUUACUUUUUAAAUUGGUAAUUAUGAUUAAAUAUGAUUUGUUUGAUAAUAUUUCCUCUUAAAAUUAUAGGAAAUAAAAAAAUAUUAAUCCUAUUUAAAUAGGAUUCUUUUUUUGCACAAUAUUUCCUAAACUUUUAGGGGGUGUUUGGUAUGUCGGAAUAAGGAAUAGAAAUAAUAUUUUGUUUCCUUUCCUAUUUUUUAGUGGAAUGGAAUGAAUUUGAUGAUUCCAUUUCUAGUAUUUGGAUGAACUUAGGAAUGCAAGAUUGGAAUGAUUAUUUGUUUCCAUUCCAAUGUUUGAUAACAAUAGGAAUGAAAAUGAAAAAGAAAUAAAUUUACAAUAACAUCCUUACAUAUAAUUUAAAAUAUUUUUUUAUUUUUACUUUUAUUUUAAAAAAAUAAAAUUUGAGAGGUUUUUUGUUAUUAAAUAAUAAGACUAAAAAAUAUAUAUAUACUCAAUAAAUAAAAAAUUAACCAUAAAAAAUCGUAUAACCCUAAUGCACAAAUAUUCAAUUAUUAUUUUAAUGGUUUGUUUACUGUUAAAUAGCAAUGAUAUGAAGAGAUCUUCACUGUGGCCCAUGCUAAAGUUCCAAAAUGAGCCGGAAACGCAGCAGAUUUUCUGCGAGAUGGCAGAAUCCAUAGCUUUAACUAGGAAAGGAAGACGCUGAUAAUAAUAAACAAAGGGGGAAAAAACCAAAAGUUUUGUUUUUGUUUGUUUUUUUCUUUUUAUUUUUUUCCUAACCAUUAAAAAUUUUCAAUAUUGUAAACACGUGAAAUCGAAAAAUCUUUUUCCAACCAUUUCAAUUUUUCUCUCUAGUUUCCAUUAAUACAAGAUAAAGAAACAUCAAAGAUUCCAAACAUAAAUUAAUAAAAAAAAAUAAUCGAUUUAUAGAGAAGAAGAAACACAUAUAAAGAAGUAGAAGAAGAAAGAGAAAAUAAGGUAAACCUGAUCGAAGAUGUAGAAGGGAGUUUUCAAAACCUAGUUGCAGCAAACAAUGACGAAUCCUAGAUCCAACAAUCAAAAUGAACAUCCAAAACCCUAUAAAUUAGAAAUUGAUUUUUUUUUUUUUAAAAUAUCGUGGAAGGUUUAAUUGAUUCAAUUUGGAAGAAUCACUUGUUGCAGAGAAUUGGAUGAUGAGUGGGUCUCUAGCUUUGCAAAGAAGAUAAGAAGUGGAUGAUGAAUGGAUCUCUACCUUUACAAAGAAGAUAAACAUCGGGUUUGAAAAACAAGGUAAGAGGGUAAAAUAGUAAUUUAGGUUAUUUUAUAUUAUCAAAUAGGUUUAAUGAAUCAGAAUACCACCUACUUUUAAUUAAUGCAAAUCCGACUCAUAAGUUGGAUUUGAUUUCUGCCGGAAUAAUUUUUUAUAUUAUUUCCGCAUUCUUAACAUUUAUCCAAACAUAGGAAUAAGGGAGAAAAGGAAUGAGAUGUCUAUUCCCACUCCCUAUUCCCGUGUACCAAACACCCCCUUAAGAAAUUAAAAUAAGAAUCUUAUGAGGUGUUUGUUUCUAAAGAAAAAAAAAACCAAAUAAUAAUAAUAAUAAUAAUAAAAUAUCUAAAAGGAGGGGAAAUAUCUAUACGGAGGAGUGUAGUUGUUAAUGAAUUUAAAUGGCAUGACAAAUAAAAGGACAUUUUUGGAAAUAAUUGGAUAACUUGUUAAAAAAAGCAUGUAUUUCAAAUUAUUUUUAAAUAGAUGAAGAUAAUAUUAAUUUUAAAAAAAUUGUUUUUUUUUUCCAUAUAUUUUCAUAUUAGUGAAUCAAAUCCCACUGUUCCCUUUUAAUUAGGUUUGAUUACAUAAAUUUUAAACUAUUUGAUAUAAUCAUCAUUCAAACUAUUGAACUUAUUAAUUUAAUAAAAAUGAUUUGAUUAAUCCUUUAUAACAAACAUGAUCAUUGAAUUUUUAAAUUUUACAAUUUUUUUAUUUCAUAUUUAUCCUUUUAUAGAAUAAAGAUUUUUAUUAUUAAUUAAUACUAUAAUAUAUUUCCUUUUAAGUCAAUUUUAUUAUUAUUAUUAGUUCUUUAAUAUAAAGAAGUUAAAUUCUAAAAAAAAAAUACUGGUUUUAGUUGACAUGGAAAUUCUAUUGAAUCAAAUUUUAUUUUUUAAUUGAUUUAAGUUAAGAUUGAUUAUUAUUUUUUUGGUGAAAAACUGCUAAUUUGAUUAAAUAAAUCACCCAAAAGGGGAAGAGAAAAUUGAGUAUUAAAAACUUUCUAAAGCAACCAAUUAAUCACAAAAAGAACAAGAAUUACUAAACAAGACAAUAAUUAAGUAAAUGAUGAGGAGAAGAAAUGUGUAAACUCUUUUAUAGUGAUUUGACAAUUUGCCUAUGUCCAUUCUCCUUAAGCUCCUAAUUUGAACGAGGGUUCCACUAUUAAGCUUCUAAAUCAAGUCUUCAAGCUUUAUAAUUAGAUUUAUGGGCUCCAAUGGACACUUAAAAUCUCUUUUAAGUGCUCCACCUACUUGAAGCCUCUUUACUCAAAAUGAGUAGGUAAGGGGGAUUUUAAUACUUCCAAUCAUGGAUACAAGUAUGACUCACAAUACAAAGGAAACUAAGAUGGAUUUGAAAGGUGCAUUAAUAAGAUUAGAAGAUAGAAAUCAAUGCACUUUUAAGAAGAGUUAUGAAUGUGAAAAAAGGGUUUUUUUAUUGAAUACAAUUGUUUUCUCAUCAACAAAUGUUCUAAAACACUUCAAUUUCUAGAAAACUAGUUUAGGAACUCAAAAAGCUACAAAAAAAACCCUUGACUAAUUGAGCUCCAAUUCAAUCGAUUCACUAGUCGUUGGGCAUUAAAUGUAAUGUACUUCAAAUUACUCUUUUCCCAAGCCUUGGAACUCAUUAGGUGCAUGCAUCUAUUCCCAAGGCUAUUAGAUCCUAUGAAUAGUGGAAAACAAUAACAUUUAAAACUUUAUUAGAUGUAGUAAAACAAGUUAGGAGUGCCCACCUAGAUCUAGAUUACUCUAAUAGUUGAAGAUAAUCUCACAAACCAUCAAUUUUCUGCCCAAUGACUCUUUGAAGUUAAACAUAAAGAUGGUGAAAAUCUCUAAAAGUUUGAUGUUAGGAUUUUCUCUUUGUAUGUAAGAGAGAAAAAUAAAACAAAAUAAGAGUUAAUUCUUAACCCCAUAAGGGGGUAUUUAUAGGCUUCCUAUUUGACUUAAGUGACUGGAAAACAAUAACAUUUAAAACUUUAUUAGAUGUAGUAAAACAAGUUAGGAGUGCCCACCUAGAUCUAGAUGUUCUUAAAUUGAUUCCUUCUAGUGAAGAUUGUCAUAGAAUACUCUAAUAGUUGAAGAUAAUCUCACAAACCAUCAAUUUUCUGCCUAAUGACUCUUUGAAGUUAAACAUAAAGAUGGUGAAAAUCUCUAAAAGUUUGAUGUUAGGAUUUUCUCUUUGUAUGUAAGAGAGAAAAAUAAAAUAAAAUAAGAGUUAAUUCUUAACCCCAUAAGGGGGUAUUUAUAGGCUUCCUAUUUGACUUAAGUGACUUGAGCCCAUUUUGGACUUAGGUCACUUAAUUUAAUUGAAAAUGGUCAUAAUUGAUUAAUUAACUCAAUAGGGUUCUAAUUAAUCAAUUAGACCAGUUUAGAGACAUUGUUCACUAACCUUUGGGCAAUUUUACAUGAUUAUCAAAAUAUCCUUAUACACAUAAGUAAACUAAAACUGAUCUAAACCUUAUAAACCAUGUCAUCAAGGUAUAUGAACUCAAACAAGGACCAUUGAGACCUAUAAGAUUGUUCUAGCUCCUUCACAAUCCAAUUUUGAAUUCAACUUAACAUCCUACUAUAAAGAAACAAUUGUACUCUAGUACUUUAUGUUUAUUACAAUGGGAUACUAAAUGCUCAAGUUUGUAACCUACUAUCCACUAUAUAUAGUCUUCCUAUGAACUAGUGUGUAUAAUCUGACAAGAUGAAAACUAUCAGUCUCUUGAUAUUACUUUUACCAUCCUUGAGUUAUAGAUUUUCCUAUUGUAUGAUCAUUUGACAUGUCUUAACUCAUAGAUAGAUUAUACUAAGUUAUACAUAAGGAACCACUAUGACCAUACUUUAAUGAAUACACUUCCUUAAAAUUACCCAAGAAGACACAUUGUCUCAAUCUCAUGGUGCCUCUUAUUAGUGUAUUUUAAUUUGUUGAAAAUUUUGUUUGUUUCUUACUAAAUAGAUGCAACUUACUUCCUUAGGUCUUAUCUAUCUCAAUGCAACUUCGAACUUCAUCAAAGUCAUAUUUAAGGUCAUUUAGAGUCAUAAAAUUUAAGGGAAGUAUGCAUUUAUGGUUGACAAAAGUUUUUAGAAUGGCUAAUACAAGAAAUUAUGAAGUAUACUUUCUAUUUCCUAAUUUAGUUUCUAUUAUAUUUUUAAUUCCAAAAAUUGUUUUUAAUAAGUUUUAGAAUUAUGUUUAUCUUCAAAUUUGUAUUUGAUUCUAAAAAACAAUUUUCAGAAUAUUUUUUAGUAAGUUUUAAGAUUAUGUUUAUCUUUAAAUAUAUAUUAUUUAAAAAUAAGUAUAGAGUUUUAUGAACCCUAAGAGAGCAUAGCCAUUCUUAAAAAAAAUUGAUCAUCUAACUCUCAGACUUUUAAAAUCCUUCUUGAGAAUAACUUUUGACUACAACAAAGGUAAGAGAUCUCAUCGCAAAACUUUGAUAAGGGCUUCGAGAGAUCUAUUAAGGAGCAUAGGAGAGUGUUGCAUUGGGGGCAUAGAAAAGAAGUGUAGGUGAUAAUGAUAUAAAACCUUAGGGAGUAGGUAAAUCUGAUCAAAUAAAAUUGUGUAUCAUUUUCUCAUAAUUCGUGGAUUAUUUAGCAAUUGAGGAACCAAUCGUGGUUUUUUACACCUAACAAGUUGCUAGGUGGCUUUUCCAUAUUAUAUCCUCAUGUUCAUUUGUGUAAUUGAUUUUAUUUAUAUUUGAAUGGGAUUGAUUGCUCUCAAUAAAUAGUUAAUGUAAAGAAACAAACUAAAAAUGUAUAAUAAAGUAUUCAUUUGAGGAUUAAUUCAAACACUACCUAUUCACACCCUUCUCCUCCCCCUUCCCCCCAAAACUCUUUUUUCUAAAUAAUUCCAUUAUAUCAGGACUAGACAUUAAAUUUCUUUCACCUUUAUUGAGAGUACCUAUUGCUAUUGGCUUCCAUCAACAAUGAUCUCAUCCAUAUGGAAUAUAUGAUCAUUUUAGGAUCUCACCUGUAGGACAAAGCCAUUGUUAACUUUGACAUAAACUUUGUAUUCUCUCAAGAUUGAAAGAUAAUACAUCAUAGCACCUUGGUGAAAUCAUGACUACCCAUGUACCCCACCUACUUGAAGUCUCUUCACUCAAAACGAGUAGAUAAGAAAUGUUUUAAUACUUUCAAUCUUAGAUAUAAGUAUGACUCAUAAUAUAAAGGAAACUAAAAUGAAUUUGAAAGGUGCAAUAAUGAGAUUGUAAGUUAGAAAUCGAAGCACUUUUAAGAAGAGCUAUGAAUGUGAGAAGAAGGUUUUUCUAAUUGAAUGUAGUUAUUCUUUUAUUAAUAAAUAUUGUAAAACUCUUUAAUUUAUAGAAAACUAGCCUAGGAACCCAAAAAGGUACAAAAGACUCUCAAUUGGUCGAGUUCUAGUUCGAUAAGUUGACUAGCUGUUGGACAUUAAAUGUUUUGUAGGUAACCAUUAGGGUUUUUUUAGCUCAACCAGAGGUAUUGAUCCUCAAAAGACCUUUGACCGAUCGAGCUCCAAUUCGACAAGUUCACUAGCUGUUGGGCGUUAAAUGCUUUGUAGGUAAUCAUUAGAGUUUAUAAGCUCAAUCGAAGGUAUUGAUCCUCAAUUGGCCAUACUCCAACUACUAGAAGAGAGAAAAAAAAAAUUGCAACCUCGACCAACCCUCAAUUGGUUGAGCCCAAUCAAUUCAACCAAUUCCAAAUCGUUUCAACCGAUUUCAUGCUUCCUCAACCAAUUCUAGGCUUCCUCAACCAAUUGCACUUUAAAGUGGUUAAAAAGAUCUGGUUUGAGGUUUGAAACUUUCAGUAACUUGUGUUGCCCUUCUUCAAACCUUUUAUAGUGAGUUUAAACAUAAUUUAGCUUAAUGUUUUGAAUUAAAACAAAGAAUCCAUUUUCUUGAUAACAACAUCGUUUAAACUUUAGAAAAGAUGAAUAUAAGCUUUUAAGUGCAUGAAGAAUAAUCUGGACCUAAGUGCACCAAUAAAUAACAUCUUACAAGUUGUCUUAAGUCAUUUCAAGUCUUCAAAACUUCCAAGACCUCAUGGCAUUGACUUUCCUCCAUAAUUGCUCAAGUUUUCUUUAGUUUUUCACAUUUAAACUUGAAAACUUCACUUGAUUUAAGUCAUUAAUAAACUUAACCUUGUUUUAUAAUUAUCAAAAUUUGAUCAAGAGAACCUUUGGGCUAACACUUUCAAAAUAAAAUCUUUUAUUUUUUAGUUACGUAAUAUGAUAAAAUAAAAGUAGAAUUCCAAAUAAACUCUAUUUAAUUUCGUUGAUAAGGACUAAAUUUUUAUUAUAGGAUUAAUGAAAAAAUUAAAAAUCUAGAUUAUAUAUAUUUUAAAUUAUUUUGAUAGAAUAAAAUAAAAAUUAUGAUGAAAUAAAUUAAGUAAUACAAUAGUUUUAUUUACGAAAUGUUAAUUGUGCUAUGUAAGAUUUUGUAUAUUUUUGUUGCAAUUUUUACUCAACAAUAUAUUUUUACUAAUUCCUUAUUAUAUAUUAUUUAAGAAAAUACUAUAUUUAGUUAUAAAAAAUGAAAAAAAAAAAUAGAAAAGUGAAAUAGAAGGAAAGAAAAUAAUGAAUAAAACUUAUUUUGCUUCAUCAUCCUUAAAAAUUUGAAAGAAAGAAAUUUAAAAUAUUAAAAAAAAUGCAUUUUCUCAAACUUUCCUUAUUUUUUAGGAAAAUGUUUUAAUUUUUUUAUAAUCUUUUUUUUUUCUAUUUUAGCAUUUUUUUUUAAACCCAACGUAAUCUAAAUAAUUUUUAUUAAAAGAAGAAAAUAUAUUAUGAUGAAUUAAAUGAAUAAUUCUCUAAUUUUUAUUAUUUAUGAAAUAUUAUAUUUAUAAUUCAUUUAUUAUUUCAUAAUUAAGUUAUUUAAUAUAAAAAAUUUACUAACAAAAGUGUUGGAUUUACAAGAAGUGUACUGAAUUUUUUAAAAAUAAAAAUGUACUUUUUCUAAAAUAAAGACUUUAUUAUAUGUAUAACUAUAAAUAAAAAUUUAUUUAAUUAAUUUUAUUAUAAUUAAAAAUUUGAAGUUAAGAAAAUAUUAAAUGAAUGUUUGAUAUUAAUUUUUUCCUUAGAGGGUAACUGCCAAUAAAAUUUUUAAAUAUUUAUACUUACUUUAAAAAUAAUUGAUAAUUAAAAAACAGUUCUUGCAUUUAUGUAGGAUAAAAAAAAUAUUUUUUUUUUUAUAAUUUUAAUCCUAACAUACAAAAUUAUAUUCUUAUAUUUUUAUUUCUUUGAGAUAUCACGUACAUUACUUAACUUUUAUAAAAUAUCAUUUAAGAAAAGUAAAAAAAAAUCAAUAUGUUAUUUUUUUAUUUAAAAAAAAAUUAAAUAUUUUAAUUUUUUCUAUUUCAUAAAAAAUUAAUAAUAAAUCGUGAAAACAAACACCAGUUUUGUGUAUAAUGGCUUUUAAAAGUUGCCAUAUAUUGUAAAAAAAAAAAAAAAAUUCAAAUUACAUUCAGUACAGUUAAGAAUUAAGAUAAUACCAAAUACUUGUUUUCCCUAUUAAAAUUCAGCAUUAAUAUUUUUUUUGUAUUUAAUUUUCAAUUUUAUGGAACACCCACUACAUUGCACCUCAAUUCCAAAGAAGAUAAAAUUCCCAUUUAUUUCGAGUGCCUCAGAAAAGAGGCUUUGUACCAUGAGACUAUUUAAAGAAGCUGCCGUAAUUUAUUGCAAAAUACUUCGAAUAGAUUUGAGUUGAAGGGACAGGACAAAUAAAAUCCAGUGUAUGUUGGCUCAGCAAAUGUAAUUGACCCGCAAUUUGGAAAAGAAAAUCCACCACCCCACUGGUGAGGUACUAUAAGAACACUAAAGCUAUAAAAUGACUUGCGGAUCAUUAACCUAGAACUGAGCUCCUUCAAAAGUUUGUCCAAAUUUCCAAUUGGCUGGCACUACAUCGUUGCUGGUCACGGACUUGCCAUCGCUGGUGGUGACCUUGAAGGAUAUGCUUUGACCAAUCAGUUUGGCGUUGCUCUGCCAGUUUUGGCCCCAGUUCCUAGUCAUGGUUUCCCACCCUGUCCCGGAUCCUUUAAUGGAGACGGCUCGGACAUCCCCUGCACUACCCACAUUCGAUAUCAAUACCAAGAUGAAGUCGGGGUUGCCGUUCAUGGUGAACCUUAUGCCUCCUUGCACAGCACACGAAACCCUUCUGUACAGUACCGGAACUAUCCCAGCCUUAUACUGCGCGAUCUUCAAGAAGGCAGGCUCCGACAAGUCGAAGUGUUGGAGAGGGGGGUUGCACCACCCACCGUUGUCAUUAGGUUUACUCGGGUCCGGCGGACAGUUGUUGGUAGCAGUCACGGUGACGGUGCCUGCGAUGCACCACUGUCUGUCGUUGGUGCACUGCAACUCAUAACACGACCCGCAGCUGUACCCAUCGUUGAAUAGAGCAUUGCUUAGUGCUGCGGUGUAGGGACCGUAGCUCGUAGCGGCACCAUAUCCACAUGCUCCCCCUGCAGCCACCACAACAUUAAUAAUCCAUGAAAAAACAAAUGAUCAUACUGUUUUUUUUUUUUUUUUCAUUAUGUGGCACCUUACUUAUACUUACCCAUAUCUUGGUUGCCGUAGAAUGUGGCGUGGGCAUUCUGCCACCCACCACCGUCACUGUAAAUUCUUGGGACAAAUGAACUGAAGACAAGGAAGAAGACAAGAGGCAACAGAAUAUGGAUUAUUGCUUUGACGGCCAUUGUUGUAUUGUAAGCUUGGGUGGCUUGGUACAAUGAGGCAUUCUUGCCACAUAAAUAAGGGAAGAGUGGGGGAGGAGGAGGUACGAUUGUGGGAUGAAAUCUAACUAGUGAGCGGUUAUUGUACGGUUGGGCCGGCUAAGGAGCCACCAAUCUCGUGUAAUCUUCCAUGCAUGCGUCUCACUAGGUGGAUGGGUCAAAUGGCAAUUGUUUGAUCACGUUAUUCUAUCUUCAUUUCUUUAUUAUUAUUGUUUCCUUAAUUAUAUUUUGGCAUGGAAAACUUAAAAGAAGGAUGGUUAAGCUUUUUUUUUUUUUCUUAUUUAAUUUUUUCUCCUUAAUUUCCUUUUCCUUUUAUUUUUUGUCUUCCUUUUUCUUUUUCUUUUUUCUCUUUUAGCUUACUUUCCUUUUGUUUCUCUGAUUUUAUUUUCUGUAUAUAUAUGUUUUACUUAUUUAAUUUUUUAUUAUUAUAAUUUUUUACUUUUUUUAAAUAAAAAAAUUUCCUUGUUAGCAACGAAUGGUAUAAUACACAUUAUCACUCUCACAUGGUAUAUUCUUCCACUCAAAUUAAGUCACUUGUAUUUAGAAAAAGAAUAGUUAAAAGUAACACAAAUGAAAAUUUUUAAUUACAAUAAAACCUAAAUGAAUAUUUAAUAAAUUAAUAAUCCCAAUUAAUAAAAAAAAAAAUUAAUCUCAUGGUCAAUAUACUAAAUUAAUAAUCUUACUAAAUAUAUAAAAUAAUAAUAUUUUAAAAAAUCUUUAUGGCAUAAGAAAAAAUAAAUUAACAAUCAAUUAAGUACCCACAAACUUGAAACCUUUUUAUGAUAUUAAGUUUUGAUACCAUUUUUUUUUUUUUUCGCUUCAGACUCUUUUUGUUUUUUAUAAUUAUAAUUAAUAAGAAUGAGUUUAUUAGACUUUUAUAUAUUAAUAAUAAUUUUUUACCAAAUUCAUUGUUUUUAAAUUUAUAUGUACUAUAGGAGAAACGUAAUACUCUUUGUAAGUUAAUAAAUAUGCGUUUGUUGGUAAAUUAGUAAUGCUCUUUGUAAGUUAAUAAAUAUGCGUUUAUUGGUAAAUUAAUAAUCUUGCUAAAAUAAUAAUUAUUUUUAAUGUCGGGAAUAUUAUUUUAGAUGGGUUUUUGUGUAUGCCCAAAAUCAAGGUUUUCGCUUGACUCCUUCAUUUUAUCUUUUCACUUGUCAAUAAUAUUUGGACUCAUAUCAAUAGUUUUUUGAUAAAUAUUUCCAAUCAAUAAAUAUUACCUCCUUUAAAUAACCAAUGAUUUUUUAAAAAAGAUAAAUUAAAAUUAAUUCAAGAAAAAAUAUGAAUACAGAUAGAUUUAGAAAUAUUUUUCAAAAAGGUUUCUUCAUGAAAAAAUUGUUGAAAUAUUUUAGACGAAAAUAAAAUUUAGAUAAAAAAAUAUUUAUUUUUAAAUUUUUUCUAAUAUUAUCUAUUUACUAUUUUUAACCUUUAAACAUCCACGACGUAUUUUGUAUGGAAAGAUGUACUAAGAGAAUCGUGAUAAUGCGGUAAUAGAAUAGAAUUUUCCUUGUACAUUUGAUAUUAUUAAGGUAUUGAAUCCUCAACUAAUUUUGGUAAAGAAGAUUUUUUCUUGCAUGUACUUUAGUAAUAGUUUGACACCCAAUAUCACCAGAACUUAGAAUUAUUGAGUUAUUGAGUUUUCAAGGGUAAUUUCAUUCACUUUCCUCUCUUCCUUUUACGUCAAAAAUAAAUAGAGACUUUAUUGAGUUUUCAAGUGUAAUUUCGUUCACUUUCCUGUCUUCCUUUCACGUUAAAAAUAAAUAGAGACUUUCAUCUUUUUCUUUUAACUUUAAUGCCUCCUUUGGUUUGCAAAGGGAAGGAGCCCAAAUAGAUUUUUGAGAAAUUUAAUGUUAUGGAUAUAUAGGUGAAGAAUUAUAAAUAUUUUUUUAAAAAUAGUUCUGAAAAAUAGUUUUUGAGGAUAAUUUUUAAAAAUUAUUCUUUAAUAUUUUAAAGAACAAAAUUUCAUUUGAUAACUUAAAAUAAUCAUAAUAUCAUUUUAAUGCUUUAAAUUGUACUCAAAAUAAGUGAGAAUAAGUGGGCAUGAGGGGCUUCACAAUGCACACAUGAGACUCAUAGACAAUCUCCCCCAACGACAUUCAAGGGACUCAAACCUGCAACCUUGUUCUGAUACUAAUUGAUAGGAUUAAGCGCUUUCUACUUUCCUAACAAAACUAAUAACAAAGGUGUAACUUUAUUUUCUUAGUAGCGCAAAACCUCGCAUCUAUAUGUAUUGUGAGUAGACACGAGAGGCCUGGCAGUGCACAUGUGGCACAUCGACUGGCUUGAUGCCAUGUGUGGGACCCACAUAGUGGGGCCUAUCCAUAACAGCAUGUUCAUAGGGUGGUUGUUGCAUCCCAUAAUGCUAACUAUAGGAAAAAUCGAUUGCAUUCCUAUUAUUGCAUUUGGUUUCAUUUGGUUCAGGAAAAAAUUGUAUAUAUGGAAUCUGUAUAGACAAUUGUUGUAUUAAAAAAGUACAAAGGAGCUCAAUAUUAGCACAUUUAUGAUCUUAAUUUGCCUAGGAAAAUGUCUAAUUUGAUCCCUGAUCCCUUCAGUAGUUAUGCCCGUAACGGAUUAUACAACUCAUGUCCACAAUUCCAACAUGAAUUGAGAUUCCUAUUUAAUUAAAUUAUUAAUAUCAUCCUUCAUAUAUAAAAUAACAUUUUUUAAAGUAAUUAAAAAUUAAAAACUAUAUUUUGGAUUGUCAUAUGACUAACAUCCGUGUAAUAUUGUAUAUAAUUAUAAUUUUUUAUAUUAUAUAAUUAAAUUUUUUUAUAUGUAUGCUUUAAAAAUAUGUUUUUAUAUUUUGAAAUUUUAAUUUAAACCUCUCAUUUUUUAUUUCCUUCUUGCAUCUUUUUAUUGAAUUUAAAACAUAUUUAAAUAUAAUUUUUAAAACCGAAAAAAAAAAAAAAAAAGUUGACUUUGGCCUAAUCAUCAAAAUUCUAUUUCUCGGAAAUGAUCAAAUUUUUUUAUCAUUCCAUGCAAACCUAGUACAGUAUGUUAACAUUUAAAAAGACUGAUGUUUUAUUUUUUUAUUUUAUAAAUUUUAUUUUUUCAUUUAAUGUCUUAACAUGGGACUCAAUAUGUGGGGCUUUUUUAACCCAUAGUACAUGACCUUUGUGUUCACCGAGAAAAUGUUAUUUUGGAAAUUAAGGACAAUGAGGGAGAUAAAAGUCCUGACAUGCAAUAACAACUAUGGAUCAACAAUUGUAGGUUCUUACUUCAAGUCAUGAAAGGAGACUUGAAUAUGAUCUUUGGUGUUGUAAAAAUAUAUGCAGUAUGAAGUUCUCUUGAAGAGCAAUUGCACCUCAGUACUAUUGAGACAAAAAAAAAAAAAAGUGAAAAAUAUGUUGACUACUUCUCAUUUCAUGGUUUUUUAGAGCCAUAAAAGAAGAGUUGAGAAUAAUCUUCAAUGUUAAAAUAAUAUGUUAGGUAUUAAGUUUUCUUGAAGAGUAAUUGUUUCUUGUUAGGCUUCACUUUGAAUUGACCCAUGAAUUAAUUUAAUUGGUACAUGUAUCUAGUAAUUUUAUAUAGAUUCAAGAUAUUUCAUUGAAGCAAAUAAUAAAAUAUAUUUAACCUCAUCUUUGCUUGAACCAAAUUCUCAUAAAAGAAAGAAUUUUUGGUAAGUUAGUACUUGUUGGGAUAUAUUUCCUUUUUUUAUUUUUAACAAUAAAAAUUUUAUAUAAAAGAUAGAAAGAUUUAUUUUGUCUUUAAAAAUUACUUUAAAAAGUAAAAAAUUUCAACCAAUUUUUGAAAACCAUGAGUUUUUCUAUUUUAUAUAGUAUUUCUCUUUUCCUAUCAUACAUUUUCCACAUAUAUAUAUUAUAAAAAAUUGGGAUAAUUGAUUAAAAGAGAUAAAAUUCCCUUACAAUUACAAAAGUUAUAACCUCCCACUUUUAAUGGGCUCAAAAAUGGCUUAUUCCACACAAAAAUAUCCCUACCCUUACAACUACCCCUUCAACCGACACUUCAACUCAUUUUCCCUCCAAGUCUUAUUUUCUCCAUGUGCCCCUUUCUUACCCUUCAAACCUAUUUGUUCCUAUUGUUACCUUGCAAAAAAGAAAUUGCAAAGGAUGUUUCCAUUCAUUUCAAAAGAGCAGAAAGCCAACACAAGUGAGAAGCCAACAAGAAAGGAAAACACAAAGUAAGUUUCAUCGUUUCCUUCUUCAAUUUCAAUUCUUUGAAUUCUAAAUAUGAACUUUCAUGCAUGAAGUAAGAAGAAACCCUAAGUACCUUAUUUUAGUUCUCUUUAUUUAUUUAUUUUUAAAAAACUUUAUUUUUCAUCUCAUUGAUACAAUGAGUUGAUUCAGUUUAUGAAAAUGACAGAAAAAAAAAAUUCUUUGAUGAAGUUCAGGUAUAAAAUCCUAGCAAAAAAGAUAAAUGAGAGAAAAUGUUGCUUUGAAACCCCCUCAUCAUCAUUAGAAAUUAAGAACAAAUCAAUUGAAUCAAUAAACAUUAAUUUUCUACUAGAAAUUUUAGGUUUUUAUUUUUAUUUUUUAUGAAUUUAUUUCUCAUGAAUUGAUAAUGUAAUUGAAUAAAACUUUUAUAAAAUUGUAGUUGCAAUUUUUGUAAGGUCAUAAUAUAAGGUAUGAAGUAGUGUCUCAAUGAUUAGAAAAAAUUGAACUUAACUACUAAGAGUUCACUAUCAAUAAGUUUUAAGUUUGUUUUGGCCAUGUUUGAAUUUUUUUUUAAUGAAUUUAUUUAUUAUGAAUUGCUAAUCUAAUUGAAUAAAAUUUGUAUUAAAUUAUUUGAUUUAUAUAUUUAGAAUUUUGAUUUAAAUAUGUUAUAUACUUAAUGUUUUAUUUAUCUCUAUUUUUUAAAAAAAAAUUUCAAUCUUUCGCAAUAGUUCUUGAUAUUUUGUUCAAUAAAACUUUAAAAAAUGGGGUUGAAGGUACAAUUUUUCAUAGUCAAGUCCUCAAGCAAUAUUUUAAUGAUAAGAAAAAACUGAACUUAACUACUAUCAAAUUCAUUAUAAAAAAAAUUGAGUUUUAAAAUACUUUGAUUUUGUUUCUAUAGACAUCAGAAUAUUCUUUACAUUUUUAUUUCUAGCUGCAACUUAGUAAAAUUAAUAGCUUUAAUUGCAUCAAUAUCAUCAACAAUAUCCUUAUGAAAUGUAAUAUCUUAUAGAAUAUUAGCAUCUAGCAUGACAUCCUUGAAUAAUACAAAAGGAAAAUCUAUAUUAGGAAGUAAUACAAAACUAUAGAUUUAACAUAGUUGGAUAAGUUUGUUAAUAUAUUUUUACACAAUUUAUAUUGAUAUUUUUACAAUUUUUUAUUAUCUUGCAUAUUAACAUUUUUCUUCCUCCCCCAUCAAUUAUAACUAUAAUACCUAAAGAGGAGUACUUUCUUGGAAAAAUUGCAUAUUUAUCUCACUCGAUAGCUAUUGAAAAUAUUAAAAAGAAAUUAACUGAGCCGAACUAUAAUUGGAGAUGUUUAGAAAGUCAUGUUUUGGUCACUUUUUACUUAUUCUCAAACUUAGAUUUUCAACCCAAAUUGUCAAUCAAUUGUUGUUAUGUCAAUAUGAAACCAAAAAGGAUAAUGAAAUGUGGAUUUUAUUGAAGUCAAAUGACUUAAGAUUUAAUAAAGAUGAGUUUGUAUUGAUUUCAAGCUUGAGUCUUAGUCUUAUUCCAGAAUGUCACCAAAAAUCAUUACGAAUAAGAGACACGUGCCUUAAGGGAGAAAACAAGGUGUGUAAUGAUGAGCUAGAGAAAGUUUUUUUUUUUUUUUUUUUAAGAGAGGUAAAUAAUAAUAAUAAUAAUAAAGAUAAAAAUAAAUAAAUAAAAGAAGAAAAAAAUAAAAUUUCGAGCAUGUUUUAUUUGGAUAAAAAAAUGGAAAAAUUUAAUAGAUAUGCAUGAAACCAUCAUUUGUAUCAAUAUGGUUAGAAUUUAUGUAUUUUGAGUUGAACUAGUUAUGAAGAUCCAAUUUGGAUCACUUGCUCAUCAUUAGUAAGGUUAGUAUCCAUCCUAUAAUCCUCCUCAUUAAUAGCAAUCUCAUGCAUUCAUGUUCCAAUUAUGACCAUUAUACCCUUCAAGUGACUCAUUUUGAAAUCUUAGUCCAUUUUCACUAUCAUCACUGAGAGUUUCAAUUGACUCACAAUGAAACUGUUUACUUUUAUGCAUCAACGUUAGAUCUAUGUCCAAUUCUUUAUUAAUUUCAAAUGACAUAUGAUAUUUAGAACAAGAGUUGCAAAUUGAUUUUUUACUAUGAUUCUCAAUUCUCUUUUCAAUUGUGAUGUAUUAUGGAAUGGACAACUUAUUAUUUGUAUAAUUUUAAAACCAAUAAAGAAUUUCACAUCUGCAUCAUCAGUUAGCUAUAUAGCAAUGUUUUUAUAAUCGGAUUGGUCAUUGAACCGAAAAAGUUAUCGAUUCAUGGUUCAUUGGUUGGAUCAACAAUUAAAUCAUGGUUGAAUCGGUAACGUCAUAAAUAUAGAAUUUAUAUAUUAUUAAAAUAAAAAAUAAUUAUUAAAAAUAAAAAUAAUAACUUAUAUAUUAUUUGAAAACCACAAAAUUAGUUUCAAAUCACAAAUUUAGAUUAAAAUCAAAAUUUUAAUUUAAAUUAUAAAUUUUAAAAUUUAUUUUUAAAUCAUAAACUUAUUUUAAAACUAAAAAAUCAUUUAAAAUGUAAGUGACAUAAUAUUUUAAAAAAUUUAUUUAAAAUCAUAAUGAUUUCAUUAAUUUAAAUUAAAAUCACAAAGUUUAAAAAUCAUAAAGUUGAAAAAAAUAAUAAAUUUAAAAUAAAAUAAACGGGAAAAAACUAAUAAAGUAAAUAAAAAUAAAAAUGUUAAGAAAAUCUCAAAAUGGGAUUACAACUAUUGGCCUCGAUAUUGACCGGAGAUGGGAGAUGAGGAGUUGGAGGGUAGUAGGAGGGCAAUGACAGUGACAACAACAACGACAACGACAAUGAUAGUGGCAAUGCCAACAAGUGAGGAAGAGAUAAGGGAAACAAGUGGGAGGGGAAAAGAAGAGAGAAGGGGCUAGAUGCAAGAUCUAGAUGGGAGAAGGGCACAGGGGUGGGAUCUGGGAUGGAUGAAGAAGAAGAGGGGAGAGUUGGGUUUCGAACUAUUCAAUUCAUAAAAUAAAAAAAUAAAAAAUAAAAACUAAUCGAUUCAAUCGGUUUAUUAGUCUGAUCGUCAUUUCCAACGAUUUGAGGUUGGUUCAAAAGCUAGUCGGUUCAAAUGGCCGAACCAGACCAGAAUAAUGACCGACCAACGGUCGGAUAGGUCGAACUGAUUGACGGUCCGGUUUUUUAAAACAUUGCUAUAUAGGACUUGUGGGUAUGUUGGUAUUGAACACAUACUUCAUUGAAAGAAAACAAUUUGUUGGAUCUAGCUUCAGAAUAUGAUGAAUAACCCCUAAUAACUUUUCAUAUGAUAUAGUUUUUGGGACCUCAAUGUCUUUAUCUUUACUUCAUUUGAAAUAAAAAGUAUUUCCAUCUCGUACCCUUUCUCCUUCAUAUAGAAGCAUUAUUCCUACUUCAUCAACCGUUAAAACAAGAAAAUAAUCUCAAUCAUUGACACCAAUGUACAAUAUUAGAAUAUUUUUUAGUUAUAUUGGAGUAUUAGCAUCAAUAAGUAGCUAUUCAAUUUAAAAAAUUUAUUCAUUAUUAAAUACAUGUUAUUUCAUUACACAUAUUUAUUUUUUAAUAAAUAAAAAAUAAAGAAUAUUAUUAAUCAUCUUUACUACUUCAAAUAAUAACAACAAUGCUAUAGAAAAUACAUUAUUUAUGUUAUUAAAUAUAUUAAGAUAUUGUAACUCUUAACUAUUUUUAACAAUGAAAAUCCAUUUAUUUACUAAAAGAUUAGUUACACUAUAAUUCAUUUAAUGUCAAUAGUAGUUUGCAAAUGAUUCAACUCAAGUUGAAUAUAACUAAAAAAAAUUUAACAAUAAUAUAAUGUUACUGUAAAAUAAAUAUAUAUAUAAAUUUAACUUACUUUAAGUUCAACUUAACAUCGGUAAAGUUUUGGUGUUAUAACUAAAAAAUAUAACUUUAUAUAUGUGAAACCAAGGUUUGAUUAAUCUUGAUUUUGAUGAUAACAAAAUAAGGUUUAGAACUAAUGAUUAUAUUUCAAGUGUGAUUAGGUAAGACGAUUUCCAAAGUGGUAAUCAUAAAGACAAAUCAAGCCAAGGAGAUAUCAUGAAGAAGAAGACCACCUCAAAGAGAAGUAUUUUUCAAAACCCAAGCUUCAUAAGAUCUCUUUGUAAGGUUGUUGGUGCACUAGGAUUUUCAUGCAUUACAUUCUUUACUUAUGCACCAAAAUCAUCCAAGAGUUAUUUUGUUUUAAAUAUUUUAAAAAUUGGAUGAUUUCAUGUUUUCAACUAAAACCUUGUGUUAAAUGUUUUUCAAACUUGUUCUAAAAGGUUUUAAGUUGAAAAAGUUGGUUGUUGAGCCAAAAAACGGCUCAACCGGUUGAACCAGGUGAGGAACCGGUCGACCGCAAGCUCAACCGGUCGAGGUUCGGGUCAACCCCCAGCUCAAUCGGUCGAGGUCCGAGUCGACCCACAGCUCAACCUGUUGAGGCCCGGGUAGACCCCUAGCUCAACCGGUCGAGAGUGCAAAAAACUUUCUUUUUUUUUCAAAACAGUUGUUCAACCAGUCAAGGUUGAACCUCAACAGGUUGAGGUCUGGUCGAGGUCCAAUGAUCACCUGCCAAGCAUUAACAGCUAGUCAACCGGUCGAUCCCUAACUCGACCGGUAACCCCCAAACGGCUAGUUUGACUUUUCUCUUCUAUAAAAAAGCUCUAGUCUUCAUUGUUUAAAAAACUUUAACAUUCCUAAACUUUUCUUGAUUAUAUUUGAGCCUUGGUAGAGUGUUUUUGAGUGCAUCAUUGUUCUAAAACUUGCAUAUCCUUAGUGCACAUUUCAAUCCUAGUUUUCUUGUAUCAUUUGAGUUUAAAGUUCUUGUACUAUGAUUUUUGUGAGAUCAUUUAUUUGUAAACCUUUGAGAGGAAGUUUCUCAAGAGUGUGGUAUCUUUUGAGAAGUGUAAAGGGUGCUUGGAGUCAAAAGUCCAAGAUGGUGAAUUGAAACCAUAAUCCAAUUGUAUUGCUUGAAGGCUUGGUUUGGAAGACCUGAAUUAGUGGAACCUCAAGCUCGGGAUUGAAGCUAGAGGAGAGUGGAUGUAGGCUGGGUUGCACCGAACCACUAUAAACUCUUGUGUUUGCAUUCUCUCUUCCCUACUCUUUAAUUUAUAUGCAAUUGUCUUUAUAUAGCUUAUUAUAUACUUGCAUAUAAUUGUCUCUUGUUGUCGCCUCACGUAUCCGAUGGUCCACGUUGCUGCUAUAUGGAUGGACACGUGAUUCUCAACACACAAGGGGUUCUUGAUUCAGUGGUUGUACCUGCAAAAGGCAUCCGGACAGGGUGUCCGGACGCACCCUCCGAUGGUUUUAUUAGCCAUGGUGAGAAAGAGAUAUAUAAAUCAGUUGGCUUUUUUCUAGGUAUCAAGAGGUUACCAGGAGAUCCCCUUUCUUCUUCGUGCGAAGGUAUAUAUAUCCAGCUUCAGGGGUACUGUUCCUCUCAUUAAUGGUGAGGAGAUCUUUUCUGUUGUGAUGAUGACAAUAGGUGUUAGUAGGAGCACUAUCAUCCUAUGAAUGGCUGUCAGAGACUAUGGUAGGUGAUGCAGCCGUCAGANNNNNNNNNNNNNNNNNNNNNNNNNNNNNNNNNNNNNNNNNNNNNNNNNNNNNNNNNNNNNNNNNNNNNNNNNNNNNNNNNNNNNNNNNNNNNNNNNNNNNNNNNNNNNNNNNNNNNNNNNNNNNNNNNNNNNNNNNNNNNNNNNNNNNNNNNNNNNNNNNNNNNNNNNNNNNNNNNNNNNNNNNNNNNNNNNNNNNNNNNNNNNNNNNNNNNNNNNNNNNNNNNNNNNNNNNNNNNNNNNNNNNNNNNNNNNNNNNNNNNNNNNNNNNNNNNNNNNNNNNNNNNNNNNNNNNNNNNNNNNNNNNNNNNNNNNNNNNNNNNNNNNNNNNNNNNNNNNNNNNNNNNNNNNNNNNNNNNNNNNNNNNNNNNNNNNNNNNNNNNNNNNNNNNNNNNNNNNNNNNNNNNNNNNNNNNNNNNNNNNNNNNNNNNNNNNNNNNNNNNNNNNNNNNNNNNNNNNNNNNNNNNNNNNNNNNNNNNNNNNNNNNNNNNNNNNNNNNNNNNNNNNNNNNNNNNNNNNNNNNNNNNNNNNNNNNNNNNNNNNNNNNNNNNNNNNNNNNNNNNNNNNNNNNNNNNNNNNNNNNNNNNNNNNNNNNNNNNNNNNNNNNNNNNNNNNNNNNNNNNNNNNNNNNNNNNNNNNNNNNNNNNNNNNNNNNNNNNNNNNNNNNNNNNNNNNNNNNNNNNNNNNNNNNNNNNNNNNNNNNNNNNNNNNNNNNNNNNNNNNNNNNNNNNNNNNNNNNNNNNNNNNNNNNNNNNNNNNNNNNNNNNNNNNNNNNNNNNNNNNNNNNNNNNNNNNNNNNNNNNNNNNNNNNNNNNNNNNNNNNNNNNNNNNNNNNNNNNNNNNNNNNNNNNNNNNNNNNNNNNNNNNNNNNNNNNNNNNNNNNNNNNNNNNNNNNNNNNNNNNNNNNNNNNNNNNNNNNNNNNNNNNNNNNNNNNNNNNNNNNNNNNNNNNNNNNNNNNNNNNNNNNNNNNNNNNNNNNNNNNNNNNNNNNNNNNNNNNNNNNNNNNNNNNNNNNNNNNNNNNNNNNNNNNNNNNNNNNNNNNNNNNNNNNNNNNNNNNNNNNNNNNNNNNNNNNNNNNNNNNNNNNNNNNNNNNNNNNNNNNNNNNNNNNNNNNNNNNNNNNNNNNNNNNNNNNNNNNNNNNNNNNNNNNNNNNNNNNNNNNNNNNNNNNNNNNNNNNNNNNNNNNNNNNNNNNNNNNNNNNNNNNNNNNNNNNNNNNNNNNNNNNNNNNNNNNNNNNNNNNNNNNNNNNNNNNNNNNNNNNNNNNNNNNNNNNNNNNNNNNNNNNNNNNNNNNNNNNNNNNNNNNNNNNNNNNNNNNNNNNNNNNNNNNNNNNNNNNNNNNNNNNNNNNNNNNNNNNNNNNNNNNNNNNNNNNNNNNNNNNNNNNNNNNNNNNNNNNNNNNNNNNNNNNNNNNNNNNNNNNNNNNNNNNNNNNNNNNNNNNNNNNNNNNNNNNNNNNNNNNNNNNNNNNNNNNNNNNNNNNNNNNNNNNNNNNNNNNNNNNNNNNNNNNNNNNNNNNNNNNNNNNNNNNNNNNNNNNNNNNNNNNNNNNNNNNNNNNNNNNNNNNNNNNNNNNNNNNNNNNNNNNNNNNNNNNNNNNNNNNNNNNNNNNNNNNNNNNNNNNNNNNNNNNNNNNNNNNNNNNNNNNNNNNNNNNNNNNNNNNNNNNNNNNNNNNNNNNNNNNNNNNNNNNNNNNNNNNNNNNNNNNNNNNNNNNNNNNNNNNNNNNNNNNNNNNNNNNNNNNNNNNNNNNNNNNNNNNNNNNNNNNNNNNNNNNNNNNNNNNNNNNNNNNNNNNNNNNNNNNNNNNNNNNNNNNNNNNNNNNNNNNNNNNNNNNNNNNNNNNNNNNNNNNNNNNNNNNNNNNNNNNNNNNNNNNNNNNNNNNNNNNNNNNNNNNNNNNNNNNNNNNNNNNNNNNNNNNNNNNNNNNNNNNNNNNNNNNNNNNNNNNNNNNNNNNNNNNNNNNNNNNNNNNNNNNNNNNNNNNNNNNNNNNNNNNNNNNNNNNNNNNNNNNNNNNNNNNNNNNNNNNNNNNNNNNNNNNNNNNNNNNNNNNNNNNNNNNNNNNNNNNNNNNNNNNNNNNNNNNNNNNNNNNNNNNNNNNNNNNNNNNNNNNNNNNNNNNNNNNNNNNNNNNNNNNNNNNNNNNNNNNNNNNNNNNNNNNNNNNNNNNNNNNNNNNNNNNNNNNNNNNNNNNNNNNNNNNNNNNNNNNNNNNNNNNNNNNNNNNNNNNNNNNNNNNNNNNNNNNNNNNNNNNNNNNNNNNNNNNNNNNNNNNNNNNNNNNNNNNNNNNNNNNNNNNNNNNNNNNNNNNNNNNNNNNNNNNNNNNNNNNNNNNNNNNNNNNNNNNNNNNNNNNNNNNNNNNNNNNNNNNNNNNNNNNNNNNNNNNNNNNNNNNNNNNNNNNNNNNNNNNNNNNNNNNNNNNNNNNNNNNNNNNNNNNNNNNNNNNNNNNNNNNNNNNNNNNNNNNNNNNNNNNNNNNNNNNNNNNNNNNNNNNNNNNNNNNNNNNNNNNNNNNNNNNNNNNNNNNNNNNNNNNNNNNNNNNNNNNNNNNNNNNNNNNNNNNNNNNNNNNNNNNNNNNNNNNNNNNNNNNNNNNNNNNNNNNNNNNNNNNNNNNNNNNNNNNNNNNNNNNNNNNNNNNNNNNNNNNNNNNNNNNNNNNNNNNNNNNNNNNNNNNNNNNNNNNNNNNNNNNNNNNNNNNNNNNNNNNNNNNNNNNNNNNNNNNNNNNNNNNNNNNNNNNNNNNNNNNNNNNNNNNNNNNNNNNNNNNNNNNNNNNNNNNNNNNNNNNNNNNNNNNNNNNNNNNNNNNNNNNNNNNNNNNNNNNNNNNNNNNNNNNNNNNNNNNNNNNNNNNNNNNNNNNNNNNNNNNNNNNNNNNNNNNNNNNNNNNNNNNNNNNNNNNNNNNNNNNNNNNNNNNNNNNNNNNNNNNNNNNNNNNNNNNNNNNNNNNNNNNNNNNNNNNNNNNNNNNNNNNNNNNNNNNNNNNNNNNNNNNNNNNNNNNNNNNNNNNNNNNNNNNNNNNNNNNNNNNNNNNNNNNNNNNNNNNNNNNNNNNNNNNNNNNNNNNNNNNNNNNNNNNNNNNNNNNNNNNNNNNNNNNNNNNNNNNNNNNNNNNNNNNNNNNNNNNNNNNNNNNNNNNNNNNNNNNNNNNNNNNNNNNNNNNNNNNNNNNNNNNNNNNNNNNNNNNNNNNNNNNNNNNNNNNNNNNNNNNNNNNNNNNNNNNNNNNNNNNNNNNNNNNNNNNNNNNNNNNNNNNNNNNNNNNNNNNNNNNNNNNNNNNNNNNNNNNNNNNNNNNNNNNNNNNNNNNNNNNNNNNNNNNNNNNNNNNNNNNNNNNNNNNNNNNNNNNNNNNNNNNNNNNNNNNNNNNNNNNNNNNNNNNNNNNNNNNNNNNNNNNNNNNNNNNNNNNNNNNNNNNNNNNNNNNNNNNNNNNNNNNNNNNNNNNNNNNNNNNNNNNNNNNNNNNNNNNNNNNNNNNNNNNNNNNNNNNNNNNNNNNNNNNNNNNNNNNNNNNNNNNNNNNNNNNNNNNNNNNNNNNNNNNNNNNNNNNNNNNNNNNNNNNNNNNNNNNNNNNNNNNNNNNNNNNNNNNNNNNNNNNNNNNNNNNNNNNNNNNNNNNNNNNNNNNNNNNNNNNNNNNNNNNNNNNNNNNNNNNNNNNNNNNNNNNNNNNNNNNNNNNNNNNNNNNNNNNNNNNNNNNNNNNNNNNNNNNNNNNNNNNNNNNNNNNNNNNNNNNNNNNNNNNNNNNNNNNNNNNNNNNNNNNNNNNNNNNNNNNNNNNNNNNNNNNNNNNNNNNNNNNNNNNNNNNNNNNNNNNNNNNNNNNNNNNNNNNNNNNNNNNNNNNNNNNNNNNNNNNNNNNNNNNNNNNNNNNNNNNNNNNNNNNNNNNNNNNNNNNNNNNNNNNNNNNNNNNNNNNNNNNNNNNNNNNNNNNNNNNNNNNNNNNNNNNNNNNNNNNNNNNNNNNNNNNNNNNNNNNNNNNNNNNNNNNNNNNNNNNNNNNNNNNNNNNNNNNNNNNNNNNNNNNNNNNNNNNNNNNNNNNNNNNNNNNNNNNNNNNNNNNNNNNNNNNNNNNNNNNNNNNNNNNNNNNNNNNNNNNNNNNNNNNNNNNNNNNNNNNNNNNNNNNNNNNNNNNNNNNNNNNNNNNNNNNNNNNNNNNNNNNNNNNNNNNNNNNNNNNNNNNNNNNNNNNNNNNNNNNNNNNNNNNNNNNNNNNNNNNNNNNNNNNNNNNNNNNNNNNNNNNNNNNNNNNNNNNNNNNNNNNNNNNNNNNNNNNNNNNNNNNNNNNNNNNNNNNNNNNNNNNNNNNNNNNNNNNNNNNNNNNNNNNNNNNNNNNNNNNNNNNNNNNNNNNNNNNNNNNNNNNNNNNNNNNNNNNNNNNNNNNNNNNNNNNNNNNNNNNNNNNNNNNNNNNNNNNNNNNNGAUCCCCUUUCUUCUUCGUGCGAAGGUAUAUAUAUCCAGCUUCAGGGGUACUGUUCCUCUCAUUAAUGGUGAGGAGAUCUUUUCUGUUGUGAUGAUGACAAUAGGUGUUAGUAGGAGCACUAUCAUCCUAUGAAUGGCUAUCAGAGACUAUGGUAGGUGAUGCGGCCGUCAGAGAUCGUGGGAAGCGAUUAUGCAGAAUGAUCGUGGGAAGUGACUUGCUGUCACUUCCUCUUGUCUUCUCAUUCUGCAGGUGAUGGGAUGUGGGCCAUGGCUGCUUGUUGUGGUUGCGUGUAAGACUCGCUUUACUUUAAUUGACCAUCCAGAAGAUUUAUAUCCGGAUGGCUCAUGCUGACUAUCCGGAUGUGUUGUGGAGACUAUCCGGAUGUGUACGCUCUGCCAGCGUCGUUUGCUCUUCCUUGGAUAGGAGAAGAUGAAACGUCGUUUGCCUUUCCUUGAGGCGGUCCGGAUAGGAUGUCUACACCAUGCAUAUCCUUAGGGGAAUCCGGAUAAUGAUGGUCCGGCUGAUAACACGUGCCACGCGUCACUAUGAGCUGCGUGCCACGUGUUUCCCAAGGGGAGGGGUCCCUACAUCUCUUACAUUCUCUUAGUUUAAAUUUGUAAAAAGAGACCAUUACCCUAUUCACCCCUCCCCCCCCCCCCCCCCCCCCCCCUCUAGGGGAAUUACCAUAGGUUGGAUUACCCUAAUAUUCCUAACAAUAUAUUAUGUCAAAACCCUAUUACCAUAUAUAUUUAUAUCUAUAUAAAAAAACAAAUAUGCAAACAAUACUAUAACCAUCUUAAAAUUUCAUAUGUUUUACUACUUACCUCUUUUGAUCUUACAAAUUAAAAAUGUUUCUCCACAAGUUUUAUAUUGGUUUUUUCCUACAUUUAACUUUUUUUUAUUUCCAAAGAUUCUCAANNNNNNNNNNNNNNNNNNNNNNNNNNNNNNNNNNNNNNNNNNNNNNNNNNNNNNNNNNNNNNNNNNNNNNNNNNNNNNNNNNNNNNNNNNNNNNNNNNNNCCCCCCCCCCCCCCCCCCCCCCCCCCCUCUAGGGUAAUUACCAUAGGUUGGAUUAGCCUAAUAUUCCUAACAAUAUAUUAUGUCAAAACCCUAUUACCAUAUAUAUUUAUAUCUAUAUAAAAAAACAAAUAUGCAAACAAUACUAUAACCAUCAUAAAAUUUCAUAUGUUUUACUACUUACCAUCAUUUGAUCUUUCCAAUUAAACAAUGUUUCUCCACAUGUUUUAGAUUGGUUUUUUCCUUCUUUUAACCUUUUUUUUUUUCUUAUGAUUUUCAAUUAUAUUAAAAAAAAUUAUAACAAUUUCAAACUUAUUUAAAUAUUGAUUGCAUUUCAUUAAAUGUUUGAAAAUAUUCAAUAAAUAAAAAAUAAAAGAAAAAGUAUAUGAAAAAAAAGAAUAAACAUACAUCGUUUAUCCAAUUAUAACUUUAAACACUUCAAGUUGAAGAAAUUUGAAGAGAAUAUAUAAGUAAAAUUUGAAGAAAUAUGUUGAAAAAGAGAGAAACGGAAACCAUCGAAGAAAAUGAAAAAAAGGAAAGGGAAAGGAGAAAAAAGAAUUAAAAAAAAAAAAGUAAAAGACGGAAAGUAAUAAUUAAAGGAAAAAUGGGCUCAAGUGGCUGAAGGGGUAACUAUAGGGGUAUUUUUGUUCAUAAUAGGCUAUUUUUUAGGUUAUUAAAAGCGGGAGAUUACUUUUACAAUGUGAAGGGAAUUUUGUCCCUUUUAAUCGGUUAUGCCUAAACCAUUCUUCAUUCACGAAGUUCUCCUUAAAAGACACAUUUUUCUUGGAUGUAAACUAGAACUCCCUCACCAUACGGGCCUUGAGGCCAGCAUGCUUAAUUUGGGCCCUUAGUUUAACCUAGGACUCACUGUAAAUGGGCUGGAAGUCUUUGGGCUGCUAAGGAGCGUCAGAAAUAGGAAUUGGGCUUAGUCCACCCAUCCCCAGCGCUCGUAUCAACACUAUCCAAAUCGGGUCGAACUUGGGCCUAGCUGCAAUUGCCCACAGCAUUUCACAUGUAUUAAUUAAAUAAUAAAUCCGAAUUGAAUUAUGGGCCGGCGUUGCAGAUGGAAAUGAGUCCAGUCAUAUAUGUACGGGGCCCACUAUGAGUGUUGGGCAGGGCAACCACAAGUUUUCCUUUCUGUACUUCAGGGGUGGGCCCUCUGGCCCUCAUCCAAUCCAUUCAUAGUAAAUGUAAAAGACAGCGAAUGUACCAUCAUCUGACAAACUCAGACACGUGUCAACAUUACGUUCAUGACUACCUCCUGCACGUCGGUGCUCAGCCACCAGUCUUCCUCUAGGUAUAUGCUAGCCUCUUCCAUGUUCAUUAACUACUCGUUAUCAUCAAAUAGAGGUAAUAUUUUUUAAAUUAAUGCCUAUGAGACAUAGAAAUAAAAAUAUAUAUAUUAAAAAAAAAAAAAAAGAAAGAAGAAGCUAAAUUUGAAUAAGGGGGUUAAUUCACUUUUGGUAUGUAGAAACUUAGAAGAAAAUGUUGAAUCUUGAGACCAGUUUUUAUGGAAAAAAUCAGAUGGAAUGAGUAAACGAAAAAUAAUGAUAAUUAAGAAGGAUGGUAGAGAUUGAUUAUUUCAAAUGGGGUUGCCAUGUGUACCGUUGUGCAAUAAAUAAAAUUGGUUGGAGAAAAUGACAGAAGUGGUAGGCUUGGGUUGGAAGCCUGACACCAUACCGUCCACAUUAAAGAGCAUGGUAGCCACGUCUCAACCUAUACAUUAUUUGUCCUUACUCCACAUUCUUCUAGAUAAAAAAUGGGGUGUCGGUCAAUUAGAUGGGGCGACCAUAACCUAACAAUGUGACAGGUACCCAUCUCCAAGGGGAUCACCGCCCUCACGACUUUCCUAUAUAUGUUGAGUUGUCACAUUUUUGGACUUACUCAGAAUUAGUGGAUUGAUCAAAAAUAGAUUUUAACGGCAAGAGAGUCACCUAGAUCUCCUCAUAUUUCCGGAUGAGGAGGGAUAAGGGAAUUCCUUUUUUUUUUUUUUGCCCUCUUUCUUUUCUUUUCUAAAGUUUUCUAAUCCAAACAAACCCUAAAGUUAAAUUUUGAAUGAUUUGUCUUAAGAGUGUUGAGCUCUUUAAGUUUGUGGGUUUUAUUAUUAUUUUCCUCAUUUUCAUGAACCUUAUCCUUUCAUGUGCAUUCUUCAUUUGUUCAGAGGACAAAGCCCAUUUAAGAUAUAAAUGGCGAAGCUUUUUAGAAGGUGGGAAAGGAAAAAGAAAAAGAAAAAGUGAGAUAUUAACGCACCUUUUCCUCUGAACUGAAGAGUACAAGUAAGCUGGACCAUUAGGGGUUGAAAGGCAGGGUGCAGGUUGAGAGGGAGUCGGCACCUUGGGUAAAUUGAAGUACGGUUUCUGACAAAUUAACAGGCCUUUUUCCACAAGUUAUAAAGCCUCCCUGAGCGAACCGUAUGUCCACAUCCCUCUGCUGCACCCGUGUCUUGCAAAUGAAAACCUGUGGGCGGAAACCCCACUUUUUCUAAUUAAGGUGGUGUAUGUUUUUCGUACCAAAAUAUUUAAUUUUUUUAUUUAAUUAAAAUAAUUUAUUAUAACAAAUUCACGUUAAUCAUAUUAGUUAAUAUUUAUAUAUUAUUUUUCAACUAAAUUUUGACUUUUUCUAUUAACCACAAAACAAAGACCAUCUAAAUCAAUUUUCAAUCAUAUUAAACUACCUUAAUUAUGUACAUUAUCUACCUCAUUUAAAAGUAAUGAUAUUGGGUGCAUGCCUGAGUUUGGGUCAAGCGCAAAUGGUGAUGUGUUUGAUUUAUUUUUAUUGGAUAUUAAUUAAUUUUUAAAUAAAAAUAAUUAAAAUUCAAUCAAAAAAUUAGUAUCAAAUUGAUAAGUUUGGAAUUGUUUUAAUCUAGGUUUGAGAAAUAGGAAGACCAAGUUGGUUUUGUCAAAUAGUUAAUUCAAUCCUUUUUUUUCCCCUUUAAAUUCCCCUUAAUUCAAAACAAACAUUAAGCCGAAAUCCACACAAAAUCUAUCUUUAUCCCAUAAGGAUUGUAAUUUUUUUUCUUAUUUGGUCACCCUCCUUGUUGAUGGGUUUUUUCUUUUUGGGUUUCUUGGUAUCUUUCAACUUCUUUGAAUAAAUGCGGUAAACACUGAAAAAUGUAGCGAAACCAUGCUUAAUCAGGAUUACACGUAUGGCAUGUGGCAUUAAAAUGGAAGAAGUGUCUCUUAUUGAACAUGGAGAUCAUAAGUAGAGUGAACGACGAAAACUUCUCCAACUUCGAAAGAGGCCAUGUGAGGUGACAGAGUUCUGUAAGUUUUGUUGAAAGUCAUAUUUCUCGUCAGACGCAUUAGUGGUUGUGACUUGCGAGUAAAUUAGGGUGCAUUGGAAUUUGGAGCCAAGAAAUUGUCAUGCCGUGGGGAUCUCUGUUAGGGGGAGCGUACGGAUCAUUUAGUAUGCAUGCACAGCAGCGUUACAUGUCACAGCAUUGCACCAGAUUUUUAAAAUAGUGGGAAGGAAUUAAGGCAUUGAAUUCAAUCCAACCACCGCCUAACCAAUGUUCCUUCUGAUUCACACCCACCAGGGUCACCACUUCUUCUAUAUAAGCACCAGGCCUCCAACCCACUUCACUCAUCAGUUUCCGAACUCAACCCAGCUUCCAAGAGUAGUGAUUCUUGAGUUUAAUUCAACAGAAUGGCUGGCUCAGUAGCUGUCAAGGUCUCAUGCCUGGUGUUGAUGUGCAUGUUGGUGGCUUCGCCCAUGGCAGUAGAAGGGUUGUCGUGUGGUGACGUAGCAACCCAGUUGGCCCCGUGCAUCAACUACCUGAGAAGUGCUGGCCCAUUGCCUCCGGCGUGCUGCAAUGGUGUUAAGAACCUCAAAAACUCUGCCGCCACCACACAAGACCGCAGGACCGCUUGCAAGUGCUUGAUAAAUGCUUCUAAAUCCAUCUCUGGUGUGAACUUUGGUCUGGCUGCUGGCCUCCCUGGCAAAUGUGGUGUCAACAUUCCUUACAAGAUUAGCCCCUCCACCAACUGCGACCAGUAUCUACCCUCUCUCUCUAUUUCCUUCUCUCCUUAUCUCAUAAGGAAUUAACAUGAAAUUUUACAUAUUUUCUAACUCGUGGUGUUUGUUGUUGCAGAGUGAAUUGAGGUGACUGGAGGAGCGAGGAACCUGUUUAGCAGCAUGAAAAUAAAGCGGACGUUGAGUCCAGUGCUCGGGACUUCACUCCAGCAAGUGACCUGUAGUAUUUGUAGUAAUGUGUGUCCGUGUCCCAUUCUACUUGUUUGCCAUCUAUCUAUCUGCUUGAGUGAGUGAGCGAGUGAGUGCCUAUCCAUGUAAUAAUUAUCCUUACGGGAACCAUGCUGGUCUACUUUUUUCUAUACCACUACUACUCUCUCUCUCUCUCUCUCUCUCUCUCUCUGAACUAAGGGGUACCCUAUAAUUAUCCUUACGGGAACCAUGCUUGUCUACUUUUUUCUAUACUACUCCUCUCUCUCUCUCUCUCUCUCUCUCUGAACUAAGGGGUACCCUACAAUGAAAUGAAAAGGGUUCCACUGCUAGGUAAGCGGCACAUGGGUGGGUGAGACAUGUGAAGAGAAGGGCACACACUCAUGCCAAUUGAACAUUAAUGGCUGGGAGUUGGGGCAGACAAAUCAUAUUUUCACAUAGGGCCACUUUCUAAAAGGAAAAAACUGGAGCUCAGCCCCAUUCUUCCGUAAGUAAUUGAAGUUUAUGUUACUGUAACAAUGCCCAACCACAUAGAUGACCAAACCCCAAUCGUUUCAAAAUCUUAGGGUUGUUUGUUAGCAGAAAAUAGAUUUUUUUUCUUUUCUUUUCUUUUUCCCAUAACAGAAAAUCGAAGAUGGAAUGUGAGUAAAAAGAAGACAUUAUUUCAUUUCCAAAAAUGAACAUAUUUUUGAAAUAUGACUAAUUGUUAAACACUCCCUUGUGACUCAUGUAUUUUCUUGGCCGUUCCAUUAAUAGUACACUAAUUUAAAAAAAUUAUGCUUAAAUUAUUAUAGUAGAAGAAGUUAUUACAAAUAUAUGAUAGUUUUUGUCAUAUAGAAGAUAGGAAAGAGGAGAGAGGAGAGAGGGUGAACGGAUAAUUUUUUUUAAAACCAAAAUCAUCUUUUCAAAUUUCAAAAGAUGAAAUCGUCUCUUCAAGAUACGAGUUUUCAUGAAAAAAUAUAUAUAUAUAAUUUUUUUUAAAAAUUCCCAAAUUAAAAAAAAAAAAAAAAAAAAAUCCUCAAGGAACUCGUGAAAAGACGAGUUCCCAUGAAAAAAAAUAUUUUUUUUUAAAUUUCUAAAUUACUAAAAAUAAAAAUAAAAAUAAAAAAUAUCUCAAGGGAACUCGUCUCUUGAAAAGACAAGUUCCCAUGAAAAAAAUAUUUUUUUUUUUUAAAAUUGUCAAAUUAUAAAAAAAUAAAAAAUUCCUCAAGGAACUCGUUUCUUGAAGAGACGAGUUCCCAUGAAAAAAAAUAUAUAUAUAUAUAUUUUUAAAAAAAUUCUCAAAUUAAAAAAAAAAAAAAAAAACAAUUCCUCUAGGGAACUCGUCUCUUGAAGAGACGAGUUUCCAUGAAAAAAAUAUAUAUAUUUUUUAAAAAAAAUUCCUAAAUUAUAAAAAAAAUAAAAAUAAAUAAAAAUUCCUAAAGGGAACUCGUCUCUUGAAGAGACGAGUUCCCAUGAAAAAAAAUUCCUCAAGGGAAAUCGACUCUUUAAAAAAAAUAUAUUUUUUUUAUAUAUAUUUUUUUUUAAAAUUCCCAAAUUAUAUUUUAAAAAAAAAAAAACAAUUCCUCAAGAGACGAGUUCCCGAAAAAAAAAUUUUAACAAAAAUUCCCAAAUUAUAAAUAAAUAAAAAAUAAUUGGGGAAUUUUUUUCAUGGGAACUCGUCUCUUUCCCUUGAGGAAUUGUUUUUUUUUUUUUUUUAAUUUUUAAUUUGGGAAUUUUUUUAAAAAAAAAUAUAUUUUUUCAUGGGAACUCGUAUCUUGAAGAGACGAGUUCCCUUGAGGAAUUGGUUUUUUUUUUUUUUUAAUUUGGGAAUUUUUUUUUUUUUAAAUAUAUAUAUAUAUAUAUAUAUUUUCAUGGAACUCGUCUCUUUAAGAGACGAGUUCGCUUGAGGAAUUUUUUUUUUUUUUUUAAUUUGGGAAUUUUUUUAAAAAAUAUAUAUAUAUAUUUUUUCCAUGGGGAAAAGACGAGUUCCCUUGAGGAAUUGUUUUUUCUUUUUAAAUAAUUUGGGAAUUGUUUUAAAAAAAAAAUUAAUGGAACUCGUCUCUUCAAGAGACGAGUUCCCUUGAGUAUUUUUUUUUUCUUUUUUUUUUUUAAUUUGGAAAUUUUUUUUUUAAAUAAUUUUUUUUCUAUGGGAACUCAUCUCUUGAUUCCCUUGAGAAAUUGUUUUUUUUUUUUUUUUUUUUAAAAAUUGGGGAAUUUUUUAAAAAAAAUAAUAUAUAUAAUUUCAGGGAACUCGUCUCUUGGAAAAAACAAGUUCCCUUGGAGGAAUUUCCUUUUUUUUUUUUAAUUUGAAAAUUUUUUUUUUUAGGGGAAACUCCCUCUAUUGAAGAAAACGAAGUUCCCUUGGAGAAAAUUGGUUUUCUUUUUUUUUNNNNNNNNNNNNNNNNNNNNNNNNNNNNNNNNNNNNNNNNNNNNNNNNNNNNNNNNNNNNNNNNNNNNNNNNNNNNNNNNNNNNNNNNNNNNNNNNNNNNUUUUUUUUUUUUUUUAUUUGGGAAAUUUUUUUUUUUUAAAUAUAUAUAUAAAUAUAUAUAUUUUCAUGGAACUCGUCUCUUUAAGAGACGAGUUCCCUUGAGGAAUUUUUUUUUUUUUUUUAAUUUGGGAAUUUUUUUAAAAAAUAUAUAUAUAUAUUUUUUCCAUGGGGAAAAGACGAGUUCCCUUGAGGAAUUGUUUUUUUUUUUUAAAUAAUUUGGGAAUUGUUUUAAAAAAAAAAUUAAUGGAACUCGUCUCUUCAAGAGACGAGUUCCCUUGAGUAUUUUUUUUUUCUUUUUUUUUUUUAAUUUGGAAAUUUUUUUUUUAAAUAAUUUUUUUUCUAUGGGAACUCAUCUCUUGAUUCCCUUGAGAAAUUGUUUUUUUUUUUUUUUUUUUUAAUAAUUUGGGAAUUUUUUAAAAUAUAUAUAUAUAUAUUUCAUGGAACUCGUCUCUUGAAGAGACGAGUUCCCUUGAGGAAUUUCUUUUUUUUUUUAAUUUGAGAAUUUUUUUUUCUAUGGAAACUCGUCUAUUGAAGAGACGAGUUCCCUUGAUGAAUUGUUUUUUUUUUUUUUUUUUUGUUUAAUUUGGGAAUUCUUUUAAAAUAUAUAUAUAUAUAUUUCAUGGAACUCGUCUCUUCAAGAGACGAGUUUUCUUGAGGAAUUUUUUUUUUCUUUUUUUUUUGUUUUUUAUAAAUGGGGAAUUUAAAAAAAUAUAUAUUUUUUUUCAUGGAACUCGUCUCUUGAAGAGACGAUUUCCUUUUUGAAAUUUUUUUAAAAUCGUCUUUUGAAAAGACGAUUUCGUCUUUUGAAAUUUGAAAAGAUGAUUUUGGUAUAAAAGAAAUUUAUCUGUUCAUUCACUCUCCUCUCUCCUAAGUAGCAAAAACUACCAUAUAUUUGUAAUAACUUCUACUACUACUAUAAUUUAAGCAUAACUUUUUUAAAUUACCGUACUAUUGAAAAAAGUCUGUUCCAUCAAUAUCUAAAAGUACACUAAGACACUUAAACCCACAACUACCCAUCUCCAAAAAUUCAAUAUUCUUAAAAGAACACCAAAUGCAGUUCUCCAAGGGAUAUUGAAUGAAUCCCUAUUUCUUAAAAUAGGGUUUAUCCAUUCACAACCAAUCAUAUAGAAAUUAUCACAUUUGGAUUCAAAAUGAUCCUCACCGUUUUAAAACAUAUCUACUUGGCUGAAGAAAUUAUCACAAACACCUUCCGUAUUAACACAUUUUUGUUGUAUAACAUAGAAUUAUAGGACCUCAUAUGGGCAAACAAACCACCUCAAAACAUAUUUUUAAAAUAAUAUUUUUUUUUAUAAAAAAUAUAUUCUAACAUAUUCUUUGAAAUAAAAAACUGUUUUGAAUUUUAAAAAUUAAACGUUGUUUUCAAAAACCCAUUCCAAACAUGGCAUAAUUUUCCUUUUUAUAUAUAUUUAGUUUAUUUCUCAUUUCAUGCCUAGUGGGGCCGGGGCAAUAAAUGGAUAUGUUUUCUACUAAGGUGAGAACCAAUUUCGUGAGUGGAUAUUUAUUAAAUAUUAAGAAUGUGUUCGGUAGUAAUACAAGAAAUUGUUUAUAUAUUUUUUUAAUAUUUAAAUUUUUUUAUAUUUUAAGUAUUAAAAAUAUUUUUUAAAAUUAUUAUUAAAUAUAUUUUAAGAGUAAGUUUGAUAAUAAUUUUAGAAAGUAUUUCUAAUAUUUUUAAUGCUUAAAAGAUAAAAGAUUUUAAAUAUUAAAAAAACUAAAAACAUUUUAUAAAAUUACUAUCAAAUACGUUAUAAGUUAAAAUGUGUUUAAGAAUAAUUUUAUAAAGUAUUUAUAGUAUUUUUAAUAUUUGAAUGAUAAACAAACGACGUUUUAAUUCAGAAUUCAGAGCUACAGGGACUUUUCUUAUCAAGAAGUGUAUGCAGCAUGAAUGAAUAUCAUGGUCACUGAUGGAUCACUAUCACCUUUGCAACAAUUGACUCGGAAAAUGACCAAAACACAAUGAAGACAUAAGAUGAAUAAGAAGCCUAAUGCUACUUUAUCUAUAAAAUAAUUUUUUAUUUGCAUGUACUCUAUACAUCAUGGCGCUACCUAUUCCUAGUAGGGUUCGAAUUUGUUCAACUCAACACUUUAUAAUUCUAUCUCAAAUUUGUUGAUUUUGGACUGAGACGGAUACUCCGACCAACUACUUCAAUACUUUGUCCGCUUGAACCUAUAAAAAGGUGUGCUUGGAUGGUUUUAAACAGACCUCAAUUUUUUUUAAGAAAUCUUUUCCGAAAACCUCAAAGCUGAUUUAAACAUCGAAGAGGUCCGUCCAAAAUCAUUUAAACACACAUUUUUGUUGAUUCAAGGGAAUGAGGCAUUAGAGUGGCUUUCUGAGGGCUCGGUAGCAAUCCAAAAUCAACAAAGUUUACCUUUUAAAAACAUGAAUUUAGUAUACAGAAUAUUCUCUGAUUUUUUUUUUUUUUUAAGUAUAUUUUUAUCUUAUGGGUAAAGUCUCUUUAAGAGAAGGAUAAUGAUGUGUUUUUUAGAGUUUUGGGGUAAAAUAACCCUUUUAUGUAAAAAAAUAUAUAUAUAUAAAUUUUAGCCCAUUUACAAAACUUAUGUUCAAAUUAACCUCUUUAUUACCACAUAGGAGUCAUAUCAUAUAUUUUUUUUUUUUCAAAAUUUAAGUUGAAGUUUCAAUUGCCAACUGAGGUUUCAUUUUUUAACUAAAACCUCAAUUGACAAUUAAGGUUUCAGUUAAUUUUUUAUUUAUUUUAAAAUUUAAUUAAAAAAUUAAAUUAUAAAUUAUUAUUAAAAUUUUAAAAAAUAUUUUAAUAAUAAUAAUUUAUAUAUUUAAACUUAAAUUUCUAAUAUUACUUCAAUAAAGAUAAAUUGAUAAAUAUAAUAAUAAACAAAUAUUUUAUUUAUCAAUAAAUUAUUAAUUUUAAAAUAAUAAAGUUAUAUGAAAUCUAAAUAAGAUAUAAAAUUAUAUAAUUUAUUAAUUUAAGAUAUUUAAUUUGUUGUAUUUUUAAGAUAUUAAUUUAUUUGUAUUUUGACAAAUUUAUCUUUAUUAAAAUAAUAGUAUAUUCUUAACUUUCGUAUAUAGAUUUUAUUAUUAUUAUUUUAAAGCAUAUAUUUAUAGUUUAACGUAAAAAUAAAUAAAUAAAUAAAUAAAAACUAUUAUUUGUACACACAAUAUAUAUGGCUUGAAGAUACAUUUUGAAAUUAGUUAAUGAAAUUAAUUAGAAAAAGUCUACUACAAAAUGUAAUUUUUAGUAGUUUCAUCAUAGUCACAAAAAAUAUCCAUUAAACAUUCAUAUAAUAGAAAAAAAAUGUCUCUCCCUAAUAUUAUAUGUGAUAUAACUUAAAUUAAUAAAUUAUAUGAUUUUAUAUUUUAUUUAUAUUUCAUAUAAUUUUAUUAUUUUAAGAUUAUUAAUUAAUUGAUAAAUAAAAUAUUUAUUUAUUAUAUUUAUCAAAUUAUCUUUAUUGAAGUAAUAUUAGAUCUUUAAGUUUAAACAUAUAAAUUUUUAUUAUUAAAGUAUAUUUUUUUAAUUUCAAUAAUAAUAAUUUAAAAUUUAAUAUUUUUAAUUAAAUUUUAAAGUAAAAAUAAAAUAAAAUAACCGAAGCAAAUUGGCAUAUCUUAUUUAAAUUUCAUAUAACUUUAUUAUUUUAAGAUUAUUAAUUUAUUAAUAAAUAAAAUAUUUAUUUAUUAUUGUAUUUAUCAAUUUAUCUUUAUUGAAGUAAUAUUAGAUCUUAAAGUUUAAAUAUAUAAAUUUUUAUUAUUAAAAUAUAUAUUCUUAAUUUCAAUAAUAAUUUACAAUUUAAUUUUUUAAUUAAAUUUUAAAAUAAAAAAAAUUAACUGCAACUUCAAUUGUCAAUUGAGGCUUUAGUUAAAAAAUGAAGCAUCAGUUGACAACUGAGACUUCAGUUAAAAAAUGAAGCCUCGUUUGGCAACUGAGGCUUUAAUUAAAAAAUGAAGUCUCGAUUGGUAACUGAUGCUUUAAUUCAAAAUUGAAGCAUCAGUUGGCAACUGAGACUUCAACUUAAAUUUUGAAGAAAAAAAAUAUGACUUAACUCUUAUAUGAUAAUAAAUGGGCUAAUUUGAACAUAAGUUUUGUAAAGGAGUUAAAGCUUAAAUUUUUUUUUACAUAAAAGGGCUAUUUUGCCCCAAAACUUUGUUUUUUAGCCUAUACUCCUAUAUAUAUUCAUCUUAUUAUUAAUCAAACUUUGUACUUGAUAUUCACUUCUCAACCAUCCUUUUUUUUUCAAAAAUCUCUAACCCUUGAACUCUGCGAUCUUCAAUUCUAUAAUUUUGGUUGAUAAAGUUUUCUGAAUAAAGAAGACAAGAGGAAUAUCUAAUUUAUACUUAGAUUAUUAAUUGUAAAAUGACUCUUUUAGAGUUUAAUUAAUUAAUUAAUUACUUCUAGUUUACUAUUUUGCCCCUAAUGUAAAUUUUGGGGUGUUACAGAGUAGGUGUCAAGGUCACAUGCCUGGUGGUCAUGAGCAUGUUGGUGGCUUCGCCCAUGGCAGUCGAAGGGUUGUCCUGUCAUCAGGUAGCAACCUAUUUGGUCCCUUGCAUCUCCUACCUGAUCUGGGGUUGCUGGUCCAGUGCCCUCGGUGUGCUGCAACGGUGUUGGGAGCCUCAAAACAUCUGCCGAAACCCCAGAUGACCACAGGACCGCUUGCCGGUGCUUGAUAAAUGAUGUUGCUUCCAUCCCUGGUGUGGACAUGGAUGUCGCUGAUGACCUCCCGGUAAAAAUUAAUGCUCUUUGUUUUAAAGGCCCAACCACAUUGGAGACCAAACCCCAAUCUUGUUCAAAAUCUUAGGGUUGUUUGGUAGCAGAAAAAAGGCAUGGGUCUAUGAUUACGAUAAAUAAAUAAAAAUUAAAUGAACAGUUAGGUAAGCAUAGUAAUGGAGCCAUUUAAGGCGUUUUGAAGUUGUGUAUUUUUUUAAAUUAUUUUUUAAAACAACGUAACAUCAAAAAUAACUCUUUGAAAAGAUGAGUUGAAUAUAAAAAUGAACUCGUUUCUUCAAAAACGAUUUUAAUAUAAAAUAAAGUAAACUCGUUUUUUUGACAGACGAAGUCAACAUUAAAAAUUUUAAAGUAAGAAUAAAACUUAUCUUUUGAAAAAUAAAUUCAGCGGAAAAACAAGUUUAAUAUAAAAAAAUGCAUUUAGUUUUUGAAACCACGAGUUUAGUAUAAAAUUUUUUAAAAAAUGAUAAAAGAUAUUAUACUUUUAUAUUUAUUUUUUUAAAAUAACAUUUUUUGAAAAAAAAAAAUCCUGUCGUUUAUAAAUUUAUUUUUUAAAAACUUUAAUGUUAUUUUAAUUUAGAUUUUGUUACAUCUACCAUAUGGACUCAGAUUUGACACUGAGAAUCAUACAAUAGCUUGAGAUUUUCUUUCCCUGGUCGUAACAACCCCGCCACAUUGUCAAAUUUUGAAAUGAAGGGAAUAUUGGUAAAUAUUUUCGGAUUUUGGCCCGUGUGGACUUCAAAACACAACCAGAAAUUUUUUUGGGAUAUUUUUCUGGAUUUUAUCAUCUUUUCCUUGAAGGUGACAAAAUUUGAUACAAUUUAUCGAUACGACUCAAACUUAACAUGUUUUUCACGGAUUUUGAUAGAGUAUAAUUGAAUUUUAGUUAAAAUCAUGUUAAGUUACAUAAAUCAUUUAAUAAAUAAAUAGGUUUUGGAGGCAACACAUAAAUGUGAACAAAAUUGACUUAUUUAAUAAUUCUAUUGAUUAUCUAAUUAUAAUUUUGAAUUAUUUAAUAGUAUUAAAUUUAUUUUUAAAUAAAUAGGUCAAUUAAAUUAUAAACAUGUUUAAUUGAAACAUUAAUCCUAUAGACGUGUAUAAAACCUAACCCAAUUUAAUUAUUAAAUGAGUUAAAUAGGUUAUAUAAUGUGUUAUCCAUUUAAUAGUCAAGUGGUAUUUGGGCUUAUAUUUUUUCUAUAAUAAUAAUUAAUAUUGGGUUUGGAUUAACCUUUGCGGUAAAAUACUUAAGUUUUGAUAUGAUACGAACAUGAUCCAUUAAUAUAAAUUAUCAUCUCUAAUAUUUCUCUUAAUAUUUGACAAAUUUGGAAAAUUCAUUAAAGAUUCAAACUAGUAAAAUUGAAUUGUAAAUCGUUCAUUGACUUUGUUAUUAUAGUGGAUUUUUCCUAUAUUCACAUAUAUUUAAAUACAAAAAAAUUAUAAACUUAUAAAUAAAAUUAUCAAUAUUUUUAAAUAAAAAAUAAUUAUACAUAUAUUAUUAUAUUUUUUAUAUUCUUAAAUACAUAUAAGAAUAACAACAGGUGAGCUCGAGUGGAUCACCACGUUCCAACUUCAUCCCUUCAUUCAAAAUAAUUCUUAUUUUCGUUUUAUUUAAAAUUUAAAAUGAGAUGAGAGUAGUAUGAGGAAUUCCUUACCUCAUCUUAUUUAACUAUUUUUAUUAAAAAAAAAUUAAUUACAUUAAAAUAAAUAUAUUUUAUAAAUAAUUAAAAUAUUAUAAUUUUUUAUAAUUUAUUUUAUUUAAAAUAUUUUUAUUAUUAUAUAUUAAAACAGAGAAAUAAAAAUUAAAUUAAUUUUAUAUAUAAUGGAAAUAAAAAAUAUCUAAACUUGUUUCGAGUUUUUAAAAAAAAAGUCUCAAACACAUCCUUAAUCGUUUAUUUAAAUUUCAAAUAUAUAAACAAAUGUAUCCCAUUAAAAACAAGAUGAGAUGGAUACUCCAAAAAAAUCCGCCAUUUGUAACUUUAAAGACUUGAUUACCUCUUGCAUGGCACACGUAGCCUACGGGCCCAGGGCCGCUGGGCUUGAAAUUCAAGGAGUGUACACAUCAACCAAUUGGUGGAACAAUAUGUUGGCAAAUUGUACUUGUCCCUUUCAUUUUUCAAUCUCCAAAUUACACCUACAUUGUAUCUUUGUUAUACAAAGCCAAAGUGUUUUGGUGAAAAAAUAAUAAUAAUAAUAAAAGCUUCAGUAAAAAUAGAGUGAAUGUAAAUUAACAAGAAAAAGAAACCAACUUUCAUGAAAUAAAGAACAACAAAAACCGACGGUGUUGCAUUUAUUGAGGUAUCUUGGUUCGAAGACUUGUCACUGUGUUUGGUUGCCGACAAAAUUUGGAGUAAGUUUUUUGACCUUUUCUUUGGUUUCCUUUUUUCUUGUGCAAUAAAAUUACCAUACAAGAAGACUUUUCAACACAAGGGGCAGUGAUUAAAUUGCGGUGCGUAUGGCCGUAUGGGUGGAAAGUCGCCCAUCCCCAUUGGGUUUUAAUGUGGCCAACAUGUUGGGCCUCUCUCCAUUACUUCUAUUUCUCAGUCCGGCGUGCUUUUUGAGACGAGACAAAUGGUCAAAGAAUUCGUCUACCCACAUGUAAGACUUACGAUUCUGAUAAUUCACAUCCUUAUGUUAUUAUCCUAAACCAUUUAUAUGAACAGUAUUAAUCCCCAAAUUGAUGAUAAAUAUAUAUAUAUAUAUAUCGAGACAAAAUUAAAGGAAAAAACAAGGAUCAAGGGUUGUCUGGUUGCCCUAGGUUUAACACGUAUAAGUAGUUGAAAACGACCUAGAUUUGAAAUUUACACCGGCCACCCACCCUAAAUGGUAGUCUAUAAUCUUGAGCAUGGCAUUUGUGGUUGUAAGCUACGGAAUUGAAUGAUUCAUCUCUAAUAUAAACAUCUUCAAUUAAUACAUUAAUAGCAUAUAAUAAUUCCUUGAUGAGUGUGUCCUCUAAUAUUCAACAAGUAUAUAUUAAAAAAAUAAAAUAAAUUAAGGUUGUUUACUAGGGUUCAAGGGUAAAGUUAUAAAUUCUUUCAUCCAUCUUUUAAAAAAAUUCUUGUGAUAUGAUUUUUUCUUAAUCUCUUUCUAUUCAUUAUUUAUUGAGAUGAUGGAUUUCUACCUCAAGUAUUAAGAUAUAUUUAUAUAAGUUUUUAAAAUGAACAAAUAAAUAAGGAUUUGAUUAUUUGUAUACCAGUUUUAUUGAAGCCAAAAAAAUUUCUUUAUAAUUUUUUACCUUCAUUUGAAAGGUUUUUUCACCGUUAUAUUUAAUACACUUUUUUCUUGAAUAUUCUUAAAUUAUUAUUAUUCAAUUCUUGUUAAAUUGUUAUUAUUGUUAAAUAAUUAUUAUUAUUAUGAUGAAAUCUUUUAAGUUUGACAGGUGAAUAAUCUAAAUAUUUCUCCUUUUAACUUAUCAACAAAUUAAUAACUAUGUUUUUAAAAUACAUUUAAAACACAAAUUAAAAGAAGGGGAAGUUCUCAAAUAGACUUUUAUUUUUUAAAAUAUCAUACAACCGUUUUUAAAAAAUACUUCCAGCAACAAAAGCCUCGAUGUUUAAUAUUAAAUAAUAUUACUCUUUUAGUAUCGUAUUGAAUAUUUUCGUCCAAUUUCACUCAAACAUGAAUAAAAUGUGAAGUAUGCCACCAAGAAAUGGAAAACGCUGGAAGGAUUAAGAAAAAAAAAAAGGGCAAUGGUACAAAAUAUAUAAGGGGUAAUUGAUAUCAAAAGUUGGGUGUCGAUCCUCCAUGAUUAUCGCAUGUCAAACUACACAUUGAAAAGUAAGCAAGCGCAUUAAAUCACGGAAUUAAAUCCAACUGCCAACCAAUUCCUCCCCAUCUCUCAUGCAUGCCCCUUACUGAGUGGUGCCCAGACCCACCACUUUCUCUAUAUAAACACAUCCCUCGUUGAAACCUUUUCCAUCAUCACUCUCCAGACCUUCACUUUCUCUUCUCUCCUAGCCUUACUAAUUUUCUCAGACACUGAGUAGUCAUCAUGGGUAGCUCCGGAGCUGUGAAGCUAGCUUGUGUGAUGGUGAUAUGCAUGGUGGUGGCGGCACCGGCGGCGGUGGAAGCAACCAUAACAUGUGGUCAGGUGGCAUCUGCCGUGGGCCCGUGCGCUAGCUACUUGCAGAAAGGUGGUUCAGUGCCAGCUGGGUGCUGCAGUGGGAUUAAGAGCCUCAACAGCGCGGCUAAGACCACAGUUGAUCGCCAGGCCGCUUGUAAGUGCUUGAAAACCUUUUCUGGUUCCAUCCCUGGCAUCAAUUUCGGUCUUGCAAGUGGGCUUCCGGGCAAGUGUGGUGUCAGCGUUCCUUACAAGAUCAGCCCCUCCACUGACUGCUCCAAGUAUGCUCUAUUAAUCUCUCACUACUCAUGAUAUAUUUAUAUAGAAUUCAGCUUGAUUAACCAAUAAGAUUUCUGCGACUGAAUUUUUUUUUUUUGUGAAUGUGUUCAGGGUGACUUGAAGCAAAAGGUGGAGUAGGAUGAGCUAUGGUAGCAACUAGCAUAAGAAUAAAGAAGUGGAGGGUAGAGGCUCCACUUGGACCACUCAGCCUUUAGUAUUAGUAGUACUAGUACUGGCGUCAUAUUCCUCUCUGUGGUUGUAUGACAUCUACUGGAGCGGUUGCAUACUUGCAUGUAAUAAAUAUCCCUGCUGGUUGCUGGACCCUAUCAUAUUAUAUAACUUUUACCCUCUCUCUCUCUCUCUCUCUCUCUCUCUCUAGUGUCCAGGAAAGAGAAAAACACAGAAAAAAGAAAAGGAAACAAACAGGUCUCUGGAAUCAAAUUUAAGAUAACUAGAAAAAUAUGACCAUGAAACAAUAGGAAAGAAGGAUAAGAAAAAAAUAUUUUUCACAAAGUGGAUGUAUAGGCUUCUUUUAAUUAUAUAAAUACCUUUUAAAUCAUAAAAAUUCAUUAGACUCACCAUGGACAGUAUGCAUUAUGUGCAUGCUAUCAAAUAAUAUUGAAAAUGACUGAUGUCCAUGUGAGCUGACUAGCUUUAAUUAGUCAUAAUUAUAAUCUCAAAUCAAAGUAAAAAAAAAUUUAAUAUUUUAGAAGGGGCAUUGCACAAAUUAUGUUAAAUAUAAAAUGAUUUUCUAAACAAGCUUGAUUCUAGCCUUUAGAAGGUAACUCCCUCAUAAUUCAGCUUGGUGUGGUAAUUCCAAAGGGGGCUUUUACCAUGAGCCCAAUGUCGUGGCGAAGGUUAUACCUUAGAAAGUCAGUGAAGCUAAGGUUUCGUAUGUGUUAUAUCCUUUCGAUCGAGCGACAACUUCUAAGGAUCAUUCCCCUCCCCGGUGCUAGAAGGUCGGAAGGAGAAGUGUUAUAAGCUUUGAAUGGAAGCCCCGGUAAACGGCGGCAGUAACUCUACCUGUCCUAAGGUAGCGAAAUUCCUAGUAACUAGUUGUUUAUAUCGAACUCGAAAAUAUAACUUGACUAUUCGGGACAACUAGAGGAACAUUAUUGCCGGCACUAUCAAAGGCCGCUAUUCCAGACCAAAAGUAUGGAAUAGAGUAAGGCCUUUAUUAGAAAAGAUGCAUAAAAACAACUUAAAAAUACUUUUAAUUUAAGAUGGGGUUUAUUUUUUAAUUGAAUAGAAAAAAUCAAAAUAUUUAAUUUUUUCUAUUCAGUUAAAAAUAACAUAUUGAUAUCAAUCAAUAUAAAAAUAAAUUCAAUUUAGUUAUUGUUAAUAUCAACAUAUUACUUUUAACUUAAUAAAAAUAAUCAAAUAUUUCGAUUUUUUAUAUUCAACUAAAAAACAAACAUUACCUAAUACAAAUAUUGAAAUUAUGUAAUUAGAGACUAAGGAGACGAAAUUAAAAAGUGGCAAUACUUUUGUUAAUAAGUUUAUUUUAGUUAUAUUGAUUUAUAUUAUUACUUUUUUAAUAUAAAAAAAUCAAAUAUUUAAUAUAAAAAAAUCAAAUAUUUUAGUUUUUUUUUUAUUCAACCAAAAAACAAACACCUCAAAAUUGAAAUCAUAUAGUUAGAAACUAAAGACAUGAAGUUAGAAAGUGAUAAUUCUCUUAUCAACAAAUUACUUUAGUUAUAUUGAUAGAUAUUAGUAUAUUACUUUUAACUUAUCGGAAGAAAUAAAAUAUUUUAGUUUUUUCCAUCAUUUCAAAAAACAAACCCCAUGUAAGACAAGUAUCAAAAUCAUGUAGUUAGAGACUUGGGACGUGGGGUUAGAAAGUGACCAUACUCCUCUGUUAAGUUUGAAAAUAUGCAUUUGAAAAGAAUUUUGAAAAGAAAAAAAAAAAAAGUUAUGAAAGCAAGGUUAUCAGAAGGAUGCCUUGUUAAUUUUACUGUAAAUUCAGUCCUCGUAUUCAUCGGAGAUAAAAGCCUUUUUAGGUUAUAAUUUUACCUCCAAAUACAUUAAUAUUUGCUACCUCGUAGUGUGAUUGGGGGUCAACCAAAGAAUAGGAAUCAUGGGGAAUUUUGUGCCACACAUUUAUGUACGAAACUAAUAAAUGUAGCUCCCAAUUCGGGUGUAUACAUUUAUCAUUUCCAAGGUCUAGAUUAGCAUGCCUACCAAACAGUCUUUUCUUCAUUUUUGUGCAUUUUUCAAGGAAAUUGAUUUUUAUAUAAAAAUAAACAAGGUUGUGAAAUGAAAGUUCUUUUUGUAUAGCUUCUUGUGUUUAAUUUUAAGGGGAAGUUACACCUAAAACUAAUAUCAUAAUUUUUAAAGAAUAAUAUUGAUAUUAUAUAGUUUUAUUAAAUGUAAACCUUUUAACAUAAAUUAAAAUAAAGGUAAUGUGAAAAGUAAUAUUUUCUUAAUUUUCAUAUUUAAUUUUUUAAAAAUUAUAAAUUCCUUUAACAAAAUAAACCCAAUAAGUAUAAAAGUUCUUAUUGAGUUUAAAAAAAUAACUUAAAAAAGAUCAUCAAUUAAAAUUUCAUGUUUUGAUUCUUUUCAAUAGACAAGUUGAGACAUGUAAAAUUGAAUGCAUUAGCACGCUCUCAGCAAGUAAAGUAACAGAAUUUUCAUUAACUUCCUACUAUUUUUGAAACAAAUCUAAAUACCAUUUACUUCAAACAAAAACCAAGUUAAAAAUUAUCUAACAAUUUCAAAGAUUACACAAACAAAUUUUAGCUCAAAUUAUCUACUAAUCCACUUAUCAAAACAAAGUUAUUUUCUUAGUCAAGAUAAAUAUGGAAAAAUUAACUAAUAAAGAAAUAGAAAGAAUAAAGCAAUGACACCAAGAUUUAACAUAGAAGAUCUUUAAAGAAAUUAAAAACCAUGGAUCUAUAAAUGAUAAAAAAAACAUCCACUAUAAAUAGUAACAACUGUUAUAAGAUUUUACCUAACUCAAGUCCGUCAAUCCUUCUUGAAUCACUUGACUGAUACUUUUCCACUUCAUUUAUCUGUUUUUUUUUCCUUUCAAAACAUACUUAAAGUCCACAUUAAAUUUAAUCUUGACCUCUUCUUAAGUUCACACAAGACGAAAAUAGGAUUUACUUCAACCCAAUAACCCUAAAGAGAGAAUGGAUGAAAGAACCAAAAGAAUUAGUCCAUACUUUAAAAAAACCUCAAUCAAAAAUUGUUGUAAACUUCAAAAUGGAUAGGAGUUUCUUGGGAAACAAACACACUCAUACUCAGAAUGGGAGAGGAGUACAAUGGUUGUGUGUGACAACUAUUGGAGCCUCAACCCUAAAAUGAAGGUUUUGGAUUUAAAUAGGAAGGAAAACCUUAAUCUAAUGACUAAAAAAUAAUACAACAGUAGAUAGAUUGAUCCUGGAUCAAUCUUGGAACAAAGCACAAAAAUACGUAGUUAAAAAAAAACACAAAAGCUACCCAAGUCUCCUAAAACUUCUUUAAAGGAUUUUCACUAUUUUGAAAAUCCCGAUUGAUUUAAUUUUGCCCCUCCACUACCUUAACUACAUACCUUAGUCUCUAAAUACCUUCAACGCCUCAAAGUUCUUUAUUAGACAAAUAAUCGGAGGAAGGAUUUGAUAGACCCAAAUUAAGAGACCGCUCGUGAGCUCUUAGUUGCCCGAAAUUGCCAACUACGACACUCACAAUGGGGCACAACCACUUAGACUCACAACCCCACCUCAUUCCCAUGGCUGGCAGCAUAAUGCACUUAGAUUGCGCGCUCUCUACCACCAAAGCUUGUAGCAUUUUGUUACAUAAAUAUACUGAGCAACAGAGAAGGUAAUUGUUUUGAACUGCUUGGCAAAUUUGUUCUUUGAUAUUGGGUACAAAUGUCUCUUGUUUUUUAAAAAUUUAUAAAAAUAAUGCUAUUAAAUCUGUCAAUAAAAAAACAUUUGAUGGGUUGCUUCUAAAUAAAUGCGGAGCAACGUAAUACUUUUAGUUUUAUGACGUGAAGGCAUAUUAUCUGUCAAGGAAAUCCUACAAUACUCUGAUCAAUUUCGAAAGCAGGACUUCCACAAAGAGCUAACCGAUUUAUUUGCCUUUCUUUUCUCUCACUGCCACAUUGCUGAAUAAAUUAAAGCUUUGGAAAUGAAUAUUCAAUCAUAUAAGGCCUAUCAGGUUAGAUUGGACUUAGAACCAAUACAGCGCAAUGGGGUCUAAACCCAAUCUAAAACACUCAGAGAUCUGGAGUUUAUGGUUGAGUAAGCCCUGUUAUCAUUGGAAUUAACACACGUGAUUCAUUUUCUUCAAGCAGGAUCAACUGUUUGGCUCCUUUCCCAUUCAUCUCAGUUUCAGAUCAUAAUCAUUCCUCAUCUUAAAGAACUGCUUCUCUAUCCUAACCAUACGAGGUGUUUAUUUUGGGUUACUUGUCUGAUAUUUUUUAACUUAGAACAAUUCCUUAGUUUUGAUCAAGGAGUUGGACGUCAAUUUUUCUCACAAACGAAAACCAGCCAGAGAAAGAAAAACACAGAUCCGGGCACGGUAAAGAAGUAUCAGAGCAUUAAGCUAAGCAAUUGCAUACCCUCACACUUGCUCCUAUAGAAACAACCAAAGCUCACAGCAUUUUCAUCAGCAUCCAAACGUCUAAGCCUGCAUUUCUCUUUCGGUGCUAAAAGUUUUUGGGCAGAACAGCCAGUCACUCAUGAUGGCCAGUUCUAGAGCGCUUGAGUUGGCAGGGGCAAUGAUGUUUAUCUGCAUGGCGGUGGUUGCAGCACUGGCAGCUGAAUAAGCCCUAAUAUGUUAUCAGAUGAACAACACCUUCACCAAUGCAGUUCUUUCCUGAGGAACGGUGGUUCAGUCACAGCAGAAUGCUGCCAAGAAGUUAGGACCCUCAACAAUGGAGUUAAGAACACCAAAGACCGCCAGACCACCUGUGUGCUUGAAGAAGGGCGAUAUCCUCCAUUUAUGGAAUCAAAUUGAACUACCUCUCUGAGCUUCCAGGCAAAUGUGAAGUCAGCGUUCCAUACAAGAUUGACCCCUCCAUUGAAUGCCUGCAGGUAUUCAGGGCUCAUGGCUCUGUCUUCUGAGCAGUUGAGCAUUACUUUAAAAUUGAUGAUUUUUACUAUUGUUUUGUCAUUGUGUUGCAGGGUGAAGUAAGGUUGACAAGUUAACAUAUAUGGCACUCAGGAUAUAGUAGAUUGAGACAAAGAUGGACGGAGAGAGACCUAACGGGGACUCCUCUUCAUCCCAGAAAAAAAAAAAGAAAAAAGAAAAAAAGAGAAUGCCCAAAUAUUGCAUCUUUUGCACUACAAAUGUACUGGAUUUGCAUUCUAAUAAAAUAUAUCGUGCCUCAAGCACUUUUAAGUGUACUGGAUCUGGAUUGAAUGUGGUAAACUGUUCCAAUUGUAAUAUUAUCUGGAAUAUACUCAAAGACCACCAACAAAUCACAUCCAAAAAGAUGCAGACAGGUGAAAAUGAGUCAAGGGAUUUUUUUUCCUGUUCUUUUUGCCCCUCUUUUUCAUGACUACAGGCUUCUGAACCCUAGUCCUUGAGACACAGGACUAAUCUCAAUCAGGUAAUCACCCACAAACCCAAGAGAAGAAUUUCUCAUUUGCAUGGCAGGGCCAUGGUUUUUGGUUUAGAAGAUCAACUUAGCCAUCUAAAAGGAAGUAUAGAUUAGCUCAGGUAAUGUGUGGUAAAUAGCAGUUGACAAAUAGACAAACAAAAUCUAGAGAAGAUAAGGGAUUCUAGUUUCAGAGCUGAUUUUGCAAGUUUGCUAAUAGUGCUUAUAAGCUCAAGAAAUAUAAUAAUAUUAAUAUUUGAUCAUCCAAAAAGAACCUAGUGAAUUAUAAGAUGAUAAGAAGUUCAUGGGCAUCUAGCACAAAGAAAAAAAGAAGAAAUAAUAAUGGAGCACCAGUGCAGCACCAUACCUCUUCUUUAAAUUAAGCAUUGAAAUGGGAACCCUGCAAGAAAAGAACUUGCGACUCAUCAUACAACUAAAAAUAAGAAAUGGGAUUGGAGCUUCUCUUUUUGGAUUCAUACCUGCCAGAAAUUUAUUGACUAGAAUUUGUCCUUACAGGAUGUUUUACUCUUUCUAAAUCAGUCACUGUGCUCAAUUGUAAACAAAGUGCUCCACAGCAGGUUGUGGCUCUCGCAAGCAUGAAGCGAAUGCAGAGCUGAGAUAUUGUUGAUUAUCAUUCAACACAAAAGCUCAUGGCUUAAAUAAAACAUCUUUCAGGAAACUGUGUAUGUGUAUAUGAUUAUAUACAAAGGCAUUACUAAUUGUCAGCAAUUGGAAAUAUGGGAAGAAAUAGUUCUAAUGCUAAAAGAAAAGGAUAAGGUGCAUUUAAUUGGAUAUCAAUACAUUAUUUUACCUUUUGAUGGUAGUCUACAUUUCUCCUGUGGCAUUUACAUCUUCAUCAAGUAGAAGUCUCUCUAGCCGAGACACAAGGUUAUUUGAGGAGAAGCUUAAAAGUUCAUUAUCUCUUCUCAGGUCAUUCACUUCCUUAUUUAAAUCUACAAUCUGCCCUUCAAGCUGCUGGCUUGAUAAAAGCUGGUCUCCUAAUAUAUUAUUUUCUCUUCUCAGUUUGUCUAUCUCUUCCAUUAACUUCAUAUUUUGCUCUUCUAAUAACUGAUAUCUUGUUCUCAAGUCAUCCUCCUGAAACACGUAUUUCAAAUAAAUAACUGAUGGGAUGAAAAACAAAUAAAAAAAAGGCAAGAAAUAAAGAUAUACAUACAACACUAAUGGUAAAAUUCAUGGAAGAAUUCUUUGAGGUUGAUGGAUGCUGCAUUUGCUCUUUUGGUUCCUCUGAAACACAACAAGAUGCAGAUGGGCAUCCUGUUGCAUCUGUUAACACUUCUACUACAUUUUCUGGUGCCCUCAAAUGCUCCAGAUUGUUUUCUUGUAUCCUGUGCCCUUCUCUGACUAUUUCCCUUUCUGACCCAUUUUCAACUGCUUGUUUAUCCAUCAAGUGAGAUCUGAUUCUCAAGUUAUCAUCCUGUUAAAUGAAAGAAGUUCUGUCACAAAAACUCAAUAAAAUACUUCAAACAAGCAAGAAGAAUGUUUACAUUGGCAAGAGAAGCCCCCUCCUUUCUUACAUUUUCUUUUAAAAGAAAUAAAACUAAGGAAAAGAACUCACAUCAACAGUCAACAUAAUAGAUGAAGGAUAUUCAGGUUUAGAAACAUCCGUCCUGUCAUUUUGUGCAGCUAUUAACUCUUUGAUUAUAUCAAUUUCUAACUCCUCAGAAGUCAGUUGAAGUUCCCAAGUUAUCUGAUAACAAACAGAAGUUGUCAGCACCUACCUAACAAAAUUAAAACAAACAGCAGUUCAGUUGGAUACAUCAUGAGCUACCAUAUCAAAUGGGUGUCAUGUUAGAACACUAUGGCUAACUCAGUUAAAAGUUUUUGAGGUCUAAAAACAAGCAAAACACUUUUUUGUUGUUUCAAUCAAUAUGCAUAUGCAGGAGACCACAGGACCUAUACUACCACUACAUAAAUUAAUUGUGAAUAUAAAAUCAGUUUAGAUAGGUCUCAUUGCCUGAUUUUCCUGCAGUUCCUUAAACUUUGUAGUGAUCCAUUUUCUUUGAUGUGACCUACAAUUUUCCCAUCGGCAUGCACGGGGAAACGUCAAGUAGCAAUCUAGCAAACUAGGCCGGGCAAUGUCAAUAUGCUCAUAAGACCAUAUCUGUUCAGAACAAUAUAACCAAGGUCAAUAUUGUAAUGAUGCAUAAUAGUUACUUAAAAGAUAAAACAGCCCUUAUAAAUUUUUGCAUUAUACUUGGGCACACCUUAAAUCCUCUGGCACCAAUUCCCCAUGCUGUUUUGCAUAAAUAAUCAAGCAAAACACUGUGCUCCCUACUCAGCCUCUCUUGUGCUUUUAUUUCGCAAAAAUUUUAGGAAGAAAGAGAGAAGAUGGAGGGAGGAAAGAGUGUUGAGGUUGUGUAUGUAAUGUCAUAAAAAAGAUGCUCCAAAUAUUUAUGUGAAGACUAUAGGGAUAGCUCCUUGACUAAACAAGAAACAUAUGACAGAGAAUCAAGAAAUAUUAGAGAUAGAGUUGAAGAAACUUACUUGGAGAAAUAUAAGACAACUUCCUACAUAUUGUACAUUCAUUUCCUUUUUUUUGGACAACCACUUAAUUAUGUCCUCUAGAACAGCUGCACCCCAGGCCAGUUGAUGCACAUUAUCCAAGUCUUUGAGAACAGAAAGAUAUCGGGAAUCUACUUUUCCAUUUGCAUUUGGAAAAAGAAAUGUCCCAAAUGUAAAUAAUAAAAAAGCUCUGGCAAAAUCAUCAUUAGCUAUCUCACCAAUGGACUCAAGUUUAUUCUCAAUCGACGAAACCAUGAUUUUCCUAUUUGAAAUAGUAGCACCAUAUUCUUUUUCUAAAUCUGAAAAAGGUUCAUCUUCCUUUAAGACUACGGAAUCACCCAUUACACGUAGUCCCAGAAUGAGUGCAACAUCCAUGAGAGUAAUUGUAAUCUCCCCAGGAAGAAGUAUGAAAGCAUGCUUCUCACAACUCCACCUUUCCAUUAAUUCAACUAAAAGAUUCUUGUUAAGUGUCUGAAUAGGCAUCUCAAGGAGAUGCCCAAAUCCCAUCUUCUUUAUUGCAUUUCUUUGAUCAUCUGUUAGUUUCUCCACUCGCCUGACAAAUGAUGGCAAGGAAAACCUGGUACUGAAAUUCCCAACCUGCAUGCAUAUAUUAAGUGCACAUUUUUAUUGACAUAAGUGUGUGUUUUCCAUAAUCCUGCAUAUGUCAAUUAUAUGUGUGCUUUAUCUAAGGUUUUAUGUAUGUCACAAAACUAAAAAAGCAUAAGUUAAAAAUUUUUUCUCAUUGCCACUUGUCUUUUAGAGAAGUUCUAUUUACCUACCACCAAUUCUGUUUUUCUUUUUCUGAGUUUGUUUUUUCACUCUAUAACCAAAAUUCUCUUUCAGAUGUCAUCCACAAGUUCAAAAACACUGAAUAAACCAAAUCAACCAAACACUUUGUCCUAUCCUUAGUAACCAUGUCAUUCAAGCUUGAAAGAAGUAGAUAGCUUAGGAUACUGAGUUAUAUUCCAAAACACUUUGUCUAUUUACCCUUGUUGUAUUGAUCAUUUUUGCAUCUUAAGUAAUGAUAGCUUAGAUAGAAUCAGUAUUGAUUAAUACAAGACAAUCCAAUCAAAUACGCAAAAGACAACAUCCAACAAAGCUGAACAGCAAAAGAGGAUGCUUGUUUAGUGCAUAUUGUGAUAAUAUAUUAACAGAAGAGUGUGAGAUGGACAAGUGGAAAGAACCGAGGAAGUUAAGACAAAUAUCAAAUGCAUUUAAGAAGCAUCAAAACCAACACUGCUUGUGCUUUUAAAGUAUAUGAAGUUUGAUCACUAUGUUUUGAAAUGUUAUAUAUCCUUUCAAAAGUUUCACUCUUUUAUACAAAAGUAGACAGGUGAGAACCUCUUCAGAAAAUUUCAGCAAGCCAGAAGGGAGCAGGUUGCAAGUGCAAGACAGAGGUACUAGAGGGGCAGUAUGAAGCUAGGAAAUUGAUGACAUUCAGUAGAAAAACCUGCUAUGCUGAUGACCAAUUGGUGAGAUGAUGAAAAUUAUCUCAUCAAACACAAAUUCUUGACAAUGCAGAAAAUAGAACCAUGCAUAUAAAGGUAUAAUGCUGUUGAAUGAAUGAGUGUUGCAAAUGUUUUGCUUGAGUUUGGUUGUUUGAUUCCCAGAAAGUAUUAAGAAAAUUUUAAAAAAAAUAUUAAGGAAAAUGAUUUAUGCACAUUUUGUUUCACUAUGAAAAAUAGUGCAAGAAAAUCAAACACAAUUAAAAUUAGUUAAAAAAUAAUGCAUUUUCCCUCAAAUUUUCCGGAACCAAGAAUGGCUUAAGGUAUAUAAUUUCCAAGUCUUUGUUUACUGCUACUAUAGAACUAUAUUCCCUUCAAUUUUUUUUUAUUUUUUAAGUUUCAAUUGAAAAGAAUUCUACUUUAGGGUUAUGAACGUUCAAUAGGUCUUCUACAGCAAUUUUGUUGUUAGGUCAUGGCAAAAAUACAUGCUUUUUAUAAAAAUAAAAAUAUGGGGAAGACUAGGUACCAUGAGACCAUCCUGAAGUGCCAAUUCAUGACACCCAGGAUUCAAGUCCCUGUAUGGCCACUUCCACAAACUCAUCCCUUCCAGAAUCCCAGAAACAGGGCCACGAAGCAAUGGAUUUUAUGAGCCUUUCAAUCACAAAAAAUGCACUCAGAUCACAAUUUGCUCAAACAAAAAUUGAUACUCUCCACAUGUGUUUCUACGAAUCGCUACUCCCACAGACACAAAAUGACUAAUUUCUGUAAUUUCCAGGUCCAGGUCUCCACAUCAGCCAAGUGAAAUUUCUAAAUUUUUUUCCCAAAUUGAUAUCACAAAAUUUUAAAAAAUAAAAUAAAAUAAAAUAAAGAAAAGGGGGAAAGAAAGAACGAAAUACUUACCGAGCUCCGUUCUUCUUCUAAUCCUAUGGAAGAUUUCCUCGUCGCUCUCUUCAUCUCAACCCAAUCCUUUCACACUCCUACUGUGAACCCUAACUUUCUCAGGGCUUGAGAAGGAAAAGAACAACCAUUUGAAAAUCUUAAUAAAUCUUACUCGGAUAAUUUUUAUUUUUUUAUUUUAUUUUUGUGAAACUUGUGAUGGAAGCUUACAGGCAAAGUUAAAACUAAAAAGGGCGCGAAAAAAUGGCGGGACAUGAUUAGGUGCUUUGCGUUCACAUACGUGGCUUCUGGUGAUUGCAGUGCAGGUAAAAAUUUCGCUGACAAGGUUACCAUCCGUAAUUGGAUUUUGUGGUCCUUGUUGGAAGCUUUGAUUGAUUUUAAAUUUUAAAAUGAAAUUUUCAUGAUAAAUUUAAAAUGUAAAUUUUUUUUUUUUUACCACAAAUAAUAAAUAUUAAAAUUAGAUUUUUUUUUCCAUUUUUGGAUUCUUAAAGACAUUUUCUGUAAAUAAUAUUUUUUGAGUUUCAUUAAUAAUAUUAAAAAAUGUAUAUGCUUAGCGGUGUAAAAAAAUAUACAUAUUAAGUUCCCAAAAAGUAAAAGAUUGUAUUUUAAAAUCACUUUAUUGUUAUUAAUGAUAAUUAAUAAAGAUGAUUCACAAAAACAUGCUAUCAAAUAAUACAAUAUCUUAGAUUUGUCAUAUGUUUUGUGCCAAAAAAAUGUGUCUGAAAGUCCCAAAAAAAGGGUAAAAAAUGAAUUUUAAAAGCAUUUUCUUAUCAUUAACAAUAAUUAAUAAAAAUAAUACCACAAAAACAUGCUAUCAAAUAAUACAUUAUCUAGAUUUAGACAUAUCUCGAUAUUAGUGGUGAUGAUGUGCUUACAAUAUGGUUAAAAAUCCCAUAGAGGUGUACCCUACAUCUACAAUCUAAAAGUCCUCGUUCAAGACCUGGAGAAAGAAAAAGAAAUAAUAGCAUGUGUGUCUACGCAUAUGCACAUUUGUACUGUAAUGCCCGGCUAAAAUCAUAAUUUAGAAAUUAUUAAUUAAUUAAAAUAAUUUAAUAAGGGUAAAAAAGCAUUUUCGUAUUUAAAACACCUAUAUAUAUAUAUAUAUAUAUAUAUAUAUAUAUAUAUAUAUAUAUAUAUAUUAUAUCUUUCCUAUAUUUUCUAUUCAAAAAAUCCUUUUACACAUAGAUCAAAAAAAUCAGAGAGCAUAGGGUUGAAGGUUUGAAGGUUUAGGGUUUGAAGAUCAAUUUUUCAGGUAAGAUUUUUAAUCUUUAAAUUAAUAUUUUAUAUUCGUUAACUAGUUAUAAACACUUUAGAUAUUCUUUGAAAUAUCUUAAUUUUGAUUAGAGUUCAUUUAAUUAAUUUAUAGGUCAAAAAGAUUAAAAAUUUAUUAACAUAGUUUGAUUUAUUAAUGAAGAUCAAUAAAUUUUGAUUACUCAAAUGAAUAGAUUUAGAAAAAAAAAUUAAAAAAAUUAUAUAGUUUUGGAUGUGAAAAUUACAUAAAAUUGUGAGUAUAGAGGUUAAAAGUUUUGACUUUAGAGAGUGGAAAAAAAUGAUGAAAGAAGCGUAGGAAGGAUUUGACGUGUUGAAAAAAAAAAAAAAAGAAUUGCAUGAGGGAUUUGUUAAGUUUAAGUAGGAGAUUUAAAUAAUAGUAAUAAUAAUUUAAUGCAAAUAAAUAUUCUUAAAAGAUUUAUUUUAGAUAAGUUAGAAAAAAUGAAAUAAAUUAUUGUUUAGGAAGUUGAAAAUAAUAUUGGAUGGUAAUAAUAUUAAUAUGGGAAAUUAAUUAAGAUACCUAAUACUAAAUAAAAUAUUUUUGAGAUUGUCAAACUUACAUAUUUAGAUAAAUAAUCAAUAAUCAAUAUUGUGUAUGAUAUUAUGUUAGGUGAGGAGAAAAUUAUUCAGAGUUAAAUACUUCAAGAUUUUGAGUGCUUUUUCAAGGUAAUGGAAAUUAAUGUUAAAAAAAAUAAUUUUCUUUUUAUAUUGUAUUAUGAAAAGUGUAAAAAUAUUAUUUUUAUCUUUUUGUAUGGAUCAAAUAUGUGUUUUGUAUGGAAAGUAUAUUUGAGAAUCUUCUUUAUUUAUUUAUGAAAAGCGAAAAUUUUUUGAGAUAUGAUAUUUUGUUUUGCAAGUUUGAAUUAAUGAAAUAAGAGAAAAAAUUUGGAGAUAUGAUAUUUUGUUCUGCAUGUUUGAAUUAAUGAAAUAAAGUGUUUAACUCUAGUUCCUAUGGCCCUAGUCAACGGGUUAUAAUUGUUGACAUUUCUAUGGCCCUAAUCAACGGGUUAUAAUAGUUGAUAUUAUAUGACCCUAGUCAAUGGGUUAUAAUAGUUGACCUUAUAGCCCCUAGUCAACAGGUUAUAAUUGUUGACUUUUGGUGUUAUUCACCUUAAAUAGAACAAAUUUGAAACUAGUCACUUAUUUGUGAAGUCCCACCUAAUUGGGCACCAUUUGUUAUUUAAUAAUCAGAGUAAGAUAUUUUGAAUGCAUUUGAUUUGGUUUUGAUGAGAAAUUGUUUUGAAAUGGAUAUGAGAAAGUUUGUUGAAAAGUUUGAAUAUAUUAGUAUUUCGAACUCAAAAGUUUUUAUGAAAAUAAGUAUAUGUUAUAUCUCCUAUUUGCAAAUAUGAUUAAAAAUAUUUAAUCCAUGAAACUGCAUUGAUGUUCCUUAUUGAGUUUUAAGUUUAUGCCCCUUCGUUGAUAAUUUUUCAAGUACUUUUAGUUCGGGCGAGGAGUGAUGGCUAGGCUUAGGAAUUUUUCUUUGUUAGGUCUUUGGUUCAAACUUUUUUUUUGGACAUUGUUUAGAUCUUAAAAUUUAUUUUCCAUUUAAAUUAUUUGAAUUUGGAGUUAUUUGGACAAUAACACUCUGGUUGAUGUGUUAGUUUUUUUUAAGUUGAUACUUGGAGAUUUUAGAAUUUUGUUCUACUACUCUGAACAGGAAUUUGGUAAUUGGUAAAUUUCCAAUUACAAUACGAAUGUUUGUGUCGUUUCCACUUUGAGUCAUUGGGUUUGAGGUGUGAAAUGACCGUCAUAACCUUGUAGUGGGUUUUGGGGCGUGACAUGUACAUAGAUCUUCCAUUUAUUUUAAAUCUAGAGAAGAAAAGAGCCCUAUUUUUAAUAAAACACUUAGGGGGAAAGCUCGAUUGAUUAAGCCUAAACUAACAUCCCUUGUAUUUACUCCAUCAUAAUACAAACUAGAUAAAUCAAAUGAACCUAAUCACAAUUUAUUUUGUUUAAGUAGCCUAACAAUGGACUUAUAUGUUGUUAGUCCAAUGGUUUUCCUAAUCACAUUUUAAUGAUAACAAGCCAUGAUCACUAUACUAGUAAUUUAAAAUCAAGAUGAGUUUCAAGUUUUAUUUUGAGAAAUUCAAAUAAAAAUUCAAGAUAAUCAUCAAAGAAUCAAAGAAGUGCAAGUCCAAGGGUGCAUGAAGACUGUUCAAGCCUAGGAAUUCUUUGUAAGAUGAAUAAAUGGGUGCACUUAGGAUUUUCAUAUAAAAUCAUGCAUUUUUCAAUACUUGAUUUUUCAUUAAAACCCGAGUAUUCUCACAUGAUCCUUAGGCAAAUUAAUUUAAACUUGACUUACUAAAGUACCUAUAAACCUUGACUAAGUCUUAGAAGGAAAAAAAAAAUUAAAAAAUCUAAGUUUUUAGGUCAAAAUAGGUGAAUCAAAGAAAUUGCUCAUCAGGGAACCAAUCGAUCAAUUAAGCCUUCCUAGUAGAGGACCAACUGAGGAAUGCAAAAAAAAUUUCUCUCUCAUUCAAUAGUUAUGCAGUCCUAGUUGAUAGGAACCUUUCUCGGUCAAGGGAAAGCUCUUUCUAAUUGAGGUUUGGUCUAGGGUCCAAUAAUCACUUGUUGUGCAUUUGGUGCACAACAGUUAGUCAACUGAUUGAAUUAGAGCUCGACUAGACGAGGCUAGGUUAUGCCACUUUUGGUGUCCAAGCUAGAAACCUAUAAAUUGAGAGUUUCAUUUCAUUUACUACAUAGAAAACGUCUGUAAUUAUCUUCACAGCUACUUGUUUCUCAUUAAAAGUUUUUUCAUACUUUGUGCAUUGAUUCUUCAUUUGCAAACCACCUUAGCACCUUUGUCAUUCAUCCUAGCUUUCUUUUGUAUUUGUUCAUUUAUUAAGUUAGGGUAAUAUCUUAUUUCAUUGAUUAUUAAAGAGAGGUUGCGAGUAUUUAAAGUUUUAAGUUGAGGUAUACUUGAAGGGAUAUUGUUGCUAGGAACCCUAGAUUUAUCCAUUCCUUUACCCUGAAUUGUAUAGGUGCAUGCAAAACUACCAUAGGUCGCUAGAUCCUAUACAAGGAAAGCAAAAAAUAGAUUUUUACAAUUCUAGGAUCAAGAGGAAAGCCAUUAGAGAAAUUUACCUUUGAUUUGGAUGUUCCUAAAUCAAUUCCGCUUGGUGAAGAUGAAGAAUAAUGAAUCUAAAAGUCUCGUACACCCAAGAUCUUUCUCCUUAUGACUCGAACCAUGAUCCCAACACCCCAAAAUGUGGACUUUGGAAAUGAUGAUCUCUUGGCUCUCACUAUCUCUCUUUUUUUUUUGAGGUGGAAGACACUGUUUAUCUUAAAGUUGUGGAAACCCUAGCCCCUAUGGGGUAUUUAUAAGGUUCCCCUAUUGGGCUCACUAAUUUGAACUCACCAAGGCUUAGGUUACUUAAUUUAACCCAAAAUUGGUCUUAAUUGAUUAAUUAACCAUAUAAGGUCAUCUAAUUUAUCAAUUAGUCCAAUCCAGAGAACUUAUUCAGUAUCUCUUAUGCAACCUUGUGUAAUCACCAAAACACCCUUAUGCACAAGAAUGAACCAAGAGUCAAUUCAUCUUUCAUAAAUCAUGUCAUUAUGGUAUAUGAGCUUAAAGUGGAGACCAUUGGGACCCAUAGAAGUACUAUCUCUUUCAAAAUCCAAUUUUGAAAUUUAUUCAACAUUCCACCAAAGAGAAUCAAUUGCACUUCAGUAUCUUAAGUAAUUAAAAACAAGAAGAAGCUCGGGGUCCAUGACCUAUUAUACACCAUAUGCAAAUUUAUCAUGAAUUGAUGUUCGUAAUCUAACAAGGUAGUGCUAUCAUCUAUUAAGAUUAUCUCUUCAAUUAUUGAGUUAUAAAUUCCAUUUAUUAUGUGAUCAAUUGAGAUAUUAUAACUCUAAAGAGCAUAUAUCAAAUUUCCACUAAAUGAAAUGUUAUGACCAUAGUUUUCUAGAUCACAUGUCCUUUGAAUCACCCAAUGAGACACAUUGUCUCAAUCCAUGAGAUAUCAUGGUGUCUUUAUUGAGACUACCUAUUACCACCAACCUCCAUCAAAAGUGGCUCAAUCCAUAGGGAUAUAUAACCACUUUAGGAUCUCACUCAUAGGUUAAAACCUCUUGUUAACUUUGGCGCAUGCUCAAUAUCCUCUUAAGGUUGAGAGUUAAUGCAGUAUAGUAGUCUGGUGAAUCAUGAAAAUUGAUAGCCUUAUGUCAUGAUUCACCGUAGGUCCAAUCCAAUGCUCAUCAUAUGCGCUAGUACACUCAUUAUAGGAAAAUCAUCCUGACAACCAAGACAAAUUAUCCCACUAAUUAUGAGGUAGUAUACUACAGUCUCAGAUGGAUAGCCCAAAUCCAUGAACCUACUAUGAACAACUCAUCACUCUACAAGGAAUCCAUGACUUGAAUCUUCUGUGCAACUCCUAAUGCACCCAAGUCAUGUACAAUGUAAGUGAUGUAAGGUGUGUAUGUUCAAAUAACCUAUUAAUACAAAUGAGAUAUUUAAGGGAAACUAAGAAACAUAAAUAAAUAAAUUUAUAAAUGAAUUUCAAUCUGUUACAUCAUAUCAUGCUUUCCAAUGCUCAAUCCCAACAAUUGUAAUGUCCAUUGGAGCCAGAAACCAAGUGUAGAGCAUUGGAACCUUUGAAGCUUGAGGAGAGUGAACGUAUAUAAGAAGUAUCGAACCACUAUAAAAACUAUGUUUGCUUUCACUAUAGAUCUCUUUAUUUAUUCCUUUUUAAUUUGUUUAAAUUUGGUAUGUUUGGAAAAGAUUUUUAAAAACUCAAUUCACAUCAUCUUGGGUGAUUUUCUUAAUUGAUUAGCCUUAAAUCCACGUAUGUAAAUAAUAUUUUUUUUCAUUAUUGUUUGUGUUUCACAUAACUUUAUUAUUUAAUAAUGAUUUUUUUUCUUCAUGUAGGAAGGAGAUCAUAUUAUUAUCACCACUAGGAGUUGUUUAUGCUAAAGACACUAUAACUCAAAGCUUUUCUUCCAAUUUAUUAAUAUUUCAACAUUUGAUGUAUUGGGCAAUCAAGUUAAAUACUUUAAAAUUUUCAUGCUAUUUCUAUUUAUAUUUCAAACUAUAUAUAUUAUUGACAUAUAAAAAAUAGUUAAUUAAAGUUUAGAUGUAUAAUCAUAGUGAACAAAAUAAGUGUAGCAAAAAUCACAUGCACUUGCCAAUCACCCCCUCAAACUUUAAAUCUUACGUCCACCAUUCUCUUCAGGUUUUGGGCUAGUCAAAACAUGUCCUAAAUUCACUAUAGAAAUUGCAAAAAAUAUCAUUUCCUACCAUCUAUUAAAGAAUGUUUCAUUAAAAGAAUCGAUUUUAGAGGUAUCGGGACGAGUGUGAACUACGGAAGUUUUUUUUAACAAAAAAUAAAAUAAAAAUUGAUAUACUUUUAAGAUUAUUGAAAAAAUUAGGUCUAAAAAAAUUAUGCUAAACUAAAAUUAACCAAGCGCAAACAAAUAGGAAAAUAAAUUCUAAUUAGGGUAUCCAUCAUAUUUGCCUUAGGUGUGACAAACAUUAUCUUUAAAGUAGAUCUACACUCCUCGAGUAUCAAACUCGGUGCAAUAGAGAACUAACGUCUUACUUUCAUAAUUCAAUAACCAAAAUCCUUGCUUUAGGUGCACACCUUUAGCAAGGAAUAAUACAGCUCAAUCUUAUAGAAAUUCUUCUAAAUGAAAAGUUGAAAAUAUUGGAAUUAGGGUACAACAACGUUCAAGUAUUACAAUAGAGUAUGGUACUACACUAACAAAAGGAGACGUAGUGCUGAAAAAUGGCUACAGUAGAUAGUAGAUGUAAUAACGAUAGACAAUAUAACGAUAAUUUGGUUACUAGUUGUAGUCAAGGUUUGAAAUAUCAAUAAACACGAAUAUAUCGGUACUUGAAUUUUACGGAUAUAUUAAAAAUAUUGGUGGAUAUUUUGACAAAAAUAUCAAUGAGGCGAAAAUUAUUCAAAAUUUAUGAAAAUAUUUGGAAAAACUUCAAAAAAUAAUAAAAUUAAUUAAUUAAAAUAUGUAUGUUAAAAUUGUUUUCUAAGUGUAAUUAACAUAGAUAUGGUCAAAGAGAAAAAUAUUGGUAAGUAAGGAUAUAUUGGUCUUAAUAAUUUAUUAUUUACCUAAUAUAAUUAAAUUAAAUUUAUAAAAUAUUAGAACUUCAUUAUUAUUAUUAUUAUUAUUUAAUAUUUUAGUAUUUUAAAAUAAAUUUAUAUUUUUAAUAUUUUAAAAUAAAACAUUAAAAAUUAAAUAAAAUUAAAAGGAUAACUAUAAAAAAAUUUAAAAGUUAAGUGACGGUAUUUUUUUAAAAAUGGGAUUAAUGAGAUAAAUGAUGAUACAUUUAAUAUUAAAGCUAUAAUUUAUUUAAUUCAAAUGUAUUCAAUAAUGUAAAAUAAAUUAUGAUGUCUAUAUGAUUUUUUAAUUUUUAUAUUUUUAUAUUUAAUUAUCAUAUAAAUGAUAUUAAAAAAUACUUGUUAAGAAAAUUAUAAUGAUGGUUUUUAUACAUUUAUUAAUCAAUUAAAUAAAAUUUAAAUAAAAUAAUUAAAUUUUUUUUUUUUAAUAAUGAACUUUAACAUAUUUAUUAUUAACAUAUAUUAACAAAUGAGAACUUGGCCUAGUGGUAACCAGGCUUGAACUCAAUAAAAUUUGAAAUUUGAAGGGGCUUGACGUGUUGACCAUGUUUGACUUACCAAAAAAUCGGUAAAAAAAAAAAAACGUAGCCAAUUUAUAGAAGAAGGAUCCUAACAUUUUAAACCAUGGUUAUGAUGCAAAAGAAGUAGCUAAUUUAUAGGAGAAGGAGAUUACAGAGAGGAAAGGAGAAUGAAUAACUCUAAUGAGAAUGAGCCAAAUCAAUCUAAUAAAUUUCAAAUGUUAUAAAUGUUUAUAACAUUUAUUAAUCAAUUAAAUAAAAUUUAAAAUAAAAUGAUUAAAAUUAUUAUUAUUUUUUAAUAAUGAGCUUUAACAUAUUUAUUAUCAACAUAAAUUAACAAAUAAGAACUUGGCUUAAUAAUAACCAAGCUUGAACUCUAGAAAAUUUGAAAUUUGAAGGGGCUUGGCGUGUUGACCAUGUUUGACUUACCAAAAAAUCGAUAAAUGUCGAUGAAAUAUCGACGAUAUUUUAGCGAAAUAUCCAGACAUUCCAAACCAUGAUUACGAUGCAAAAGAAGUAGCCAAUUUGUAGGAGAGGGAGAUUACAGAGAGGAGAGGAGAAUGAAUAACUUUAAUGAGAAUGAGCCAAAUCAAUCUAAUAAAUUUCAAAUGUUAUAAAUGUGAGGGGCCCUCAUGUAGUAACCAAGCUUGAACUCAAGAAAAUUUGAAAUUUGAAGGGGCUUGAUGUGUUGACUGUGUUUGACUAACCAAAAAAUAAAAUAAAAAACAGAUAAAUGUCAAUGAAUAUCGAUGAUAUUUUAACGAAAUAUCCUGACAUUUCAAACCAUGAUUACGGUGCAAAAGAAGUAGUCAAUUUAUAGGAGAGAGAUAUUACAAAGAGGAGAGGAGAAUGAAUAACUCUAAUGAGAUGGAGCCAAAUCAAUCUAAUAAAUUUCAAAUGUCAUAAAUGUGAGGGCCCUCAUGUAGGAUGUGAGGGGCCCAAAUUCCCACUAUAAUGGGUUUGAGCCCCUUGGAUGUGCAAGGCUCCCACUCACCUCUCCACAAGCUCAUGAGGCUAAGUGAGGUAGAAUAUAUACCUAUAAAAGUACCUGUUCUUUUCCAAUAUGGGAUAGACACUUUUUAUAUUUUUUUUCAUUUUAAAGAACACUUAGACACAUUCUCUUCCAAAACUUGACACUAUAUAAAUGGUGAAAUCUUCAAAAUUGUGUGAACAAAUUUUAAAACUAUAAGAGUUUAUUACACUCAAAACAAACAAUAUCCAUAUGAAAAGGAUUGACUCAUUAUAAAUGGUAUAAAACUAUGUUCCCGACUUGGUAUAAGACUCUGUUGGAGUUGUAAGAAGCAUUUGUUUGUUUGAAUCCAUGAUCCCAUGGGAUAAGACAAGAAUGUCAUGUUUGCAUGAAAGGAAGAUUAUGAAAUAAAGUUAAUUUUAUUCACAUCUCUUGAGUAUUAAUUGAGUUAAAUACAUCUAGCUAUUAUUAAUUUGAAAUUUUAUCAAAUACUUCUCAUACCUUUUCUAUUUGUUAUUUUAAGGGGAUGUGAGUGAAAUUUACCUUUAGAAUAUAUUACAUUAGUUAAAAAGAAAAAGUUACCAAUACUAUAUAUGUAAUCAACUCAUCUUAACUUUAUAGAGAACUUUUGUAACCAUAAAACCUCUUAGCAGAAAAUGGGUGUUACCACCCGUGAUCAACAAAAGAAAAGGAAUAACAAUACUCUUUUUUGUUUACACUAAUAUCAAUAAAUAAAACCUCAUCCUAUAUCUAUAAAUAUAAUGGUAGAAUAAAAGGAAAGAGUACUCUAGUAUUGCCCUCUCCUUUACUCAUUGAUGCUUUAAUUUGGGAAAAGCCUUUCAAGAGUUGAAAACUUUUUCAGAAAAUUAAUGUUGAUGCAAAUUAUAGGCCAACAUCUAAAAAUCUCAUCCAUUGCCAUGAAAUUAUUUUGCACUCACUUUCUGAAACGAGCCCAUGACAUCCUGAAUCCUAUCCUUUAUAUGAGCAAGUCUCACAUGGGAAUUAUCCUCAUUUGUGGGCCAAUGGUUACAAAAGCAUAUCUGUUCACCACUCUACUGUGGUCUCCCAUGGCCCCCAACUCUGUAAAGCUUCUUGAAUUGGCUAAGCACAGAGGCCAUCGCUUGAUCAAUGCAGUGAAACCAUGUUUCACUGCUAUUUUACUAUACUACACCGAAGUGUUUUAAUGGCCAGCAACCAAGGCAGACCAUGACUGGUGGAGACUGGACAGCAGUUGAACCAUUUCCACCUAUUGGGUUGGUUGGGUCAAAACUCCCAUCGAAUGUUUGGUGACUCUUGGGCUUGACCCCAGCUCACCCAUCACCUAAGCUCAGAUAUUAGGUUAUCUUCUUCUGAUCCCAAUUGACAUUCACAUAAUAUAUAGAAAAAAUCAUAUUUUUUCCAACCCCCAACAGUUUCUCAUUCUAUCGUACCUAACUUCAUAAAUAAUCAAGUCCAGUACCCAUACGGCUGUGAUGAAAUCUGAAUGCAAAGGUGUUAACCAAGAAGGUCCAUGUGUUAGAUCUUGUCCAAUCAAGGGUCCACCCUCAAGGGACACAAGCUAAACCUACCAUAAUUAGCGGCUACACGUGCCACCGGUUCCACCGGCCAUUGCGGAUCGGGGCAUUUGCUGACCACAAGAUGGUCGAUCACUUGCUCACGUAUGAUAUGAGUGGCCCAGAAACAGACUUUAAGGUUUAGUCCCUCUCGGACUGGUGCAGAUCCAUUUAAAUCAGCACCGAUGUGUUUAGUAAAACUCUAUACAAAACAAGAUAAAAGUCCCUUUUCUAAUUUCCAAAUGAAAAGCGAAAUUAAUAUCACAUGAUCAACUUUUUAUAAACUUUUUUGUAAAAAAGUGAAAUGUUUCGUGUAACGCUUUGGGUGAAUGACAGUAACAUCAUGGAAAAGGGGAAACAUAAGUAGGGUUCACUUUGUGUGACCAUGCCUGCAGAGGGUAAAAGGGAAAAGAUGGAAAGAUUUUUUUUUUUUAUGGAUAGGUGUAUUUCUUUCACUUAAUUAUAGUUUUAUGAGCCUACCAUGACCUCAAAAGGUAUGUCCCAUCAAAUGAAACAAAGGCAGAUCAUAUCAUACAGGCAGACCAUCUAACCCAACGGUUGUGAUGAGUGGGGGAAUAGGUUUGAUAUUUACAAUUGUGAACUUGGGAUUUGGUACUGAGGAUUAUUAGGAUUUAUAAAGUUGCUGAUCAUGAUUAGGUGGGCAAAAAGGGAUCCCAAAUGUAUCUCGCUUUCACUAUGUAUCUUCUCGUUUGUGUCUUGUAUAUAUCUCUUGACCCCUUCAAAGCCUACAAUCAUCACUUCACAAGUCCUGUGCGCCACAAAGGUCAGUCCUCUGUAGUAUGUGGAUGUGGAUGAUAAGGAGAAGAGUAGAGGUCACCUGCAACUAGGAAUUAUGAAGCUCAGGUAAGGCUGUGAAAAGUUGUUUCUUGUUCCAAUUUCGAUCCUCUUUGUGGGUUUUCUUUUCCCCUUUUGCCUUCUUGUUGUUGGGUUUUGGUUCCAAGGAGAAACCAAGCUGGCUAGAGAGGACCAUCUCUGAUUGAGAAGCUGGAAUCGUGCAGCAAACGGUCCCUUAUUCGGAUAGCAAAUUACCAUUUCUUUUUCCCUUAUCCUAGAGACAAAGAAGAUGCUCUUUCUGUGUCCCUUUCUAGUUGGAAUCUCGACAACAUUACUGUAAGUCUGUAACUCGAAAGAACAGCCUUCGUCUUUUGCCAUAAUUGAAUCAAUAAGAGCGUAAGAGCAGAAAACAUAGGCCUGCACUUUUCCCUUUUUUUGCUUCUCUGCAGCUACUUCCUCUCUUGGGUAACUCCCUUUAAGUUUUCCAAGCCGUUAGUGGUUAGAUUAACCCUUCUGCUAUAGCCCCCCGAGUAAGCUCAGCUGGGUUUGUGAAGUUGUGGAGUGCGGAACCACUGAACCAAGCUAGAAAAUGGUGAAUCCGAUUCUUCAUCAUCUUCAUCAUCAUCAUCAUCGCCUCCUGCUCGAUACGCCGGAGCCGAGCACCAUGUCAAAUGGGAACAGUACUCAUGAGGCUUAUGUGAACGAGACCAACUUCGACACCAACAUGGUGAUCAUCCUAGCAGCCUUGCUAUGUGCUCUAAUAGGAGCACUUGGGCUCAACUCAAUCGUGCGCUGCGCCAUGCGCUGCAGCAGAAGGCUCUCCCCGGAGUCCCAGGGGCAAGCUGCUACUGGCCUCAAGAAGCGUGCUCUGCGCCAAAUUCCGGUAGCAGUUUAUGGGCCCGGAGUGGAGAUUCCGGCCACUGAAUGCCCAAUUUGCCUGGGCGAGUUUGUGCAGGGGGAGAAGGUUAGGGUGUUGCCCAAAUGCAAUCAUGGGUUCCAUGUGAGGUGCAUAGACACAUGGCUGGUGUCACACUCAUCCUGCCCAAAUUGUCGCCACUCAUUGCUUGAGCGCCCAACAACUUCAGACGCAGCUGGUGAGGUUGCCCCGGAACAGCCACAGCCAAAUGGGUCCACCCACCAAGGUAGCAUUGUCAUUGCUGUCCAUGAGACAAGUUAAUAAUGCUGGCCUUAAAAUUAAGCCUACUAGGCUACAUCUUUUGUUUCACCAGUACUGAACUACCCCAGAUUGCAAAUGCUAAAAGUUGUUUUUCAGAUGAUUCAAAAUCAUAGUAGACAUCAAACCAACAUGCUUCUGUUAUGGGCUUAUCCACAUUUCUCUUCAUUUCUAAACAAAUGGAUCAAUACUAGAGGAGAAGUUUCCGUGAUCUUUGUCCAUGUGCCUUACCAAAAUCCAAAGGUUUUUCAAUUGGGUGGUGCAUUAGACAAGCUUUCUUUUCUCCAUUUAAUAAUCUGUGUAACGGCCAAAACUGAUUUUGGCGAUGUAUUGGUGAGUGAAAGUGCCUGCAUACCACCCACUAAAGUGGGCUGAGAUUUCCAAAUUUCACAUACUCUGUUUGGUUGGGGAGAAAGUGGGUGAGAGAGAGGGAAAUUUUGGACUCUUUUCAACCGUAUGGGUUUGGAAUGGUUGAAAGGUUAUAAAAUCUGUUGCGUCUACGCUUCUUAGCAAUUAAUGGAGCAUUAAGGUCUCAACCUACAAUCGUUGAAAUAAAAAGAAAAAAGAAGAUAACUUCCUUGGGCUGGCUCAUCUUAGCUCUAACAUACUAAAAUCUCAUUUCAGAGCAAUGCCCCCAGUAAAUUUUCCUGCACCUCACACCUUCUGGGUAUGAGGUCCUCCAAUCAAUGACAUUAAUCAGUGGGCCAUCCACUAUCUACCUCAUUGAUUGAAUUGCUUCUAAAUCCUUCCUGUUCCUUCAACUGCAAAGGAAGCUUUGAAUUUUAACCAUCCACGGAACAUCAGAUAAUGACAGAUGGGGGGCUCGAUGAACUCUUUUGUUUCAUCUGCUCCUCCUUAGAUGACCCAUCAUUCCAUGCCAUAUCAUAAACUGUUUUAUUCCCAAAUAAACAACCCUUGUUGAUUAUAUCUUCUGAAAGAGCAAUCAAUCCAAUGGCAGUAGUUAGUACUUAAUCAGAACCAUCAAGUUGGACACCAUUUUUAAAGCUCUUUUUGACAGUUCCAGAAAAAGUAUUACAUAAUAUUUUAUCACCAAUCAGAGCACUUUGGUACGGAUUUUGCGUAUGAUAUUGAAGUUUUUGAACUAAACUUAGGAGUGAUGUAUUUUUUGACAAUACCUUUCAAGGAAAAAGUUCUAAAACUAUGGCCAUGAUUCCUAAAAAGAACUAAGAUUUUUUUCCAUAUUAAUUCCAUCAGUUAGAAACACAGCUUUGUGGGUCUAAGAUUUGUAAGUUGGGCUAAUUUUGAUUCCAUUUCAAGUUAAGGGAUUUUGAAAUGGGGAUCCCCACCAUGGCCAACCUAAUGUUGGAUUUGAAUCCUGAGAAAAGUUGCUUAAUGAGGGAAUUAGGGGUUUGGCCCCAACAAAUUGGCAUCACUUCCCACAAGACCUUGUAUCAAACCAAUAUUUGAGAAGAAUACUAAAUUUUUAAUAUAUGCUAAUAAAAGAAAAUUAAUUAAUCUGUAAAUAGCAAAUACAAAAAAAUGGAAAAUUAAAAUUUGGCAAAAAUGAUAAAUUAGUCUCCUAAAACCGCUGUACCUUUUCACUAAAAACCCUACUCACCAAUCAUCAUUUGGGCCUUGACCUCCAAAAGCCCACUUUCCAAGUCCAUGGUUUUCAUGGUCCAGCACGAACCCCAAACCCAAAUGGUGGUGAGUACUGAGGAGUGAGGAUGAGAGCAAUCAAAAUUUAAAAUCAAGGAAAAUUCAGGGGUUCAACGGCUAGUAAACAGUACACCAUUGAAUUCUCGUCUGAGAGCACCAAAUGCAGGCAAAUCAAGAGCAGCAGAAGCAGCCAUGGAGUCUCCAAGUUCAUGCCAAGGCCAAGAACUUCAAUUUCAAACUCAAGGCCACCCAAAUCAUACCCUCUCACAAGUUCUUUCGCCUCUCAGUCUUCCUCAAGGUCUGCUCUUUUUCCCUUAAAGCUAGAUCUGAACGCGGACCUCCAGCGUCUAGGCAACACCGGACGCCACUCAGAUCCAAAUUCGCCAGGAUUCUCGAGAAAAUUCGGUCCCGAGGCACCAAGAAACCAGCCAUUUCUGCUGUGAAAACCUCGAGUCGUCGACGCCCAGAAGCUAAACUUCCCCAAAAUCAGCGACCGAAACGAUUCGCUUACGAGGUAAUGCGAAAUUACACAUGUUUGUUUUGAUGUUGAUCCAAAUUCUAAUCAAAAUUUUGAUGGGUUUUAUGUGUUCACAGGAACCUAUCUACGUGGGUUCGAUAAUGAUGAGAGGCCUGGCUUUUCUUUCUCGCUCGGUCUCGGUGAAGGACCACAGUGGAAUCAUCAUCCACACCUCAAUAAUCUUGCUGUACCUUGCUUUAUUGUUUAAGAAAUACACGACAAGAGAAACUAGUAAUCUAUUGGCAACUUUGAUUGCUGCAAUAGUGGGUUGUUCGCUUGUGUUUGAUAUGAGCAGUGGCCUGAAUUAUAAUGGCGGCCUUGUUUCAGAAUGUGUUUGGACGAUCUGCAACUUGGCAGCCUCUUCUGGGUGUUUGUAUGUAUUUUCCCAGGUAAAUUUUGCUCCGUUCUAGCUCUUUAUUUUGCUCUCUCACACUUGAAGUUAAGAUUGAAAGCUUCAUCAGUAAUCAGAGGCCACUUGCUCUUAAAUUUCAGGUAAUUUUCUCAAGGUUUUUUCAAUAUAUGAAAGCACUCAGAUGAUUGGGGUCUUCUGGCGAUGAUACUGGUAAGGCUUCUUGUUUGUUCCAUUGGUGUUUUCUGCAAUGGUUCAAGCCAGAUACUUGAGGAGUAAAUAUUUUACAAAGUUUGAAUAAAUUUCUUUAUUGUCCAUUUUUAAGACACUUAAAAGUUUGUGAAGCCAGAAAUCAAAUGUAAAGCUAAAGGUCACAGGCCAGUAGACAAAGUGUAAUAAGAAUUGGUGUCACAAAAAUUUGAAAAUUUUAAUUUUAUAUACUGCCUUCAUGCUUUAAUUUAUUGUUUGUAAAGUAUCUUUCUCAACUUCACCUUACAGUGAGUGAAGUCCCAACCCUUUGAAGAAGGUGGGGGGGAUGGGAGGGUGAAGGGGGAGUGGGGAUCAUCACGGUAGGCAGGGGCAAAGCUAGGAAUAGGAUACGGGAGCAAUAGAAUAGAGGCUAAUUUCAAGAGGGGCAAAUAUAAGCCAAGAAGCAAUGUUUGGCUCAUCUCUCUUAAAACUGAGGUAUUUUUAUUUUCCCCCUUUUGGGCCUUAGGUGGGAAAAAAAGAUUGUGGAAUUCUAAAUUUUAGAUAUAAAUUGUUGAAAAUGAGUUUGGAAUUGGAAUGUGUUUUUCUUUUUUCUUUUUUAACUUCUUUUUGUUUAAUUAAUCAUCCCAUGAUUUUUAUUUUUUUUUAAAUCAAUGUUUCCCUUGAGAUUUAAAAAAAAACAAAUUAGGUUAGCUAUAUAUUUCAUCUUUUUUUAAAAAAAAUUAGUUGUUAAAAAAUAUCAAACUUUUAAGACUCGAGGAAAAUUAAAAAUCAGGAAAAAUUGACAUUUACCAUUGAGCGAUUUUAUAAAAUUGAUAGAAUUUUAGCUAAAAUUCCAUUAUUUUCAUAAAAACAAAAAUAUAAUGUGGUUCAUCAAUUGAAGAGGCUUUUGCAUUUAAGGUAGGCUAUAACUAUUGAUCGAGGAAAAAACCUUAAUCGAUCGAGCAUUGGUCGACAAGUCACUUAACCAAUCAAGAUUUUUGUCUUACAAUGAUUGUUUGUUAUACUUUUGUUCUUCUAACAAUUAAUAACUUAAUUAACCAUCAAUUGAUUGGUUUAGUUUAAAUUGUUCCUAAAUGUCAAAUAAUUCACAUUUUUAACAUAAUUUUUCCAAAAUAAAAAAAUAAAAAAUUGUUGCAUGACACCAUAUGGAAAUCUCAACCCACCAAAUGUUUGACAAAUAAACAAGAAGACCAUUCCUUCAAACAAAGAAAACGAACAAAUAAAGAAGCUUCCACCCACUACAUGUCAAAAUACUAAUAUUAUAAACAAGCAUGAUGACUAUUAGUCUAUUAGAAUAAUGAUUAUUGGUCCAACUCAAUUGAAAAAAUAUAUCUCAGGCAAUAAUAAAGAAUAUAACAACAAAUAAUAAUAUAUUAAUCUUGUCACCCUCAACCAUCCUCCCUUCAUUCUAUCUAAUUUAUUUAACCAAGAUUGAGAGAAUAUUUUUUUAGAUGCCUUAAAAAAACCAUUAAUUAAAGGUUAUAAAAACUAGGGGUGACAAAAUUUAACAUGAUUGGUUAAUAUGACACAACCCUAACACGUUUUUUGCGGGUUUGAGUUAAGUAUAAAUAGUUUAGAUCAAAUACGCAUUAAUUUAGAUCAUUAACCCACAUAACAUGAAUUUGACCCCAUAUUGAACCAUUUAAUAAUCUCGUUAUUAAUCUAAUUAUAUUUUCAAACUACUUAGUUAAUAUUUGACUUAUUUUAAAAUUUUCUUUUAAAUAAAUAGGUCAAUUGAUUCAUAAACAUUAAUCAUAUAAAUAUAUACAAUUCUUUAACUCAAUUCGAUUAUUAAAUAAGAGGACUUGAUUAUUAAAUGUAUUAAAUGGAUUACACAACGUGUUACCUAUUUAAUAAUGAGGUAGUAUUGGGGUUUAUGUUUUCUAUACGAUUAUUAUUCAUGUCGAGUUUAGGUUUAUGUAGUAAAAUACCUAAAAUUUGACAUGACACAAACAUGAUUCACUACUGUGAAUUGCCAUCCCUUUACCAAUAGAAGAUUAAGAAUAAAAUAAUAUAUAAAUUUCAAAUAUCGUUCGGUCAUGGGUUGUCUAUGGCUCCUUAAGAAAAGUAGUGGUUGCAUCAUCAUUAGAAGUAAUUGCAUCCUUAUUUGAAGUGUGACUCCAUUGUAGUUAUUUUGAAUUCUUCGAUAAGAGUAUGGUAAGAAAACUUUUGAAUGAAUGGAAUAGUCAAUCUUGAUCGAAAAAAGACUUACUUUUGAAGUCAUUGUUUAUAUAAAUUAAAAGUCGUUGAAAGUUGCAUACCUCAAUAUUUUUAAAUCCAUAAAUUAUGACAACUAAGGUAGUUAAAUGUGUUUAAUGUACGUUUAGUCAUAUUUUUAUUUUGUUUUUUAUUUAUAUUUUAUAUUUUGUUUUUAAAAUAAAAAAUUUUACAUAUAAAAAUGAAAAUUCUUUUAUAAAAAGUAUAGAUUCGUCUUAUAUCUUUAAAAGUAAUUUUAAAACCUUCUAAAAUUUAAGGUAAUAUUUUUUUUUACAUCAAUUAUUUUGAAAUAAUUUUUAAAAGUAUUAUUUUUUAACAUAAAUCUCUAAGAAUUCUUGUACUUUAUAUAAAAUGUAAUAUCAUUUUAUAAUUUUAAAAAUAAAAAAGAGAAAGUAAAGGUAAUUGUUUUUCAAAAUAAUUUUAUAUUAUCUAAAUAAAGAAAAAAAAAACAUGUUUGGUAAAUAGAAAAGAGAUUUCUGAUAUUAAAAACAAAAAACAUGAUAGGGUUUAUUUGGUAACUAUUUUAAAAAAUAAUUAUAAAAAAUAGUUUUUUAAAGCUAUUUUUAAUUUUUGUAAACAGAAAUAUAUUUGAAAACUUAAAAUGUUUUUAAUAUGUUUUAAAAAUAUUCUUUUAUAUAUAAUAUUUUAUUUUUAAUAAUCUUACAUUUUGUAUAAUUAUUUUUUAAAACAACCUUACAACAAGAAGUGAAAAUCAUAAUUGUUUUUUAAAAUAGCCUUUAAAAAACAAGUGAAAAUAACAUAAAAUAACCAAAAGAUGUUUUCUAAAAAAUACACCAUAUUAAAUAGAAUACAAUUUUUGAUGGUCAAAUGUGUUUUUUUAUUAUAGAGAACAUAAAAUUGUUUUAAAAAAUAGUUCACAAUGCUCGUGAUUUUAGAUAAUAUUUUUUAAUUAUAUUUAGUUAUUUUCUAAAGAGUUAUUUUUAAAAAUAAUUAGAAAAAUAUAAAUAAGGAUUAAAAACUUAUAUAUAAAAAUAUAAAAAACAUGUUAAGAAUAUUUUAGUUUUCAAAUAGAAUUUUAUUUUAUAAAAUAUUAGAAAAUGGUUUAAAAAAAUUGUUCUAAAAAUGGUUUUAAAAAAUUCUUAUGAAAUAUUGUUUUAAAACAUAUUAAAAACAUAAAAAUCAUGUGAAGAACAUUUUAGUUUUUUUUUUUUUAAAGCACUAAGUAUAAAAUUUAUUUUCAAAACAUAAAAAAUAUGUUAAGAUUAUUUUAAUUUUUUAAAUAAAUUUUAUUUUAUAAAACAUUAAAAAAUAAUAUUUAAAAAUUGUUAUUGAAAACGGUUUUAAUAAUUCCAAAAUUUUCAUUUCAACAUGCAAAAUUGUCAACAUUUUAUCGAGCGGCAAAGCAGGCCCUUCACCAAUGCUUCAUCCUGAAAACCGAAAGUAGGCCCGUGAACCAGGCCCAGGCCCAGGAGACAGCGGUGGGCCCGAAUUCAGCCACGGGAGCAGGGCGCGUGGGAAAAGGCACCAAAGAGGAAGAGAAACAAAUAAAAAAAUGAAAAAGACAAAAAGGGGGGGGGAGGGGGUGAUGUUGAGUAGUGGGUUUGAAUGGGAAAACGGGGACCGUAGAUCUACGGGAGGCAAGAGCAGAUCUGACGGGACAGGUUGAGAGUCAAAGAGCUAUCUUGAUGGGUCUCUUUGACCACACCCUCCCUCUUUCUAUUUUAAUAUUUAUUUUAUUAAUUAAUAAAUGACUCAAGUUUUCCAACUUUGACUGCCUUGUCACUUCAUUCCAGGCCCCUCUUCCUUGAAUCUCCAGCCACUCUGCUCCUUCACCCCCAUUUUUAUCAUCUUGCCCCUCCCCCUCCCCGGCCAUCCCCCUAGGAAACCAAACUCAAGGGGGCAUUCAGGUAAACUCACAGUGAGAAAGCCACUUCUGUUGUUUUACUGUAACAAUAAUAAUAAUGAGACUUAAUAAUUAAAAAUAAAAAUAUUUGAAUUUUUAUUAAUUAAGUAUAAAAAAGGAAGGGGGGUUUUGGGUAGGUUUGACUAGUGCUUCAUUGGGGGCUCCAUUCCAAUAUUCUUAUCAUUUUUUUAUUUUUAUUUUUAUUUUUUUUUCUGUCAUACUUUUUCUCUCUCACAAGUCACAAGAAAAAUCUUUCUCUUCCUUUUCCUCAUUUUCCUUUCUUUGACUUGCUCAGGGUUUCGUUUUUAUAGUAUCAAAUCUCCCUCUCUUCUCUGUUUAUCUCUUCCAAGAUCGAAACUUUACUGCACCCAGGGCGCAAUCGAGAUCAGUGGCUGUUGCAGAGACGACUUGUUUUGGGUUCGGUUCGUGUUUUUUUUUUUCUUUUUUUCUUUUAUAUUUUGGGGCCUUGUGUGUUCUUGUUUAUGUUCUGUCUGGUUGCUGGGAAAUCCUAGGAGAAGAAAUGAAUUCUUUAUGGAGGUUUUGUGGUUGAAUUGGCUGUUGUAGGAUUGUAAGGAUUAUUAUUAUUUUUUUUUAAUUUUCUUUUUUUUCUUUGGACAAUUUCUCGGCAUCUAAACGAAGAAUUUCAUUGUAGAGAAUUUUGGAAUUGUAUUAUUGGGAAAAUUUGGAGUGUUUUUUUAGCUUGAUUUUUUUUUUGGAGCUAUGAUGUUCUUGUUUUGAUGCUUGACUUGGUUUCAUCAUGCUAAUGGGGAUGUUCAGUUGAGGUAUUCCGACUGCUUUGAUGGCCUUAACGUCCAUCUUAGGAAAAUUCAACCAGCUAAUUAGUUUUUUUCCCCUCUCUAAUCGCGUGAACCUUGGUAUCUUUUGGUGUUUUUUUUGGGGGGGUUGAGAUUUGGAGUAGUUUUGGAUCUGAGUUGAUUUUGAUGCAGAUGAUUGGGUGCUGAGUUUAUGGGCUUCUUCUCAUCUCUUUUUCUUUCAUGAAGUAUUAAUGGAUUUGCCGUGGGCAGGGGUUUUUAGGUGCUAUUUACUUUUGAUGUUGGCUUACUGUUUGUUUUUAUUUCAUAUUUCUGUAUCGUCUAAAGGUGAAUUAAGAUUGGCCCUGGAGAUUGCAAUAGUAUAUUGCCUUAUCCACAUGCCAUGUUGCCACUCUGUAUGUCUUUAGGGUUUUUGCUGAAAAAUCAUUGGAGGUUUGUAACUUUGUAGGUAAACAUGAUUUGAAAGAUUGUAUCAAUGUGGAGGACAUACAUUGGACCGUCUCUCAUCGCUGGCCUAGCAGAGUUGAGAAAUUCUUUUAAGGUUUGGGGUCAGGCCAUGUAUGGAUCAAUUAGAAAGACAGAAAUCAAAACAUUCUGGACCUUUUUUUUUUCUAGGUUAAUUGAUAAAACCUUAUUCUAAUAAAAUUUCUUGGUGAAUCUUAUUGUAUUAAAUGCUUCUAGUUUAGUCUUUGUUUCUUCAUAGUAAGAAUUGCUAACUUAAUUAAAUAACAAACAAAAAUUUUCUUGCUGGGUGUCAUAGGAAAAGAUUUUGAGGCUCCUAUUUUGUUUUUCAUGAUUUUGGUAUUGUUGAAAUUCUCAAGUUUGAAGCUUGCAAUGACAUGUCAUUUCCUCAUUUCAUCUGGCAGGAGCAUACAAAACCUUGUCACUGGUGAAGACAUUGAAGAUAAAAUGGGCUGUUUCAAGGUUUUGAAGAGUAAGAAGAAAAAGGCUGAGCGCACUGCUUACAUUAAAAGGAUCAAUCCUCAGGAGCUAACACCCACUACACUGCCUGAACCUAAACUUCAGAGCCGCACACUUCAAUCUGCACCCCCAAGUUUUAGAACCCUAGUUAAACCUGUUCAACCAGUUAAAAGAAUCAUUAACAGUAGAACACGAGCAUUGUCCGCCCCAUCAAGCCUCAAUACAACUGAACAAGAUGCGCUUGCAUCAAAUGAAUGUGAAGAACAAGAAGAGUUGAAGAGUCGUGUUGGAUUAACAAAGGAACAGCGAUCGCCAAACCCUCAGCCUCUUCCUCUCCCAUCACCUCAAGGCACUGUUGUACUGAAAGCUACAGGAAGUUUUAAAGCAGGGAAUGCGAGUGGCCCUCUCUAUGCUUCUGGCCCACUGCCAUUGCCUCCUUUAGGAGCACUCCGGAACUUUGGCUAUGAAGAAUUAUCAAACGCCUGCCUCAAUUUCUCUUCAGAUCGAUGUGUGUCGGAAGGACUUUCAUCCAUAAUUUACAAGGCUUCCUUUGGGGAUGAUGCUUCAGGUUCAAAAAAGCUGGAAGCCACUGUUACCCGGCUUCACCCAUCCACCCAGGUAUCACGACUUUCUGGUUUUUUAUUUGAAUGCAGGCCCUGGAUUGAUUAUUAUGUCAUGUCUUUAUUCCUAAACUUCCUGCAGUUCUCAAACUGUUGCAAAUUAUAUAUGAGCAUGCUAACAUGACUAAUGUAAUUGAACUUUGGUGCACCCCCUUUUAGGCAUCUCUUAGUAUACACUCUUAUUUGCUUAUCAAUAAAAAAGCAUGACUAAUGUAAUCGAGUAUAUGAGCUAUAUCUCAUUGAUGAAGCAACUUUUAUGUUUCAACAUUCUAAUGAUUUAGUUUUAGGGCAAAUGUUUAUAGAAGUUUGAAACCGAGAUAAAUUUUCACCUGCCUGUUUGUAUUUUUCAUUUUUAUCUCACUUUUCUUUCUUUAUUCCCCUCUAUAAUACAAAAUAUCGCUAACGCAAAUAGAUUGAUUUGAAGCAUAAGUCUUUUACAAUGUAUAAUAAAUUCUGCCAAUUUUGUAAUAUUUAACCAUGGCUUUAGAUUUGCUAGGAAUUUCUAUGAUUCUACUUUUUUAUUCUUUUUGAUUUUUUUUUUUCUUUUGAAAUGUUUUACAACCCUCAGUACACUGAGAUAUAACCCAUCCUGUUUGUGCUCAUCUAGGGUUUAAAGGAAUUCAUAAACGAGGUAAACACGCUUGCAUCAUUGCAACAUCCCCACCUCUGUAAGUUGCUUGGUUUCCAUGCGCGUGAGGGAUCUGACCAGAGGAUGUUGGUUUAUGAGAGGCUCUACCAUGGAAGCUUAGACCGUCUUCUAUAUGGGAGAUCGGAUGGGCCAUCCAUUGAUUGGAACACAAGAAUGAAAGUUGCUUUAUGUGCUGCACAGGGUCUCACUUUCUUGCAUGAAGAAGGGCCUUUCCAGGUAAGCUGAAAUCCUGUCUCUGUUCUUUUGAAGGAUUAAAAUUGAAAUAGAUGGUACAUGAUCCCCCACAUGGUCAACUAGUAACACUUCUCAGUUUAUGUUGCAUUUUUCUUUUUCUCUUUUUGGUAUAUUGCCCUUUCUUCGUUUGAUGGAAAUGCACAUGGGAGAUGAUAAAUUUCAAUAUGCCUUAUCAUGUUCUAUCAUUAUUUUGGCUUGAGCUUCUAUCCUUUUAGCUUGCUUGCCCAGAGUUGCAUUUUUUUUGGUAGUCAUAAUAAAAACUUUAAUUCUGUAUUUCAUGCUUGUCCAAUCCAUCAGUUCUGUAGAUUUGGUUGAAAUCCCAUCCAGUAGGUCCUACGUUGUGAAUGUUCCAGGACAGUAUGGCAAUUUUCAUGAUUGGUGUAAUAUUUAUUGAAUGUGACCUUUUGGUGGGAGAUUGCUUGAAAUGCAAAUAUUUCAAUUCCUGUUUUUCUGUUUCCCUCAGAUCACUGUCCCAAUUCUGUAUAUUAGGAUUUUUUUUUUCCAGUGGUUGUUGUUCUUGUUGUGUACUGAGAACUUCCCUGUGUGUUUACAGGCUAUGUACAAUGAAUUUUCAACUGCCAAUAUACAGAUUGACAAGGAUUUUAGUGCAAAGCUUUCGGGAUAUGGUUGCGUUGGCCACAUUCCAGAAGCAGAUGUUUGCAGUAGUUCAGUUGUAAGUGCUUUAACUCAUAUGAGGAUAAUUCUAUCAUUGUUUUGGUUUCCGACUGCGAGAUACUACUUUUCCCAUGCAUAGAGAUGGAAUAGUACAAUCAUGACAAAUAAGACACUUAUUAUUUCUGCAACUACUUCCAUCAAGUAAGACUAAAUCCUAAUACAACAAUGAAGUAUUUACUUCUCUGAAACUGUCAUAACAUGACAGCAUGGUGAUUUCUGGUCUUUUUUACACGAGUUCCUUUUGUUCUGGGUGCUUUUCUUUUCUCUGAUUUGUUUUUGAUCCUGGGGAAUUAAUUAUCUUUUGUGCCAUGUCCAUUUAUUCAGGCAGUAGCAAAUCUAUCAGUGGAGACAUUAGAGAGAGGAUUACUAACUCCCAAAAGCAAUGUUUGGAGUUUUGGAAUAGUUCUUCUUGAGCUACUCACUGGGCACAAGAACCUUGACAGCCGCCAUCCGAAGGAAGAGAGGAACUUAGUUAAGUGGAGCCGACCUUAUCUGGCCGAUGAUUGUCGACUCUCAUUGAUAAUGGAUCCUCACCUAAAAGGCCGCUUCCCUGCCAAAGCAGCCCGAACAGUGGCAGAUAUUGCCCAAAGAUGUCUUCAGAUGGACCCCUUAGAAAGACCCACCAUGAGAACCAUUGUGGAGCAUCUCAAAAUCAUUCAAGACAUGAAGUAUUCCUGCCGGUUUCCUCUGCAAGAGCCGGCAGCAGUUGCUGGAAAACAGAUGUCAAGAUCGCCUAGUCUCAAUGGGAUCAUUACCCCAGCGCCCAGGCUAAGUUUCUCCCCUUCUCCGCCAUCAAGAACCCACCUCUCCGUUUCUCCAACAAGACCGCCUGUAGUACCCGUGUCUCUUCCUCCCCGAGCCUGUUCCUCCACUCUCUCUUUGGAGGACCUUGAACGGCAGGAAAGCAGGAAAUCUUCAUCAUCAACAUCCACCUUUCGGAGGCCCAGUGUUGAAGGUUUUUGAUUGUCAAUAGUAUGCAAUUUUUUCAUUUUCAUUUUUUUUUUUGUUUUUUUCUUUCCCCUUUUGUGAUUCAACACAAUAUAUAGAAGAUAAAAAAAAUGUGGUUCUUCCACCUUUCCAUCCCUCAAGAAGAUGCAACAGAGGAGGAUGCUAUUUUGUAGAUAAAAAAGAAAAAAAAAGAAAAAAAAAGAAAAAAAAAAGUGUGAGCCUCUCUUCUUAUUGGGUUCAGUUAGUUUCCUCCUCUCCACAAUUUGAUUUUGCUUUUUCUCCUUCCCUCUGGCAAAUGUUGUUGUGAUGUCUUCAUUGAAAUGAAAAACUGAUUUGUUUGCAAUUUGGGUAGAAAAUAUUGGAAAGGUUCAGAGAAUCUGAAAUUGGUCAAAAUUUGGCUACUUGAACAAAUCAAAUUUCGGCUUGACAAUGACACCUCAUUAAUAAUAUACCAAUCCAAACUCUCUUCAUUUCUUCCAGAAAGGAAAGCUGGAGUUGCCUUUCCCAUCUAUUUUCCUCUAAAUUGAAAAGUCUUUAGAGAUAAUGUAUUGAAUGGCUCUUGAAAAAUAAUUACUAGUUGAUAUUUUCAACCAUUCUUCAAAAUUUGUCAGCAUUUAGAAAAGAUUGCACAUUAAUUUAGUUUGAAUUCAACAAAAUUUUCCUCCUUCCGCUUUCUUGGAUAUCUGGGUUUAUUCUUUAGAAUCUUUGCCAUCUUUUUCCACAAGAAAUCUUUUAAUUAAUUAAUUAAAAUCAGUCUUCCUCUGUAUUUCCGGGUCUUGAAACUAAGACCAGAUCAAGGGCAUUUCUUUUUCCUCCCCUUGACAUUAAUGUAAUUAAUUUAAAAUAUAGUGAUGCAUGUGAUAGCAUGUUAAAAAGGAUAAAAUAUUUUUUUUUCUAAAAUUAAAAAUAAUAUAAUGAAUUAAUUUACUUAUUUUUUUAGUUAAAAUGAUAUUAAAUCAGUGAGAGGUAAAUUAAUAAAUAAUAUUUUGUAUUUUUUUAUUUUUUUAUGUAAAUAUUAACAAACAUUUAUAAAAUUAUUGUAAAAAAGAUGUCUGAUUAAGUUUAAAUCUCAUAAUAUUGAAAUAAAAAUAUUUAAAAGAAUAAUAUUAAUAUUUUUUAAAGUUUUAAUUAAAUACAUCUUAUCACCAAUCUUUAAUUUGGAGUGUCCCAACUCCCAAGUGGUGAAAUCGAGAGAGAGAGAGUAUUUUUUAAGGUUUUAAUUAAAUACACCUGAUAAAUCCUUAACUUGGAGUGUCCCAACUCACAAGUGGUGAAAGUUGAUAGUCUGACAGUCCCAAGUGGUGAAAGUCGAUUACCCCAAAACAUGAUUGGCGUGCGUAGACGGUAGACGCUACACGUUACAGUCUGAGGGGAGUAGAAUCCAAUGUGGAUCCACAAGAAUGACUUUGUAGGGUUCAGUACUUGUGGGUGGCUGACAUCAAAGCAGUACUGUAGGUUUUGAACAUUGAGCCAAUUACCCAGGUAAAUAGUAAAUUAAAAACACCUUGUCAGAGUUGUAGUUGAAAAUGGAUGACUCGAAGGUUCAAUUAUGAUAUUUUCCAUUUUUAAAAUUAUUAACUCAAAUAAUCAAAUUCUAUCACAUCAUAAAGCAUUCAAAUUCAAAUUUUAUAGAUGGUCGAUCACAAAAGUCAAUGUAGUUUGAAAUUUUGUGUAUAAUUGAUGAUUAUUUAGUUACAAUACAUUUUUUUAGUUCAUAUUUAUUUUAAGACAAUUUUGAUGUAAGUAAGCAUAUUUGUUACGAUAAAACCCUUAAGGAUGUUGUCUUAGGGAUGUAAAAAAGGUGUAUCAUUUUCUUAUGGUUAGUAGAUUAUUUGAUGAUCAAGAGAUCAAGUAAUUUUUCCAUGUUGUUUAAUAUAAUUGGAUCAUUUACUUUUGCAUAGGUUCUUUUGUGCAAUUGGAAUAUUUAAUUUUACACAAGAUUAUAAUGCUCUCGCUAUAAAAUUAAUCCAAAGGGAUAAAACCAGAAAUUAGAAAUGAAGUAUUAGUUUAAAUCACCCCUCCCUUUAGGUAGUUUUAUCCUAUUAAUUCUUUCAAUCUCAAAGUAGCUUCAAAUUCACCAUAAAAUCAUAUCACAUAGCAACAGAAGACCUUUUUUGAGCAUAUGACCCCAUCACUUCUGUCGAAAAGGAUCCUGUAAGGGACCUUUGAACUAAACCAAGGCAGGGUGCUAUUUUCUAGGAUAAGUCAAGCUGAUAGGGGAAAUGGAUACUUCAAAUGGAGCAUAGAAAGAAAGAGGCAAUAAACGGAUACUGAAUUAGAAAAGAGAAUAAACUGUUGACCUAAACAUUAUGAAAAGCAAAUCCAAUUUCUUUGUUACAAAUGAUGAUUUCUGGCAUGUUAAGAGUCUAAAAUCCAUGCAUACAUCCUCUUUUAAGAAGAAAUAAUUUUCUAUGACGCAUAUUAUAUGACAAAUAAAAACCUCAAGCACCCUCUCCAACCAUUGGUACAAGCAAUACCAGGCCACAAGAGAAAAACGGAGAGAUAAGUAUGUAAUUUAUAGAGAAAGGAGUUGUUCUUACCAGGAGAGUGAAAAAGGUGGAAAGGGAAGAGGAGCUCACGAAUUAAGCAUCAUUUUUGCUUUGAUCUUGUCCAGAGUGCUCCUCAUCUCCCCCAUUCUCUCGCUCUGAAACUGCAGGAGCAGUAAUACAAUGAUCCUCAUUUAGUGGUCCUUCACUCUCUCCAGUAGCUUGUGGUGGUGGCACAUGUGAUCCUGAGCUGCCUUGUUGCUCGGCCAAGCUUUUGAGACCAUUCUGCUUCAGAUAUGUUUCCAAAGGAAGACUUGCCACUUGUAGAAGACUCAUCAUGCUCACUCGGUUUGAUCCCACUUGCAAGUCCUCCUCACGGUCAGGAUGGCAAUUCAAGUCUAUUUUUCCCUUGCCAGUUUCACUCAACUUGGUGGACAGAUUGUUGCUUUGGCUCCUAGAUUCUGACUCGUUUGCCAACCCAGCUUCACUCUCCGAAGGGUCAGGAUUUGGAGUGGCAAGUCUUGAGGUGCUGUCCACUUCUGCUUCAUCCUUAGCGCCCCAGAUAUUGUGAUUUAUCUGGGCAAUCUCUGCUUCACGCUCUGAUUGGCGCUUUUUUUUCCGCAUCAUUAGUGUUUUAAAACGACGUUUAACUGUCAUACAUACAUUGCAUGUGCAGGUGGGCUUGUGCUUGCCCUUCCCACUGGGGGGCUGGAUACACACAAUGCAUGAGCAGCCUGGGCGAUGCCUCGGGUGUUUGGUUGUGGUUGCAACUGAUGUAGCGGCUGGGUCGCUCAUGUCAUCUCCAAGGGCUGCAGCAUUGGCCAGAGCAUCUAGGCCGGAAGGUUCAUGCUCCUGUGCAGGCCUAUGAACUGCUGCAAUUCGACGUUUUCUGAAAUCUAUUAACCAGGAACAGAAGAAGUGUCACAAAUAUUUUUGGAUUCAAAGUAGACAAUACUCCACAGAGAGAGAAACGGACAUCAUUUCAUAAUAUGAAACACGUGUACACAUGCAUACACAAUGACUUCCCUAUUCCAACCCUGACACUAGUUGCCCAGACGUGUGCUUUCAUUCCAAAAUCAUGGUUUUAAAUUUUCAAAGAUUGAAAUUUAUUCAGUAAGUCCAAGUUUAAAACUCCAACCCCAAUGGGGAAAUACAUUAAUAAAAGAACAGUAGUGUGCAAACGUGACCCUUGGAAGGGUGUAUGUAUUAGUAGGCUUUUCAAGGAGACUACAAACCCCACUGUAUGGCAGCUUCAAGACAAAACCUGAUUGGGACAAACAUCUCCCCCGUUGGGUGUUCAAUGUAUCUGAUGUAAUGUCAUGCACCCAUUAAUAAAGGUGCUAUUAUUCAUUAAAAUUUUAACUACCAGUUGCAACUCUUCAAGACCAUACUGGGUUCUGUGGCCAAUAGCAUUAUAUCAGUAAUGUCUCCACAAUCCUCCCUGGCCACCCCCACCGACAAAUUUAUGAAAUACCCUCAUGCAAAAUACAAAUAUUAUAUAUAAAAGGAAACCAUUUCUCAAAGAAUGUUUCAGGCUGCAGCAAUUAUUUAUUUAGAUAAAAUACAAGUACAGAUGCUGGCAUCAUACCCUUAUAUUGUCUGAGAAUAUGUUCGAGUUCCCUAGGGCUCAACUCAUCUGGGGCAGAACAUGAACACCUGGAUUACAAUAACAGAAGGUCAAGGAUUUAAAGUUUCUCUAGUGGAAAAACACUUGCAUGGAAACACUUAUAACUGACCUGCUUUGAUCCCACAAAUUUUCAGCACACGUCCACUGACAUGGAACAAGAUAAUCAUGGGGCACCUUUCGCCAUUUAGAGCAACUAUCACACUGAACCCAUUGCUCCUCUCCCCUGGAUGAUCAAGCUUAGCAAAUUAGAUGGAUUCACCUAACAGAAGUCUCAAGACAGAAAUCUAGGUAUCAAAAUAGCAGACACAGAAUUUCUCAGGAUAAAAAGUGACUCCUCUUCCAUGUGAGGUACACGUGGCACCAUAAUAAAUGGGCACUAAUUGGUGCCAAAUUGUGUCUUGAUCCAGGGUUCAGACAACUGGAUAAAUUUUUUACUUAAGAACCUGGUAUUAUGUAUCAGUAGAUCCCUAUCACUGGAUGAAUGCUGCAUAAAAACAUAAGAUCAUGACAAGUUUGACACAUUUUACUUAGGAAAACAAAUUUUUGGAACUGCAUCAUUAGAAUUGGAGAUCCUUGGCAUCCAAGGAGGAAGGAGAACUUGGUGGUAGGGAUGGAGGUAGUAUUGCUGAAGGACCUUGGAAGAGUUCAUUUUCGGAGGCAGAAGUAAAACUUGUACAAAUUAAUCAAGACACUCUUUCUCCUAGAUGGGAAGUUAAAUCUAGUGAUCUCACAAGUACUGAUUUCAUAUUUUUUCUUCUUUUGAUUUCUUAGGCUUGGGGCCACCCAGUAAUUGUCACUAGACAAAACAUGGGAAAUGGAAGCAGAAAGGGCAAUUCAAAAAGAAAGAAAACAUGACAUUAGGAAAAUAAAGCAUUAAAGAAGUUUGUAAAUGAAAAAUAAAGGUGCUGAGAGUAGGUAACACUCAUGAAACCUAUUUUCCAGAUGUUUUAGCAACAUUUCCCAUGGGAAACAAAGGUUGAACAUUUUCAAAGAUGGAAAGCACUUAUGAGAAAUAAGUUACCUUAAAAUUUUUUAAACAAGUUUCCCACCAGCUUUAGAAAUGGGUUUCUGGGAAACUGAGUAGAGUUUCCAUCAUGGGGAAAGUAUUUGUAAUUAUGAUCCAGAUAGCUUCACUUUGCAUGUGGGGUUCAGUCAUUGGUGUUCAAAAAUGCUACUUCACAUGCAAAAAUGUAUUAGAAUAAGUUACCAGAAAUCCUUACCCAGAUGGGAGGGUUGUGAAAAUACUCCUCUUUCCAAAAACAGGGGGUUCCUGUAUGACAAAUAAAUAACAUGAUAAGUAAUUAUUAGUAACCUAUAUAUAUAUGUAUGUAUGAAAAAGAAACAGCAAUCACAUAGCUUGUAUGAACAAACAAGGUAGUAUUUAUGUUUAAGACUGAAACAAGGAGCCUCAGCAAAUAAUUUGUACUUUUUUCUUUUUAUUUUUGGCAAACUGCCGUUGUCAAAAUAAAGUCUGUAAGUGGCAUUUGGAUGCUUUACGAGUGUGAGCUAGCAGCAAGACAAUUUAUAAAAGCUAAUUGCAUUACUAUUUUGAGAAUUGUGGAAAGUUUGCUUACAGUGUAUGCCUCAAAUUCGUAGUCCUCAAUCACGUCAAUGACUGGCUUGACACUUGGGGGUGGGCGGAGCAAAGACUGUGCCUCUUCCCAUGUAAGCCUCAGCUCCAGAGCAUCUUGGCCAUCGAUUAGCAAUCUCUUACUUUUAGACCCAAUUGUUCGAGUUCUCUUCUUCUCUGGUACCAGCAUUGAUGGAAGCAGCAAGCCCUCUCUUGUCUUGCCUCCAUGCUUCUCUGUUUUAUGCCAGCCAAUAUCCCCACUAGCUGAAUUCAAAUGUUUUGACAAUGCAUUUAGAUGGGGAUCUGUGCUUCCCUUCAGCGACUGAAGAAUGCCAGAGUAACCACUUAUUAUAGGUUGGUUCUCAAUAACACCCGAAAAGAAAGUUUCACUUGAAUGAGCGCCAUUAGGAAUGGCAGAUAGUUGGGUGUCCUGUUUAGUUAAUAAUUUAUAUAUUAAUAUUAUAUGAUCCAGGUUUGCUAACAUGAAAACUCACUUUGUUUUCCAAGUGUGUGGAUGCAAAUAUAAGAGUUAGUUACAUCAAUGAAGUUGACUACCUGCAUGGAAACGGAGUUAGAUGCUUUCCGGAACCCCAUAACAAGUUUUCCUUCUGGAUCCAUACGGCUGAAUGUUACUGCAGCAAAAAUAUUAAAUGGAUAAAAAUGGAAUACCAAAUGUAUCUUAGCUUCUGGAAAAGAAAAAAGGAAACAGAAAAGGAAGAAAGAAAAACGAAGGGGGAAAAAGGAAAAACCACACCAUAUAUAGGAAGUGACAAAGACAGAAGAUCAUCAGGCAUAAGACAGUCAUUGAUAAUGUUAGAGCAAGUAAUUUGAUAACAUUCUCUAAAAAAUUAUCAAAUAGAAAUUUCUGUCAGAGAAUGGAAUGACAGGAUGUGACAGCAUAAUCAUUAUUGUGAGAAUCCUAAUUAAAGUCUCAUAGUUAGGACCCAAAACACAACAAAACAAAAAAAUUAAUAAGGUCUUGUUUGAAAUGGUUUCUUCAAAGCUAAAAGCUCUUUUUUAAGCUCAAUAGAGCUUCUCUAGAUGUGUUUGGAUAAUUUUAAUAAAACUUCAAAAAGCUAAUUGCCUUAAAAGAAAAAAUGAAAAAAAAAGUUCAACAGGAAAGUUAGGACAAUAUUGUUUACUGUGGAAGCCCUCUUUUUGGCUUAUUGCAGGAAAUUGUUUCAUGUUUAAUGAAACUUUUGUAGUACCAAGAUUGUCCCUCUAAAAUUAUAGACUUAGCUUCAACUUCUACCAAAAGCCAAAACGAUAUCCCAAACAAGGCCUAAGAGAAGAGUAAAGAUUAAUACAAACUAAAAUAUGCUUAGAAAUUUAGUGCCUCUGGCAUUCUUCAAGUAGAGAAAAUAGCUGAGACAUGUUUAUAUCAUGACAGUUGAAAAUUUUUCCUCUUGUAUAGCAAUACAAAUCAAAAGAAUGACGAAUGACUUCACAACCAUUAGUUUUUGUUGAUUAUUAAAUAUGCUAAAAUUGUUGUGGCAUGCCUACAUAAAAUACGAAGCAGGCAAUAGAAGUUACCAGUAUCUCCAGCUUGUAACUGCAUUGACUGUAUGCAUGGGGUCACACCCUCUAAAACAUACAUCCUGCUGUUAUUAUUGGGCCAAAACCUGAAUUGGAACACCCAUUCUUUCCCCUUCACAUCCUGAAUCCUUAAAGGAAGGCCCUCUGGUUGAGAGAUAGGAGGAAAAUAUGCCUGCAAAAUGGUUUAGUUUCAAUUGAUAUACAGAUAAGGUUCAACAAAAAUAAGCUUAACAGUUAAAUUUGGGAAGAACGAAAAAAAAUGAAAAAUGCAAAAGACAACCAAUAAAUAUUAUUUUGUCAAAUGAAAGCCAGACUAAGCACACAAUGGAAAGCUUACUUCAGCACAUGCUUUUGGGAGCACUAAACGACCAAUACGACCAGCAUCACUGGCACUUAGCAUCUUUUCAAAUAAUGGUACGAUGGUGGAAUUUGAGCUUCAAGAAAGCAUGAUUAAAGAAAUCGCUGAUCGAGUUGGUGAAUAAGCAUGAAAAUUAAAAAAAAAUUAACAGCGAAGCAAUCUAUGAACUUCAAAAUAAAAAUGACAUAGUCAAGGAUACUCUCCAGAUAUUUGCUGCAAUUCCUGGUCUGUGAUCCUCGGCCAAUAACGAGGAAGCAACUGAUUCCGACCCCGUCCCUCUGCAGGUGGCCUUGCAACACGUAUUUGUGGAACUAUACCUGUAUUUGUUUCCAAAACAGGAGAAAGUGCUGACCUUGGGGGCUUGGGCAAAAGAUGGCGAGACCUAGGCCCCUGUUGGAUGGGAGUGGAUGUUUUGUGUUGUUCCCUUUCUUCAACGACUGCACUAGGAAACACAUUUGGAUUUCCUGAAGGAGCACCCAAGGUGAUACUCAAAUUUGUCUGAACCAGAGACUCAUGUAUAUCUUUGACCAUCAUGUUUGCUUUACAAAUAUCUAGUUUGGCAUGUAUGGAAGAUCCGAUGGAUGCUUGAUUUAAAUUUGACAAACAUGUACUACCAGUUUCUCCCUGAGGUGGCAAAACUUCCUCCUGUUUCAUUUGGCCAAGAGACCCAUUUAUGUUGUCAUUUCCAGAUUGAAGAAAGUUUUUCAGUCCAUCACCCGAUGUAUCAUUCCCCAACUGUGUAAGCUUCAUCUUCUCAACACUACCACCAUCUAAUUGAUUGUCCACAGAAGUGCAACGAAUUUCACCCACAUUAUCCACUGUCAUUGCACCACUUUCAUUAGCCUUUUCAUCACCUGUCAUCUGUAUGACAAUUUAGAAGUAUCAUAAAUCCCUGAAGGUUGAAAGGAAGUGAUUAAAUUGUAAUAUUCAAUCACUUUCAAGUGAUUAAAAAAAUCUGAUGUAUGCUGCAAAGAACAAACUGAAAUGCACACCUUAUCAAAUACCAUCAUAAACAUCAGAUAAGAAAGUUGUCUGAAAUUAGAGGUAAAUUCUUACUCUUUUCUUACUAAUCCUUUUGUCACCUUCAUUAAUUGAAAGAUACAUAAAUCUACAACACCAGAUCAUCUUAAACCAUAAUUGGAAAUUGGAACUUGUUAAUAAACCAUUUGUUAUUUGUUUCAUUAAUUGGGAAGUGUUUAUAUAGUUGAACGAAACAGAUGAUAAAGAAUCAUACAAACUAAUCAACGAAUUGAUUUUGGCAGUUUGUAACUGAUAUGAUAGUAGGAUGGAACUACAGAAUUAUUAAAUGCAUCCAACCAAAAAUUAUAAAGGAGUAUGUUUGUGUAACUUUUCCAAAAGAAGUCAUAGACAUGUAAAUGAGUUGAUCUUACAGGGUGAGGUCCUGAACUUCUUAUGCAGUUAAUACAAUUUACGCCACCACUAUCAAGUAGCUCAAGCAGAGACCUGGAAGCAAUGCAUCCACAAUGGAGACGCUGGAAACACCAAUUGAAUCAUACUUUUCAACAAUAGCAUGAGUUGAAGAAAAAAAGUGAUGUGAGUUGGGAAGAAGGAACAAGAUACGAGUUACUGGACUACCAACUGACCUUGCCACAUGCAGUACAUUUCCUCCAACCAGAGUCCUUUGAGUGAAACAUGUCACAGAAAACUAGUUGCUCAAAAGCAGACCUGGAGAGAAUUCAGUUGCAAAUAGAAAGUAUCAUCUAAUAAGUCAUAUGGAGAAACCUAAUGUUUUCUUUUCCCAAUAAAUAUAGAUAAAAAAUUGCAGCUCAUCAUGUAAAAUUGUCAUAAAAUGGUGACUAUUAAGUCCCAGCAGUCAGGUUCCAGUCACAUACCUAGUUUCUCAAAAACAAUAAAUGCCAAAUAUUAUUAUUCAUAGGGCAAAAAGAUAAUUGUAAAUAAAAUUGUGUAGUAUUUCUAAAAAACAAGGGAAAGAAAACCAACCAUUAAAGGUCAAGUUCAAGCCAUAAAUUGCUAUGCACUCUAGGCAUCUCCAUGUUUCCACCUUCUAAGGUUCUCAGCAUUUAGAUAGUCGUAUCUAGGCCAAACAAGCUGGUGGAUCAAAAGUUCCUAGUCAUUUAGAAGAAAUUGUUGUCUUCAUGGGUGUCAGCCCAUCAUCAUUAGUGAGGUUUCACCGUUUAACCAGAAAUUGUUAAAUCAUCCAAAUCCAGACAUAAUUAGGAUGAUCCAGUACCAAAAUUUUUUCAGCCUCUUACAAAUCUCAAUGCAUCUUUAAAACAUAUUUAGGAUGUAGGAUGGACCAGAAACAAAUUGCAUGUGGAUACUCAAACCAAAUGAUAAAAUAUCCUUAUUUUUAUUUGCAUGUAAUAUGGAACACAUAAUAUGAUAAAAUUAAAUUUAAAAAUUUUACAUAGGGAGAAAUUAGAUUCAAAAUUUUGCUUCAUCACUGUAUGAGGGUAAAUUGUUCUGUCAUUCACAGAUUGCAAUGACUUGAUUAGUUUACUUACGGACAAGACAAAGAUGAUGAGAUGUGAAAGGCAAUGCAGAUAGCAAGUCAAAUCACAUGCCCUUAAUUUCUUACAAAUAGAAUCCUGCCAAUAGUCAUUUAAAAGCAAACAAUAGGAAGACAAAUAUUUAUUCAACCAAAUAUGGCAUGUAUUUCAAAAAGAAUAAUAAGCUCUUAAAUAAUUUGUAUUUAAUUUUAUCGGGAUAGAUUAAACUAAGGUAACUUAUCAAAUAUAUUUAUCCCCACAAAAGAUACAUCAAGGGAUAAUCAUUAAUGAAGAUGUUUAUCAAGAAACUCUAUUAUCAACCUCUAUUGAUAGCCUAAGCUCAAAAGUGUCAUCAGCACAACUUGGAAGAGAGAUAAUUGAAGCUUCAUCCCUGAAGAACUUUCUUCAAUCCAAUGGACUAACAAUCCCAAAGCUCUACAAGAUUUUGUCACUCAAACCUAUGCUCAUCAUUUACGCCCACAAACUACAAGCCAAUGAGCAUAGUAAAGCUCUUUUAAAUUAUAGAUAUAAAGCUAUACAAACAUCAUUCCUUCAGCAUUUAAGAUCUCAAAGGCUACAUUCAUGGUGAAGCUUUAUUCUUCUCUUAUAUGCUGUAAGCCUCUGCAACUGUGUCAACACAUCCCAACCUUCUGCAGCUGAAUUCACUUUGUCUGGGAACCAGCUCUUCGAGUCUUUGACUGAAGCAACUUUGAGAAAAAGAAUCAGAGGAUAUUUUCUUUAUUGAAGAAUUUUCAGAGUUUGCAUUUCAAUUUUCUUAAACUAAUAAAUCUGAGAUGGUCAACACUUUUCUCAUUUUUUUUUCAGGUUUAAGAUUUGUGUUCACAAAUUUCUAGAAAACCCAGCUAAAUAAUCUCCACCUAAUUCCUAUUUUCAAGUGAAUAAGUUGUGAUCAUGUGACUAGCAACAACAGCAAAUGAAAUAUUAACAUGCACACUUAAUGUGACAUUAGGGUAAAGGACGUGCACCAAUUUUCUUUAAAAAUAGCUACUUUAAAAUUUGUCUUGGGCUUGUGAAUUUAAAAAACACCUGGACAAUUAUCCUUGGUGGAGGUGAAGAAUAGUACCAUUGUUGUGGCAAAGAAGCUAUUGGCUCACUUGCUAAAUCACAAAAUUCAAGUUUGGGUUCUACACUAAGUCAGCAUGGGACAUGGAUUACACCAAUUAUCAAGUCUACAAAUUAUAUUUUUCAUGCCACUCAUGGUGAUUGAAGCAACUUUAAGUGGUUUAAGGCUUUAAGCAAUGAAACAAAUUGGAAGAAUAGUCGAUGCUAUCAAAGAGCAUUCACAACAUAAUCAAGAGCAAGAUGCUCACAGAAAUAAAACUUCAACACAAGCUUGGUUGAUGAUAGCAUGUUGCUAAGAUCCUUCUUGAUUCACACCAUAAGAUACUUCAAAAACCUUCUUUAAAAGAAAAGGUAUUGCUACAAAUCAGCUAAAACAUUUUAUCCUAGAAAAUUUUGUUGCAAAUCAGCUGAAGGAUUUUACCUUGGAGAAAACUCCUAAAACAUGUGACAAUGAAUCUCAAUCCCCUCUCCCACAAACCAAAGUUUUAAAAGAUGCAAGGCACACUUAUGACAUAAAGGCAACCCAACACACAUGUCUAAGUGAAAAUCGGGUGCACUCCAAGUCUAUGUGUAAUUUUAUAUCAUGUAACAAAUAUUAACGCGCAAACAUUUAUAAUAUUUUCAUAUAUCAUUAAAUAGUACUAAAAAUUUCAAUUCAAGCAAUUAAAGACAUCAAAAUUUCACACAUUUUACAUAAAAUCCAACAAAAAUAAUGCUAAAAAAAUCAGUUAUCAUUUAUUUGUGUACUAUACAUAAAAUCACAAAAUAAAUAAAUAAAUAGAUAAAAAUAAUUCAAUUAGUACUAAAAAAAGCAAAUAAAUUUGUGAACUACAUAUAUAUACUGAGCGCCGCAUCAAUGGAUAAUCGUCCUUUAUUAAGAAAUAAUUAUCACUUAUAAGUAGAUAACUGACAAACAAAAACCAUAAAGCUAUUAUAGUUAAUGAUUCGCAAAAUGGCUAAUAAAUCAAAGAAAAUAAAAAUGCCUAAAAUAUUGGGAUCAUAGGAGUUGUGCGUGUUAUGGACAACCUACACAUACAUUUUUCCUUUUCUUCUUCUUCUUCUUCUUCUUCUCCUCUUUUACUCUUCUUCUUUUCAAUCUCUUUCUUGGAAUCAAGCCUUCAAAUCUUCUUUUUUCAAAUGGUAGGGUGAAAAGGUAUUGUUUUGUCUGUUGUUUUAAAAAUACUUAGGCUCAAAAUGACCUUUUUUUUUUCUUUUCUUACUAUGGUAGAAAAAAAAAAUAACUGCAAUUAGGUGCACUUUUUAUUGGCCUUGUGCCUUGCUCUAAGGGUGUGCCUUUUACACCUAAGUUGUGCCUUGUUGAAUGCACCUCUCCUUGUUCUAAACGAGAUGCUAGAGGAGCCAUGUCAUGUCACCUUACCACUGAGAGCAUCUUCGAAAACCAUGCCAUACACACCAAGAAGAGUUGAUAAGGACACCAAUCAGCUACCAAUCAUUAAAAUUUCAACAUUUUGAUAGGACAAGGAAAUCCAAGGCAACACAAGGGUCAAUUUAUGGGGACAUGCAACAAUCUCAAUCUUUUUCCGUUUUUUUUUUUUUUUAAGGCAAAUUUUUGUCCCCAUAAGGGACUUGAACCUGGAACUUGUGUUUAACUCUUCAUUCAUGUACAAGAUCCCUAAUAAUUCAUUGAAACUAGCUUCACUCACAUAACCAUCAUUUUACAUAUGAAGCGGUAAACCCUAUAGCAAAUCCUAAGAGAUCACCCAUUUUAUUUUUUAUUUUUUAUUUAUAAUGAGGAAUGCACCCUGCCAAUAAGGCAUUUAUCCCAACUGUUGAUAAAGCAAACCCUGGAUAACAUAGGUCCACUUCUUUAUCCUACACACUUAAAUUGAAGGAAAGCAUGAAGCAAACCUAGAUGAAAUGGGUCUAACUCCCCUACACCACUUAAAUACAAGGGAGGCUUAAACUAGAUUAAGAAAGAUCAGCCCAUUUUAGAUUUGUUCUCAUAGGUGAUAGAUUAUGAAGUAGUUAUUAAAUUUAAUUUAUUGCUUUUUAAAGUAAUAAUACAUGUAUGGCAUGCCCUAAAAUGAGACUACCUCAAAUAAAUUCCAAAUAAUGUGUGAAUAAAUUAUAAUAAUAUUACACAAAAACUAUCAGCAAAUAUUAAGAAAAAUAUCAUUGUCUUCAAGACCCUAGUUUUUGCGUUUUUCUUUUGUAGGUAAAUUAUAUACAAAUACAAAUAUAGUAGGAAAAUCAUUUAAUAAACAAGGUUGUAAUAGUAUAUAAAAUGUAUGCAAGGCGCACCAAGGCCAAAAGAAAAGAAAAUAUAAAAGGAAAUUGACCCACCUAAGACAACCCCAGAUUACCAAUUAAGUUCAAAAAGGAAAAAUUAGCAUCUUCCACUCAACAUUGGGCUGACUAAAAGAGACACUUAACAAAUCAGUUUAUUGCAACGAAGUCCAGAUGUUCUACUUUUUCAAAUAUUAUAUUUUUACAUAACUCAUAAUUAUUUUUUUUAAAUCUAGGUUUUGCAACCAAGUUCAACACGUUUUCCAACAACAUUAAGUUCCCAGUGAUGUUUCCAUACUAUUUAAGUUUUCAUAGUCCACAAUAAGCAUCUAAAACAUAAUUUAGUUCAAAUGGAAAUUUAACUUUAUUACAAAACAAAAUUCAAUUGAGAACAUUAACGUUUAGGUUUAUUCUAGGUGAAAGGCCUAGCCAUGCCCAUUGACAGCUAGGGUCAGGGGCCGAUUAGGCUCAAAAAGUAGUCUCAAGCCCAAUCAGAAACUGUAUGGGCCGAGCCUGAACUCAAGAUAAAUGCCUAUGAUCCAUUGGGCAAGCCUAAAUGAGUCCACAAUUGCCUUAACAACAAAAAUAUUGUCAUGACUGUUAGUGAUUGCCAGUCAUGGCUAAAUUUUAACUACCAUGGGCAACUACUGUUCAGAAAAGGCACUGUUAUCUUCAAUCUUAAUAUAAAUUAAGCAUAUGAUGACAUUAAAAAGGUCAUUUUAUCCUGAGCAUCAUACUGCAACUUUCUUUUCCAUUUCUCUCUUCGAAUCACUAACUUGACCAUUGGAGAAGGUGUUCUAUAACCAUCCCGAACAUUUUUUGUUUGCAUGUUGUUGGAUUCAGGCUGCUCACUCCAUUGAGGUUAAUCUACAUGAAAGUUGUUGAUGUUAGCUGAUUGUGGAAAUUGACAGCUUGACUGAUUGUGAUUGACUAAAAUAUAAAACUUAUACAAGCUGUAAAUUAAGGUUAUAAAUCAGUGAUAAAAUUAGGAUUAUAAAUUAAGGAUUCCUAGCUUGUUUGUAUAGUUGACUAAUAGUGACUACAUUCAAUGUAUUCUUGGAUUAUUUUCCUUUAUUGUUUUACCUGUAACCUUAUAUAUAUUAAUUGUAAAUUCCUCCAUUAAUACAAGAAUGCAAUUCCAUGAUUGUUUACAUGGUAUCCAGCAAAGUACUAUUAAAAUUGCUUCUCGUUUCUUUGGCCUAUAUUGGUGAAGCCAAGUGCAUUCUUCUUUGCUACAGCUUUAACAUUUCGUGGCCUUCAUUGCUGAAAUCGACAUAGAGAAAUACAAUCUUCAUUGUUGGUUCUCCCACAUUCUCUCUGCUUUUAUUCUCUUUCUCAAUAUGUCUGAAAUAUCUAGUAAUGUCCAAAUCUCUUCCUCCAUAAAAAAUUUCGAUCAAGUUGUAAUCCACUCUUCCUCUAGUGAAUACCAAAAUCUCCAAGCGUCAUUUAGGCUUAAUAGCCGGAGUUAUCUGGUUUGGUCUCCACAUGUGAAGGCAUCCCUUGAACGAAAGGGGAACCAAACAAUUUAGUUAGAUCGGUACCAAGCUCAAAAGACCCACAGUUUGUACCGACAAAACCCACCCCAUUGCCAUCCCUCUCUAUGGUGAUCUAUUGAUUUAUCAUCUAUUGUUAGAUAUAAAGAGUAGAUCAUUAAUUUUGCAAACUUAUCUAUUAAUCUAUUUAUUGAACAUAAGAAUAAGGAUGCAACAUAAAAUGGUUCCUUGUGGUGCAGGAAUAAAUAAUCCCAAAAUGUUGAAAGUGUUGCCAAAAUUCAAGAGUAAGGUUUCUUUUUUAUCACCUUAUUUUCCCUAUUGUCAAGUUCGUUUAGAAGCAACGGAAAUCAUUUGUCCCAUAUUGAUUCACAAACAAAUGCUUUGAGAUUAUUUGUUAAGGAUCAAUGAUGAAUUUUUAUACGAUGUAAGUAGUAUCAUGCAAACACUACACUGAAAUAAGAACAACAAAAAUUUAAGGUGACCUACUUAAGAACAAUUUAACCUUUUUGAGGGUUUUCUUUUUUUUCUUUUCUUGCAAACAAGAAGUACAACUGAAAUUUCCUUUCUUGCAAACAAGAAGCAUACAACUGAAAUCCCAAUAUAUAACUAAAACACCAUAGGGUAAGGAUGGGCAUUGUUCUCUUGAACAAAAAGCACAAGCAAUCCUCCAAGAAAGAAAAUCCUCUAGGAUCAUAGUAAAUAAAUCUGUGUUAACAAUGCUUCCUAGACGUUUAUUGGAAAAUAAACAUCCACAAGUACCAAAUACAACUGAAAUCCCAAUAUACAACUAAAACACCAUCGAACAAGGACUACUAUAACACCAAAAAAUAAAAUAAAUAAAAUAACGGAAGAAAGCUCAUGGAGGUAAAAACUCCUAAAAAAACACCUUGAAAAGAGAAGCACUACACUUUGCUGACCAGUCUGUUGGUUGGCCAAGUGAAGGAUCCACCAAACUAGAUUUGGAGAUGGAAAAUUUUAGGUAAUUAGUCAUCUCACUUUUGAGGGUCUCAUAAGACACCAAGAAGAUAACUAAACCAAGUCACCUCCCACUAGGAAGUGAUUAAAACCUAUAGGAAAAGCUAAGGUGAAAUCUUUAAGUAAUGCCAACUCCAUAGCCAAUCUCUCCUCAAUGGGCUUAGAAAAAGAUUUACCCACCUCUCCUUAAUGAUCCUGGAAGACUCUGCCAAUACCCAUUUACCUUGGGUUUCCCAAAAUGACUCUAAGGGUUCUUUUAUUUGCCUUUUACAUCACUUUUCAAUCUAACAACAAGUUCAAUCAAGACCAAGGGAAGGCAAUAGAAAUUUGAGGCAACUAACUUGGGGAUAAGUCAAUCAAUUUCUUUUCUCACUUUUUCAAUGUGCAACACUAACCAAGAGAAAGGUGAUGUCACUAGAAAUUUGAAGUUACCAACUUGGAAAUAAAUUAACCAACAGAGGUGUGGCUGAUAGGAAUUUGAGGCAAUCAAUUUGCAUAUUCUUAUGAAGUUUUAUUUCUUUUGCUCUUACACUACUCUAUUUCUUUCCUAUUUCUUUGCCACGUCAAAAUAUAUGAAUUUCAUCUCCUCUUAGACCAAUCUUAAAAAGAGUAUAGGAACCUUUACUUAUUAAUUGACUCCUUUCCAUUGUAUACCUUCUGCCACGUCUAAAUACCCUCUUCUCUUACAAAAAAGGUCAACUGAGACCAUGGCAAGGCUACAAGAAACUUAAAGGAGACUAAGUUGGAAACAUUUUUUGUUCCUUCAAAAUAUUUGUCACUUCCCUCUUUUGUUACCUCUAAUGUCCUCUUCUGUGAAAUUGAUCCAGAAUCAAGUUAACCAAAGCCGAGCAAGGCUUAUAGAAACUUGAGGAUUUGAAUCCAGGAAUGAGUUGAUCAAGACUGAGGCUAAGCUAAUAGAAAUUUUGUGGUUACUGAGGCCAGAAAAUUCCUAAGAACGAACAUUUCUUAUUCCUAUGCUGCAUCAGAACGCCUCUACUUCACUCUAUUCCUUUGCUGCUUAUUUCCUUUUCCACUAUGACUCAGAAUAUAGAAUAUCCCCCUCUUCUUUCAAUUUCUUUUCAUCCUUUUCUUUUCUCUGUUUUUUGCGGCUUCCCUCCUCUUCUGCUACUUCAGAAUAUUCUUUUAUCCAUUCUGUUUGGUUGCUGCAUUUCUUUUUAGCUACAUAGGGAAUAUCUUCUUCGUCUUCUCUGCUCAAUUUCUUUGUUGCUUAUUUUUUCUCUUCGGCGACUCCUUAUACACAGCCACAAAAUUAUACCAAGAAAAUCACCAAAAAUGCAACAGAAUACAGAGCAUCCUCUUCCUCUGCUAAGAAUAAAAAAAUAAAAAAUCUUCCCCUUGUCUAUUUGGCGAAAUCCUUCCUCUCUGCUACUCUCCAUCUAUAAACAGCCAUAUAAUUGUACUAUCAGAAACACAUACAAUAAGAAAAUAACUUCUUCCUCUUCUUGGUUCAUUUCUUUGCUGCUUCCCUACUGUUCUUCACCAACAUUCAUUCAGAGCUAUUCUUUGGGUUGUUGUAUUGAGUGUACAUCUAAUACAGUUGGUUGUAUUAUAUCCUGGAAACAGGACAUUGUUAACGCAUGACACCAAGCCAUUGUCUCAGAGAAACAGAGUUCAGACACAUCAACUGAUAAGUCCACCUCAAUUCCAUUAUUUAAUUACUGAAGUUCAUAUUCUUUGUAGCAUCUGAGCUCUAAGUUUAUACUCCGGUCACAUGAGCUACAGAAAAAAGAAAAUAAGAAAAUAGACAGAGCACAGAACACCAUCUGUUCCCUCCUCUCUGCUAAAUUUCUUUGCUACUUAUGGUUCACCAACAUCACUAUAGCUGCUCUUCAGACCCAGAGUCAUUUCUGUAUUCUGGGAAUUGUACUGGGCCCUAUCACCUGUUAUUCUUGACCAUAUCUUAAAGAAACAGAUCACACAGCUCAAUUGAUUAGUCCAUUUAAUUUUCAUAGUUCGCUUCGGCUUAUUUUCGUGAUAUCCAAGUUAUUAGUUCUUCACUACACUAAAAAGAUACCCAAUAUGCCAUUAAUUGCAAUCAACAAACAUGCUAAGAAAAAGCAAGCUGACAAACUCAAAACAGAAAAGGAAACAAACGUAGCAAAACAAAACACCCAGUAAUUAAACCUCCAAUAAACCCAUAAAUCCCAUAAGUAGUCCACCAAAAGUCCACAUGUACUAAAUUAAAACCUCCAUUAAACCCAUAUAUCCAGUACACAGUCCAUAAGUAUUUAGUGCAUUAAAUUAGCAAAUAACAACAAGGAAGAAGAGAUCCAUCUGGAUUACCCGCACUUAUCGCAGAGAAUGGCGAAAUCACCAGAUCGCAAAGCCCAACCUUUUCUCCACUCGAUCGUCGACCCCGACGACGCCCCGGGGCACGACACGUUCGCGCAAGUUUUCGAUGCCAUUCAUAAACUCAAUAACGCCUGCAAAACUCACAAAAACAAAAUCCAAUCAAACAAACAAAAACCCUAACUCACCAACCCGGCUCCCCGAAUUCAAUCAACACCACAACCGAACGACAAAAUUGAUCAACCCAGACAAAACAACACGAACACGAAAAACCGUAGAAGCGAAGCUAACCCCACAGCUAUAUCCCGAACCACUCCCUCCGUCUGUAAAUCAGAGCACGAACACGCCACUACAAACUUUCACUCCAUCUUCCGAGUCCUCGAACUCCCGAGAUUUGAUCGAAGAAUGGCGGCGGGGCAGAAAUCCUCGGAUCAGCAAGGCGUCGAACACCGCCGGCCACCGGCGAGUCCAAUCGGCGAUCGAGUUUUGGGAAGAAGCGUGUGCAUGCAAAGCCUCAGAGAGAAAUAUAAAUAUAUGGAGAAAUGGAGAGAGAAAGAGCGAUGUAGAGAGAGAAAGUGAAAGAUGCAAAAAUGCAUGCACGACACUUCAAGACUCGGCGAACUCUCCCCACUUACCCCCCACUGUUUAUCUUUUUAUUUUUCAUUUUAAAUUUUAAAACCUCUCCAAAAAAUGGAAAAUUACCCCAAAAAAAUACUCCCCACUCUCACACCUUCUCAUAUCUAAUCACUCGCGCUUUGAUUCGAGGUCUUCUGAGUUUAAUAACGAGAAUGAGUCCAACUGCCAUCCGGGGUGGCGAGUGACGUACUGGCGAGUGCGGAGAGCGUGAGGAAGAUACCCAUUUUUUCAGGUUUUGAAAUAAUUUUCGAAUUAGGGCGUCAGGACACCACCGAAAAAUGCGCCACUAGCCGGUUUUUAAUCCAAUAGCAUAUUUCGCAUGCAAUGGAGUCGGGCGUUGAAUUACGGAAAUACCCCCCGAAAUACGUGGAUUUGACGGCCGAGCCUUCGUGGAUACGGCGGUGUUGGUGUUCCAAUGGUGCAGACUGGAGAGUACGCUUACCCGGGUCCUCCACUUCAACGGUCUCAUGAGUAAACGCGUGACCGCCGUGGGUUUGUUCUUCUUUUAGGAGUCAACGCCAGGGUGCUACAUCCGACGGUGAAUAUGCUCUGUGACGUCAUUCCAUUAGGUGAUUAUGAUGCCCGGUGGGCCCCAGAACCACGGUACCUACCGCUGUGAAAGAGAAAUGCUAACGCACGCGCCGGGGGUGGACCGUUAAGCUCUGCACGAUGUUUUACCAUAAAUAAAAUAAUUAAUUUGUUGAAAAAAAAACUAUAUUAUAAAAAAAAUGUGACUUCAACGAAAUAAUUAGAUUUUGGUGAUUAACAUUUUUCCAUUUUUAUUACUGGGUCAUAAUUACAAAAUUAUAAAAUAUGUAACAUUUAAGGCAUGAUCAAAUAUUGGGUUGUAGCUUUUUCCAAUUUUGAUUAAUGGGUCAUAAUUGCACAUGCAUUCAGUAUGGUGGUAAAUUGCUGGUGUGAAUAUGUAUAUUUAUUAAUCUAACAAUUCAUAUUUAUAAAUAACUGUCAAUCUUAUACCCUAUUUGUAUUAAUCCAUAAUAUUAUCUUUUAAUAUAAUAGAAUUAUUUCACUAAAAUGAAGGGAAUAAAAAAAAUGAAACAUAUUGCAAAUAUUUUUUGAAUGACUCAUUCCCGGGCUUAAGAGUUGUAUUGUUACACCCCGAUGCUAUCUAUAUUUAUUAAUUAUUAUAUAAAACAUUUGUAUUACUCUCUUCUAUAGCAUAUUAUGAUUCACCUCCAUUUUCAUUAUAUUUUCCAUUUUCAUUAUAUUUUCAAUACUCUUCUCACGUACCAAAUUCAGCUUAUUAUUUAUUUUUUUAACUUAUUUUUCAUACUAUCUAUAUUUAUUAAUUAUUAGAUAAUACAAUUAUAUUAUAUAACAUAUUUAUUAUAAUAACCAUGUUACUAUCAUAUUUAUAGUUUUUAUAUUGGUCCACACCAUGAAUAUAUAUGUUAUACUUAAAAUAGUACACAUCAAAUCAAUAAUUUGUUGAAAAAUAAAUAAAUUAUAAACAUGUAAUAUUUGGGGAAUGAUUAAAUUUUGGUGACUAACAUUUUCCAAUUAUGAUUGUAACGACAUGUACCCAAUUGUGUAGGACUUAAAACGAAUAAUAUCCACUUAGUUUGGAACAAAUCGUUAUAAAUGAUAUUAAAGUCGAUUCUUCAUCUCGUAUAGGGGUUUAUUUGGUCUCAUAGGAAGUGUUUGUUUGUUUGGUUCCUCAAUUUCAUGAGACACAAUUAUGACAUAAUGUCUACAUUAAGGAUGUUUAUGAUAUCCUAUAUCAAAUAGAUAAGAAAGUUUUUAGUGUUAUAUAAGCAUGAACCUAUUUUAACCAUAUAUAUGCGUUUUAAAUUUAUAAGAGCCAAUUUGGACUUAGAGCAAACAAUAUUUAUACAAUUGAGAUCAAAUUAUUACAAAUUGUAUAAAGUUGACCGAUUUCAAUGUGAGGGUUUGUUUGACCCCAUAUGGGUAUUUGUCUCUUUGACCUUGAUACAACGGCGACGUUGUGUCUAUAUAAAAAGCCAUUUGUGAUAUUCCACAUCGGAUAUGAAAAAUAUUAAUAUGAAUCAUUCUUAACAUUGUAGACAUGUUUUAAGGUUACGAGGAUUUAAAGGGUCACGAAGUAGACAAUAUCUACGUAAAUAAAAGUAGGUUGGAUUGUUACAAUAAGUAUCAUAAAUACAUAUUUAUAUUUAUUUAUCUAACUAUUCAUGAAUAUUGAUAUAUUUUUGUAUCUUUUUUUUAUUAUUAUUAUUCUUUUAAAAAUGUUAUUUUUCCAUAAAUUAAUGCAUAAAAAUCCACAUGGGAUAUAAGAGUGUAAUCAUCAUCAAUUACCAUAUAUAAAACUAAUAUAUGUGUAAUAAUGAUGACUUCAUUAUUAUUUCACUAAUUUGCUUUCUUUAAGAAAAUCUUUUACAUUGGUUCAAAAAUAAAUCGAUACACAAAUUAUUUAUUAUUAUUUUUUUUAAAAAUAACACCUAUGACAAAAAUUAUUAUGAUCACGUUAUUGCCAAAUAACACGUAUGAUAUAAUAAUUGUAUUAAAAUUACACUCAAAGGGUUCAUAAUGGUUGGUAGGCUAUUUUAUGCUAGUAGUCCUAUUUUCCCACUCCACUCAUCAAUCAUCUAUCCUCCACUCAAUUCGUUUUCUCAUACUAUUCCCUGCUAUUCCUCUUUCCUAUCUUACCCCUCUUCACAAACAAUUUCGUCUUCUACUUUCUUCACACCUUCACUUAAACCCUAAUUACCUAGUCAUUCAUAUUGCUAAAAGAAAAUGUUAGUGUAUGUAAAGAAAUAUAGAACAUUACCUCCAUGAAUUUCACUGAUAUGGGCUCUGCCAAAUUUACCUACUUUUCAAUCAUUUUCUACUCUCAAAUUAAGCCCUAAUUUCAGUAGAAAACCCCAAUUCUUUACUCAUUUGAAAUACCACAUAACCAAGGGGGAAACUUAUCUUUAUCUUUCAUUCUUCUGUCUUCUCCCGAAGGCCCAGAAAGUACGAGAAAAUAAAGAGCAAGCGUGGAAAAUUUUCUCAACACAGCAGCAGAGUAGAGAAAGUUGCUCCAGGUUGUUUUCCACACAAAAUCAAUGGCAGCCUUCAACAUCUCUUCAGCUACAAUCUACCGUACAUCGUCUUCAUCUUCAUCUUCAUCAUCUUUGUCUUUGUCAUCAAAGCUGUCGGUUCUCCCAAUGCGGUGUGCUCCUCCAAGGCCUUACCGUUCUAGAUUCUCAAGUAAGGCUUUUGCUUUUUUCAAGAGAUUUUUUUUUCUUUCGGUUUUUACUGUUUUGGUUAAUUUAUGGAACAAUUUGCAGAGAUACUUGCGUUUACGAGCAAUGAUAUCAAGGUGGGUUCCAGCAUUGAGGUAGAUGGAGCUCCAUGGAAAGUUUUAGGUACUGUUCUUUGAUUUUCUCUCUGUUGCUUUUUAAUGAAAUAGUUGGGUUUUGGAGGUAAUUUGUGUGUUAUUCCAAUGCUCAUGAGGAAGAAACACGAGACACUGAAUGCUGUAAUUGAUUCAGUUUCUAACAACCACAUUGUGGGAAUUUGUAUGUGUUGUUGUAUUGAAGUUGCUGCAAUCUGAGAUAACGUAUUGGCUAAAUGGUGGCAUCUCAGUGAAAAGUUUAUUACUUUUCAAGAAAUUAUCGGGUUUUAAAUUCCCAAAAAAACAUCAAACACUGAUGUUGAAUAUCUCUUCUUCUUCUUUUUUUCCCUAGGUAAUGUGACCUAAUGGAUGUGUUGCAAUUUGCACUAUUAGAUUCUGAGUCCUGUAUGCACUGAGACCCUGUGAAAGGAAUUUGGUAGGAAAUCAUGAAUGUGCAUAUUCUUUUUGCAUGCUUGUCCGGGACUAUAUCUAUUGUGAUUAUUUAUUAAUUGUGUCACUUCCCUAUAUGCAGAGUUUCUUCAUGUGAAGCCUGGGAAAGGGGCAGCAUUUGUAAGGACCAAAAUGCGCAAUUAUGUAACGGGAAACACUGUUGACAAAACUUUUCGAGCUGGUUGUUCGGUAAUAUUUUUUUUUUUUUUUUACUAAAACUGGUUUAUUCAUUAUCUUGGUGCUAAUAUGUUGUAGGUUUUAUUUAGUUUGCAAUGAACAUGAUCUUAAAGACUGUCCUUUGGCAAUCGUAAUGUAGUUGUUGCAACAUUAGGUUUCUCUUUUUCAAUGCACCAGAAAAGACUUGAAAGAUGGAAGUGCUUUUCCUGUUUCCAUUGGAAACCUAUUAAGUCAUUAUAGUUUAGGAUUCUGUCAUAGAUUUUGCAUUUUCUUCUCCAAGUUAUUAUAAUUUGGGAUUCUAUUUUAAAUUUCCCAUUUUCUUCUCUGAGAUUUUUUUUCUUAAUUAACAUUAUAAUACUAUCUUGGCAAGGUUUAAUUUGGAUUCAUGGUGAUGUAGCUCCAAAGUGAAUGAACUAUGCAAUCUCUCAUAAUGUGAUUGUGGGUUUGACUACGUAAUUUCUCUCUAAUUUCAUUAGUUAUUCUUCCACCUCUUUCCUGAUUUUCUAUUGGCCUGUGGAUUAAGAAACUAAAUAGUUUGGGUUCUUAAUUUGAGCAACCUAAAGUUGUGUGGCUCUCCCUACAAUAGUUUAUCCAUGUUGGAUAUCGUACUUGUGCCAGGGUCUUUGUUAGAACAAUGUAAAUGUAAAGUAUUUAUAAAUUGCAUUUCAAACCCUUAGUCACAAAGCCAUAGGGCAGGAUUUAUGAUUGCUGAGGUGGGAACUGUUCUUGAGGACAACAUUGUAAUGGCUGGCACAAAAUGGUUGAAUUGCAUCAUGAAAUAAAGCUUCUACUCAUUUGUCAGCGGCACAACUAGGCAUGUUUAAUGCCUGCGCAGCCCUUGUGCGCCUUUGUUGGCCAUUCAAAGCCCAUAAGUCAAGCAUGAUUGGCUUAGGUUCCAUGAAACUUAGUUUUUUGUUUGAGUCUAUGGACCAUAAAAACAAUUUUUUUAAGGUUCUUGAAAGUUUAAUGCUGGAAACUCCAAUUCCUCUUAUGCUUGCAGCCCAAAAAUUUAGAUACUUUUCUCCAUUUUUUCCAAUGUUAAGAAUAAGAAUAUAAAAUUAAAGAGUGCCUAACAAGAAAACCAAUGUACAAAGGACACAUAUGAAGAGCAUUGAAGACAACAAGAACUAUAAACAACACCUUAACCCCUCCCGUAUAAACAAGUGAAGAAUCAAGAAUUGAAUAAAGUUACAAUCCAAAAAAAUAUUUGACCACAAGAAGAUAUUUUCAAAUGGGUCACUCAAUGGCAUUUUCAAGCUCUCUAUGCCCUCAAAAUAUCUUUUAUUUCACUCCCUUCAAAUGGAUCAAAGAGGAAAAAGGGAACUAAUCUCAUGCUAAUAUGAUUGACCAACUCCUUAUCCUGCUUGCUGAGGACUUUAAAGGCCAUUCCUGUUUCAUCAACUAAAAAUGUAGGUACUAUGUUGAUACAAGUCCUAAGUUGCUUCAAAACAAUGAAAAAUGCUGUUCAAUUUCAUCUUUGGGAUGCACUUUCUUAUAAAUAAGCCAGAAGAAUCUACCUUAUUCAUCUCAUGUUAGCAAAAUUUUCAACUAUUACAUACCUUAACGUAUCCUAGUAUUAUAGUCAUAAUGAUAUCAGGUCUCAUGCAACAAUUUAGGCACAUGUCUUUUCCUAAUUACAUUUUUCAAAGCCUUAAAUAAUUCUCAUGCUAUUAGAUGCCUUACUAACUUCUUAUAUUCCUUCUAUUAUCUUCUUGCAUCUCUAGAUAGAUGAGGCCAAUGUGUACAAGGAGACCAAGCAAUACACAUAUAAAGAUGGUGCACAGUUUGUCUUCAUGGACCUGGUAUUGCUCAUUUUCCUUUUCAUAUAAUUUAUUACUCACUUCAAACCUAUCAGCUUAACUAAACCUUGUGCCAGCUGCUUCAGUUAUUCUGAUUCAUUUUUCACUUAUCAAUAUGUGAAAAAUAUUUCUUCUUAUCAAUAUGUGAAAAAUAUUUCUUCUCAUAUGAUUGCAAGAUGCUGGCUCUUAUUACUGCUUUCCACAGAGUACAUUUGAAGAAAUUCGACUUAAUGAGUCUGAUGUUGGAGAGAGGACAAAGUGGCUGAAAGAGGGCAUGGACUGCAAUGUGCUAUUUUGGAAUGGAAAGGUACCAAAGAUUUUGAAUAUUUAAGUAUUUAAACUUUUCUCAUGAUCUUUUCAUUCAAGUUUUCUGUCACGUGUAAAGAGAGAAUAUGUGUUGAAUGUGUUUAGGAGAUUGUGUUUUAUGGCGAUUUAAUGCACAAGAGUGUGAGUUUGCAUGGAUAACUAAGUUCUUGGAAUAGCACUCUUCAAAUGGCUUACAAUAAUGAAUCAUAAUCUGAUGAACAUUAAGCAUCACAGAUUCAAGGAUGUACAUGGAAUUCACAUGUUACAUGCAUUAGCAAACUUGUGCAUGGUUACCAUUCAUUUUAUGAGAGGCGAAACAGCUGAUUGAUUUUUUCCCCUGGUAAUCAAAUUAACUAUUUAUAUGGUUGCAGAUUAUUGAUUUUGAACUCCCCAUUACAAUCAAGCUGACUGUUGUUGAUGUUGAUCCUGGCAUUAAAGGUGACACUGCACAAGGUAAUGCGAUUUGGUUUCUAUUGAAGUCAUGACACAAUGGCCUACUGAGUUUACAUGCCCAUCAAUCCAUGCCUUGGGGAUUACCAGUGGAUGGAUUUGGUCUUUAAUCCAUGUCCUGGGGAUUACCAGUGGAUGGAUUUGGUCCCACGCAAGAAUCUGAUCUUGGAAAUGAUAAAACAUAUGAUCAUUCUACCAUUGCUCUGAUCUGCCACAAACAGAUCAGAUGUCCUAAUCGGGUUAUGCAGGGCCUAAUUCAUCUGCUGUAUGACCAUAGUCUUGGAUUGGAAUGGUUUUAAUUAGGUUUGAAAAGUGCUUCACCUAUCAAUCAAAAUAUCGACAACUUUGUUUUCUUCAUCCAAGUAGCAGCAACUUAAUAUUUGGGCAGCGAUGUGACAAUCAUAGAAAUCAGUUUUUUUGAAGUAAUAAUAUGCCGUCAUUGGUUCACCCAUUGUGUGUUUGGCAAUGUUUCUUCAAUUUUCUUUUUUGCUUUUUUUUUUUCCAAUUCUUGACAUUCCUAAUCGCAGCUCACCUCUUUUUACUCUGGGAAUGCUCAGUUUUCCCCCCGCAAUACUGGUUUAGUAGCCCAAAGUGUCUGUAUGUGGUUGGUGAUUGUAAGAAUUUGUGGGGAGGGAAACAGUUUGUUAGACAGCUUUUGCUUCUAAUUUGGCAAACAAUAUUUUCUGGCAGGUGGAUCGAAGCCAGCAACUCUCGAUACAGGUGCUGUUGUCAAUGUCCCUCUGUUUGUAAAUAUAGGCGAUCAAAUAUUGGUGGAUACAAGAACUGGGGAGUACAGGAGUCGCGCAUAGCCAUAGAGAUCCCUUAUCUCUCGUCAUCUCCACAAGAUUCUACCCUUAUAUGUUUUUGUUAACUACCAAUGCACUGUACCCAUUGAAUGCAAGGAAAAUAAAUCAGAGAGGCUAGAUAGUAAAACAGUUGUAAUCUUAAUUUUUCUACUUUACAUUGUCGAUUGACAUGAUGAACUCUUUUUUUAUGUCAGAAGGGAAAUUCACAUUCAUUUCAUAAGACAUUUCUGUUUAGAGAAGGUUAUGAACAUGCUCGCUCAUUCGUCCUAAGCAUUAGAACUCAGCAAAAGUUUCCGGAAACGCUAGUGUGAAUUUUUGACACUAUCAAAUUCAUUGAAGGCAUGAGCAUUUUUGAAACCACAUGCAGCUGAAAGAAGUAUACAAUACAAAUAGGAAUGUACAAACCAUUGAUCUGUCAAGUCUACCAUUUGGUAUGAAUGCUCACAAGCAACAGUAGAACCUACAACUAACCAACAAUUGCAUUCUUGCGGCUUGAAGACUUGCCUGGCCUCUUGUGAGGGAUCACACCUCUCUUCAGAGCUGCACCAUAUACAGUACAAGCACUCAACCAUCUCCCCUGUUGAUUGAACUCAUCAAUCAAAAGGUUAUAACAAAUCCUACUGGGAAUUCUCCUCCCUUCGCACAUGAGAACCAAGAUCGACAGUGCCUCAUCAACCCUUCCCUCACUGCAAAGUGCGCGAAUGACACUGUUGAAGGUGAUCAUCCUGGGAGGAAAAUAUCCAAACCCUACCAUCUCAUUUAAAUACAUCAAAGCCUUGUCUACCUCCUUGGCAACACAAAGGGUUUGGAUCACUAGGCCAUAUGUAUUGGGGUAAAUGGCACAGCCCGCGUUAAUCAUUUUCUCAAACACUUCAUGGGCAUUUUUCAACAGCCCUUCUUCUUUCCAUGAUCUCCUGCACAAUCCCCUCAACAUGGUGUUCAUCAUCCUCUCUUCCACUUUGAAACCGGCCUCCACCAUCUCCCUGUAAAUUCGCAGCGCAGAAUGAAUUUUGCCCCACUUCAAUAGUCCAUUCAACAAAGUGCUAUAACUGAUAUAAUCAGGCAUGCAGUUUCUUUCUUUCAUGUUCUUCAAUAGAUGAAUCCCCUCUAAUGGCCUUCCUUCCUUGCAAUACCCAUUGAACAGGGUAUUGAAAGUGACCACAUUUGGGGUCAUUCCCAUUUCCAGAGCUUCAACAAGCAACUCCAUUGCCUCAUCCGACCUACCCACUUUGCAAAACCCAUCCAUAACAGCUGUAUAUGAAUAUAGGUCUGGUUUUACUGAAGAUUUCUUGAUUUUCAUCAAGAAUUCAUACGCAUCCUCCACCCUCCCCACAUAGCACAACCCCUUUAACAGGCAGUUAUAUGUCUGAACAUUACCUUUGCAUCCAAUUCGACCCAUGAACUCCAAAAUCUCCACAGCUUUCUGCAAUUUACCCCUUCUGCAGAAUGAAUUGAUCAGAAUAGUGAAUGUUACUACACUUGGUUGAAACCCAAUUUCCACCAUGUGCUCAAGAACUCGUUUUGCUUCACUCGGGUCAUUUUUCUUGCAGUGGCACUUGAUAAUAAUGGAAAAAGUCCAAGAAUCUGGCACCAUCCCAUAGGAUGAUAUAUCACAGUAGAGUUUCAGCGCAAGGUCAGGCUCAUCUGCUAUGAAUAAAGCCAGGAGCACAUCAUUGAAGACAGAAAGGUUCUGAAAUGCCCGUUCUCUCUCAAACACAUGGAUAAUUUGGAUUCUUUCAGAAGUGGGUAAGGCUCUAAUCCUAUCAACAAAGUUAUGGACUUGUAAUCUAGUAUUUCUCCUAUCAAAGUCCAUGCUAUGUGGUUCUUCCUUGAUGGGUCUGUCAAUGGAGACUCCAUUUGGACAAAUCCUAUCAGUUGCAUUGGCGAUACUGAGAGUGCUUUCUGAUGAAUUCCUAACAGAGAAUGAGAGAGUGGUGGCAUGGAGAAGCAACUUACCUUGUUGGGUUUUGUUGUGGUUGUUUCUGAAGAAGCAAGGGCUACUAAAAAUCAAAGAAUGAAUGGGUGAAGGAUGUGGAGAAAACAAUAGUUGAGAAGGCAUGUAUGCGGGAUUCGUGAAUUGGGGAAGAAGGCUAUUGCAAAUCAUGAUGUACACUGCUCACCAAAGAGGGUAGUGGGAGGGGCAUUUUGAGGCAAAUGAGCUGUUUGAAACUACAAUUCAUCCCUGGAGAUAUUCUCUACGCCUUCACAAGGUUGAAGCAACACCAUUAAUUCAGGUCAAAAACAAGUGUUAAAUACCCCUCGAAAAUCUGUCGACACCCACAUAUUAAUUUAUUCUUUAAAAAAUAGAACUUAAAUAUGGAAGGGCAAAAUGACCUUCUCUUCAUCCUUCUUCCUAUCAAAUUUGAUAAAUUGAUGAUGAAAGCUAUAUUUUGUAUUAUUUCUUUUUGAACUUUAUACAAAAAUGUAAAUGAAUUGUAUAAGGAAAGAAAUGAAUAAUAUUCCUAAGAUAUUGGAAAGUAUCCUAAAAUGAAGAGAAUCAAAUAUUAUUAAUAUUUUAAUUUUGUGAGAAUUAAAUAUUUCUAUAUUUUGUGAGAAUCAAAUAUUAUUAAUACUUGAUUUUCUCUAGAUUUAUGGAAAUAUUGAUGGAAGUGUCUUCUUACCCUUUAUGUGCUUGAUUAUGUGUAUUUCCUCAAGUUAGAGUGAGAACAAACAUGGACGUCUAAUUUGUUCAAAGAUUUGGUAAAAAUAUCAGCAAGUUGAGAAUGUGUAAAAACAUAGUGAGUAACAAGAGUGCGCAUAGUUACCUUAUCUCAUACAAAAUGAUAAUCAAACUCAAUAUGUUUAGACCAAACAUGAAACAUGGGAUUAACAAACAUGUAAAGAGCACUAACAUUAUUACAAAAUAAUUGUGGUGAUUUAGAGAGGGACACACUAAUAACUCGUAAAAAAUAAGUAAUCUAAAUUAACUAUGCUAUGGAGAAAGCCAAAGAGCGAUGCUCAACCUCAAUGCUUGAGCAAGCAACAACUAGUUGUUUCUUUGAACACCAAGAGAUACAAUUUGCUCCAAGAAAAACACAAUAACCCAUGGUGCUCCGUCUUGCAGCAGGACAACCUGCUCAAUUAGCAUCACUAAACCAAUAAAAGAGAUAUUGGAUUGGUGGAUAGGUAACGUAAACCAAAGUAUUGGGUUCCUUUAAGAUAUCUUAAGAUACCCUUUAUAGUUGUCAAGUAAGCCAUAAUGGGGUUACUAAAAUAUUGACAUACCUGAUUAAUUGUCAUAUGAAAGUUAAGUAUUAAACGGGUUCAACAAUAAUUUAGAAAGUAGUAACAUCAUUUAAUACAUUGUUUGAAAGAGAAGACUCGUUAGUAAGAACCUGAGGUGGGGCAACAUGAUUACUAUUAAACAUCUUAGUUCUUGAAAGUAGGUCACGUAUAUACUUUUGUUGAGAAAGAAAAACUCCUUCAUCAAAAUAUUUAAUCUCUACAAUAAGAAAGUAACGUAGAAGGCCAAGAUUUUUAUUUGCAAAUUCAUGGCUGAGUUGUGCAAGGAGACUUGUAAUAAGAAGACUUGUAAUAAAUUGGUUAUUGUUACAUACAAGAAGAACAUCAUCCACAAAAAUGAGGAGAAUUGUAGUUAUGUCAUGAGUGCAAUAAAUAAACAAUGACGAGUUCACUUUAUUGCAAUAGAAACCAAAUCGGAGCAAAAAUUGUGAAAAGUGAUUGAACCAAGCACAAGAUGCUUAUUUCAAACCAUAUAAUGAUUUCUUUAAUAAAUACACAUAAUCAGGAAAAAGAAAAUUAAUAAAGCCUGAAGGCUACUCCAUGUAGAUUGUUUCCUUUAGUUGCCCAUGCAAGAAUAAUUUUUUUAUGUCCAAUUGGUGCAUGCUCCAAUUUAAAGAAAGAGAUAGAGCUAUGACAAGACACAUGGUGGUUGGUUUAACCACAAGGUUGAAAGUUUCAUUUAGUCCACUUUUGAUACUUGUAUGAAACAUUUUGCAACCAAGUGAGUCUUAAAACAAUCGAUAAAACCAUUUUCUUUAUACUUAAUAUGAUUUACCCAUUUGGAGCUAACAACAUUGAUUCCAGAUGGUGAGAAACAAACUCCUACAUGUUAUUAUCAUGAAAUGCUUGAAGUUUAUCUUUCAUGACAUCAGUCCAACUUAAAUCCUUGAGAGCGGUCUUUAAGGUCUUUGACUCAAAUGAAAUGAGAUCAUAUACACGAGAAGAGGUUGGUGAUGAAAUGGGAAGAACAAUAUAGUCACUGAGGUAAAAAGGUGGCGUUCUAACUCAAACAAGUUUAGUUUAUGGCACUAACUCAAUUGGAGAGACUCAUGAAAUGUCAUCAUAUUCAAAUUUAGCUUCAGUUGAAGGAGAAGAAUGUGUAAGACCUUCAUCCACAGUUGGAAUCAAAUUCUCUAAAGUUGAAGUAUAUGGAACCAUUGGAAUAAAGGUAGAAUUUGCAAAAAAAAAUUGAGGUAGUUGCACUGUUCAAGCUAAGUUGAUUUUCUUUGUUAUUUCCUACAAUAUUUGGAAUAAAAUCUACAAUAAAAUUAGGGUUACAAAAAUAAAAGGAAUCAUUUGACAAGGUAGUUUCCUUAUUAGUUGAAUCGAACCAUUCAUCCAAAUAAGGGAAGUCAAACAUUUCCAAAUUUGUAAAAUUAGAGACCACAUGUAAGGACUUGUAAAUAAUGGUGCCUUCAUCAAAGACAACAUGUCUAGAAAUACAAACCUACCUUGUUUGAGGCUCCAAGCAUCUAUAAUCCUUAUGAAUCGGGUUAUAUCUGAGAAAGACACAUAGAUAAGUCUUGUUGGUAAAUUUUGAACCAUAUUGAUAAUGUAAUGAUGAAAAACAUUGACAUCCUAGUACUCGUAAGCCAUUGUAAUCAGGAUGCUUUUUGUAGAGCUUAAAGUAAGGGAUAACAUUGUUAAUAGUUGAGGAGGGCAACUUGUUUAUAAGAUACACAGUUGUAAGAAAGACUUCAACCCAAGGAGAUAAUGACAAGGUGGCAUGAAAAAACAUGGUCAAUAAGGUUUCAACAAUAUGUCAAUGUUUUCACUCGACCAUUUCGUUUUGUUCAAAAGGUCCAAUACAUGAACAGGUAGCUCCAUUCCAUUAUUCUAAAGAUGCUUAAGAAAAAUAUUAGAGCUAAAUUUCCUCCACUUUCACAUAUGAAAUGCUUUAAUUCUUUGAUUAAAUUGAUAUUCUACCAAAUUUUGAAACUUAUGAAAACAAACAGAAAAUUCAAAUUUCCAUUUCAAAGAAUAAAACCAUGUGAAUCAUGAAUAAUCAUUGACAAAUAUUGCAUAAAAAUGAAAAUGUUGAUUUAUAGUCACAGGAGCUGAGCCCCAAAGAUCACAAUUAUCAAGAGGAAUUUUAGAAAAUUUAUUUGAAUAAUAGAGAGACAAUUUGCAACUCUACCCCAUUUGACAACUAAUAUAAAUAGAAGGUUUAGUUGCUCAAUGGGUUAUAUCAAUAAAUUUCUAUUCCUUUAAUAAGGAAAGAAUUUUUUAGUUUGGAUGUCUAGGUUGUUGAUGCCAAAUUGAUAAAGAACCAUAUUUCUUUAUUGCACUAAAUGCCUCUUAAUUGUUUCCAUUUAACAUAUAUAGUUGUCUUUUCUUAUGCCUCCUUGUUAUUGUCCUUUAAUUUUAGUCCUUAACAACAAAGUCAGAUGAGGUGAAUUCAAAAGUACGUAAAUUAUUUGCAGUAAAUUUUUUAAUAGAUAACAGAUUUUUCUUUAAAUAAGAAACUUCUAACACGUCUUUUAAAUCCAAUUUUCCUCCAUUAUUCCAAUAUGAGAAAUAUGUAGACUAUUUUCAUUUCCAACAUAAAUAACAACAUUCCCAUCAUAUGAUUUAAUAUGAAAAAUUUUACUUGCAUUGUUGGUCAUCUGUGAGGUAGCACCGGAAUCAACAAUAAAUAACUAAUCAUUUGAGUCAUUCAUGGCAAGAGUAGCAAUAACUUGUGGAAAAUCUUUAGAUUGGUAGGAAUAAUCUAAUCUAUACCAACAAUCAAUAGCAAGAUGAUUUGGUUUUCCACAUAUUUGACAAGUUACUUUACUAUUAUUAUUUGAGCUAGUAGGACGUUGUUGUUGAUGCCUUUUUUUUGGUUGAAUUGUAUUGUUAUUUGACCAUUUAGGAAUGUUGACAUUGCUUUGAGGAUUAUGGUUGCCAUUAUAGUGCUUAAUAGGUGUGAAUCCUCUUCCCUUUGAGUUGAAAUUUCUUUUACCCACUCGGCCAUUUUGAUCACGACCUUGUUGUCCAAAGAAAAAUUGUGCAUGCUUUAAUAAUAUUUUCUCUUCCUCUUUUUGGGUGGUGAGUGAUUGUUUAUGUCCUUGAAGAGCUAGCAUAAACUAGUUAAAGAAAUGAUAAGGUGGUUUAAUAAGCAUAACAAGUAAAAAAAUUUCAUUCCUUGUCCUAAACCAUGAGCUAAUUGAAAAACUUUAUCUUGGUUUGAAAUUGGCUUUUUGACUAUAACAAGAUUGUCACAUAUAUUUUUGAAGUUUCUUAAAUAUUCUUCAAAAAACAAUGACCUCUUGUUGAGAGUCAUCAACAUAUUUUUCAAAUUCUUUUCUUUUUUUACUAUAAUACAAAACAAUUGCUCUUCAAAAGACGUCCAAACUUCAUAUGUUAUUUCAACACCAAAGAUCAUGCUCAAAACAUCUUCUUUCAUAAUUCCAAGAAGCCAUGAAAUAAGAAGUCUAUCGUUAUUGAUCCAUAGUUGGUAUUGUGGGUUAGGACUUUUGAUUUUUUCAUCAUCUUUAAUUUUUUCAGUAUGUUUUUCUCCAUUUAAUAGAUGAUGGAGAACAUCGAGGCUACGAACAAAGGCAGUGAUUUGACUUUGCCACCGUAAGAAAUUUGUGGUGUUUAACUUCAUAGAGAUGAAACUAGAACAUUGGUGAAAUGACUAAGUAUUGAGUCCAAGUUCUAUGUUUAGGAAAGAGGAAAAGAAUGAAGAAGAAGAUAUAUAUAUUCCAAGCUUGAUUUUCAUAAUACCAAUUCUUGGGUUUGUUAUGAUACUUGGGUAUUACAUUUUUGGGCUUUGUUUUCCGCAUGCUUAUUUAGGCCUAAUUAAGUUUGUUCAACAUUGGAUUGGGCCUAUUUACUAAUUAUAUUGGGGCUGUAUUUCCUUACUAAUCCAUUUUUUUUAUUAAAUAAAAAGUUCAAAAUCAAUUUUUUUUCUAAAAAAAUAUUUUAAUGAAAUAACAAUUUAGAAAAUAUUCCUUUUAAUAAAAGUCUGGACAGUUCUCUUAAUAAAAAGUUCAGAAAAAAAUGUUUUUAGACGAAUUUUAAAAACUAUUUUUAAUAAAAACUUGGAAAUUUAUUUGUUUAAUAAAAUUGUCAAGACAGUUAAUUUUUAAAUAACAUUAUUCAAAAGGUUAAUUUUUAAUAAAACAGUUCAAAUUUUUUAUUUUUAAAUAAAACUCCAUAAUUUUUAUAAAUUAAAAUUAUAGAAUCAUUUUCUUAAUAAAAUUGGAUUGAAAAUAUUUUUGUAUAUGAAAAAAAUCAAUUCAUUUGUAAAUAAAAUCAAAUUGGAACAUUCUUUGUUAUUAAAUUUGUAAUUUUUUUUUUUAAUAAUUGGUGUAAAUCUUGUUUCUAAAUGAAAUCCAAAAUCUUUUAAAUAAGAAUAUAAUUUAACGAAUUUUAAUGUGAAAAAAAAAAUUCUUAAUAAAAUUGGGAUCUUGGAAACAAAUUUGUGAAAUUUCUUUCCCUAAAUAAAUAAAUUGAUAAUAAAAAAUAUAUUUUAAAAAAAUUAAAUCCAAAAAUAAUCUUUUUAAUAAAAUUGGGCUGAAAGUCCAUUUUAUAAACUUAUAUAUAUCUUUCUUUAAGUAAGUAGAAAAUCAUUUUUUAAAAAACAAAAUAUGAAUCAAAACACUUUUGAAAAUAAAUUUAUAAAAAUACAUUCUAGAAAAGCAAACAGAAUCAUUUUUUUAUAAAUAAAAUCAAAUUGAACCUUUUUUUUUUUUUGUGAAAUUGUAUUCAAUAAAUUCUUUUUAUAAAAGAUAAGAGAAAUUCUUUCAAAAUAAAUUUGAAUGUGAAUAAUAGUUAAGUCUUUUGCAAAUAAAUAAAUUAAAAUCAUUGAAAUUGUUUUUAAUGUAAAUAUAUUCUUUCAAAAUUCUUUUAAAUUAUGUUGUGAUUUUUUGAACAAUAAAACUUUUUUUUUUCUAAUUAAUUUAAUAAAUCAAUUUAUAUAAUUCUCCAAAUUAGUUUUGUCGUAUAUUUACAUCUUACUUUUCUUGAUAUUUGUAUUUAAUUAAUCAAUUGUCACAAUUCCCUCAAUUUGUUUAAUAAAAAUAAUAUGUAUAGAAGAUUAAAGAGUUGUUACGGUUUAUCAUUGCAUCUUCCAGAUGGUAACCUGACUUCCAAUUUUAUUUAUUUUUAUUUCACAAACUUAUCUUUUCCAAAUAAAGUCAUAUAGAAUUUUAUUUCUUAUUUUGUUUCCCUUAUAAAAAUAUACUAAAAUAAGUAAUAACUCCGAGUUUUUUAAAAAUGUAAUUUUUAACAAAUAAAAACAAAUCUCUUCAUAUAAUGAAUUUAAUGAUAUAUUAUGACAUGAUGGUGGGUCAAUGGAUAAUAUCUAAAUGUAGAUAACAAGUUGUUAUAGAAUUAUGAUAUCUUUCAUAAGAUAGGGGGAAAACCUUCUUUAAUUUAUCUUAAUUGUGUAUAUGUGUUUUAAAGUGGUAAAAUUUCAUUGAGGUUGAGUACCAAUAUCUACAUGAAAAGGAUGAGUAUUACAAAUGAUAUCAAAAUUUAUCAUUGACUUUGACUUUGACUUAGACUUAGAACUGUAAGUUAAUGUUUUGAAAGGAUGUUACGAGAGAAUGCCAUAACAAAUGGUAUUAAAGACUUUGGUAGCAUAUUACGAGGUUUAAUGUUUAUUGCAAUAAAAUUAGGGAAUUAUGAUACUUGUUACUUUCUUUAUUUGAAGCUUUUUGGCCCUUCUAUGUUUUAUUAGGGUGAAAGAUGAUUCAUUCAUAAGAAGAAAACAAAAGAAAAUCUAGAGAGCUACCCUUUUUUUUUUUUUUUUGGAUUUUACAACAGAAAAGAAUCUAAAUAACCUUUAAAAAUAUAGAGCAACAAAUUUAAUCAUUGAAGAACUCUUUUAUUAAAAAUUUAUCUAGAUGGGUUAAAAUGUGCAUAAUGGAAGGAGUAUCUUUAAUUGAUCUUGUAGGUUGGGCGUGAUCUAGACCAUGGAGGGAAGGCUUUUUUGUUUUUUUGUUUUUAUAUUCAUACCUUUUGUUAUCCUUUGUAUAUAGGACUUGGUGUAUAGUUAUUUAUAAUUUUAGUGAUAUAUACUCUCCAUUUUCUUAUAUAGUUACUUCUUCUUUCAAGUGGAAGAUAACCCCGAGCAAUUGUCGAUUUUUUUCUAUCAAUUAUGGCUCUCCCCUCACUACCCCGUGGGAUGAGUUCACGCUUACCUAGUCAAUACUUAAAUUGGAUUCUACCUCAAUUUUUCUAAUUUACCCCAACAUUUUUCACUUAUUUGUGGGCAAUUUUUGGAUAUCAAACGCUUCGCUAACUAUACAUUUAAAACCCACCUCAAAAAGCACGUCGUUUUAUGAAUCAUGUUUCAUUAAUUUUCAUUGAUUUUGUCUUCAUAAAAAAUGGGUCUCAAAUCCUCUACCCAAAAAGAAAAAGAAAAAAAAAGGAUAGGCAAUAUAUGCGGACAACAUGAAUCAUUGAAGAACUCUUUUAUUAAAAAUUUAUCCAGAUGGGUUAAAAUGUGCAUAAUGGAAGGAGUAUCUUUAAUUGAUCUUGUAGGUUGGGCGUGAUCUAGACCAUGGAGGGAAGGCUUUUUUGUUUUCUUUUUUUAUAUUCAUACCUUUUGUUAUCCUUUGUAUAUGGGACUUGGUGUAUAGUUAUUUAUAAUUUUAGUGAUAUAUACUCUCUCUUUUCUUAUAUAGUUACUUCUUCUUUCAAGUGUAAGAUAAUCCCGAGCAAUUAUCGGUUUUUUUCUAUCGAUUAUGACUCUCCCCUCACUACCCCGUGGGGAUGAGUUCACGCUUACCUAACCAAUACUUAAAUUGGAUUCUACCUCAAUUUUUCUAAUUUCCCCCAAUAUUUUUCACUUAUUUGUGGGCAAUUUUUGGAUAUCAAACGCAACUCCAAAAAGGAAAAAAAAAAAAGAAAAGGAAAGGAUAGGCAAUAUAUGCGGACAACAUGAUAUGAAAAACUCGAAAAAUAAUAAAAUUCAACGACGCAGAGAUCUACUAAAUGCCUUCCAAGACACGAGGUCCUUAUGAUCCGGUACCCCUCUCCUUCCUCCCUUUUUCCCAAAAACUGGACUCAGCAACUUCUUCAGCACCCUCUUGAACCCGGACCCACGACGCCCACGUCGCACCUCCGCCCCCACCGCAGGCGGCUGAGGCAGGGGCGCAAAUGACCGAGCCGCCCCUGGCUCCGACAGGCUCCGACCCAGCAUCGCCCGCGUCAGCUGCAACUCAAAUGACAGCCUCUCGAACUGGUCCAACAGUGUGCUCUGCUCGUCUCCAAAUUUCCCAACAACAGCCGCUAUUUCUUCCAUUCUCUUCAUAUCGACCAUUAAGCUUCAAUCACAUUCACAUCAAACUCCUUCUGAUGGGUUCACAAAGUAUUUAUUGGAUGGACAAAGGUACAUGAAUAUAGAACAGUUUGCUCUCUACUUUUAUAUGCUGACAGCAGCUGGUUGCAUUUAUUUGACAGUCCUUGGAAAUUGAAAAUAUUCAAAUAUCGGUUUAUUUGAAUGCUUUCCAAGGAUAAUUCUUAUUAGAGUUUCAAUCACAACCUUAAACCCCAUGGCAAGAAUUCCUUGGGCAAAACCGGGCCAAACACUUUAUUCUUUCUUGCAUCACACAAGUUAUGUUUUGUUCCUACAAGCUUCUUCCACACAAAAGCAUUAUAGAUUGUAAAAAUAUAAAAAUGCAGUCCUAAUAUUCUAAUUCCAACAAAGAAAUGUCACAAAUAAAAAGAGUCAAUUUGGUAACUAUUUUUUAAAACAGUUUUGAAAAAUAGUUUUUAAAAACAGUGUUUAAAAACGGUUUUUUAAUGUUUAUAAAAUAAAAGUUUGAGUGCAUUUCAUAAUGAUUUUAGAAAGUGUUUUUAAACUUUCUUAUACUUCAAAAUUUUUAUCUUUCAAGUAUUAAAAAAGAUAAAAACACUUUUUAAAAUCGUUAUCAAAUGCACAAAUUACUUGAAAACCGAAAUUAUUUUUAAAUUAUAAAUAUUUUAUUUUUAAUCAUUCUACAUGUUUAUAUAAUUAUUUUUUAAUACAACUAUUAGAAAACAAGUGAAAAUAAUAUAAAACAAUUUUAAAAAGUUCUUUAAAAAUACCAUAUUUUUUGUUUUUAAAUAGAAAACAGUUUUUUGUUACAAAACAUGUUUUUUUUUAUUUUUUAUUAAGAAUAAUACAAAAAAUUGCUCCCGAAAACAAUUGUCAGACAAGUCCAAAGUAUCCACUUUAUUUUUCCUUGCGAUAACAAUAUAACCACCUUUAGUCAAGCCUAAGCCAACUGAUUAGCCUAAGAAUUUAAUAGGUAUAUUAUCUUUGUUGUUAAUAAAUACAAUUACAAAGUUUUUAAAAAUAUAUAUAUAAUUAAUUUUAAAAAAUAAUUAAAAUUUGUUUUUUUAGAUAAGUUUUAAGGGAGAUAAAUUAUGUAUAUUUAUUUUAUGUGUGCUAACUACACGUAAUUAAAAAGCGGCCCAAGCUUGGAGCCCAGUAGUAUAUUUUGGAUGGGUUUCGUUGAUAUCGUGGACCAUUUCUCGGGGUUAAAUGAUUGGGCCAGACCAUGGGCUGGGCUCGAAUUAAAAAAGUCUGUUCAAGGCCCAGUCUAGACGGAUCAGGCUCGGCCUAGGGGGGAAAUGGGUUUGGCUUGAGGUUUGUAAAUGAGUCCGACAUAUAGGAAUUGGAAUGAAGGCCCAUUCGGCCCAUAAAACCCGAACUGUCGAUUCUCGCUGAUUCACCCACUCAAUUGCGUCAUGGUGAGCUGGUGGUUCUCCACUUCCACUGGUUUUGAAUCGAAAACAAAAACCUAAACUUCGAUCUCCUUAUACCCUCAAUAACUCCUUCCUUUAUUUAAUGCGUGAAGUCUAAGCUCAGUGAUUCGAUUUCAGUUGCUAUUGGCUAAGGACUUGUAAUUUUCCAGGAAAAGGAGGUUGUUUUCAUGAUCACAAGUCUGUUUGGAUGGAUAGAAAUGAAUUUCUUCCUGUGAUUUUCUUGCUUUUUCUGGUUGUAAAUGUUUCUGGUGGUUCAGUAGCUGGUAAGUUCCGAAAAUUGGCUGAUGCUGAGCCAAAGGAGGAUUCCACUGCAACCAAGGUAGUACUGAAAACAAUUCUCUGAUUAGAAUUGCUUAUUUUGAAGUGAAAUAAUGAUUGCGAUUCUGAGACGUAAACCAUUGUUUUUAGAUUGAUCCGCCGCCGUCUCCAGUUUCUGUUGGCAAUCAAUCGGAGCCAAAGCCGAUUGAUCCAGGCAAACUCGGGAAGGAGAAAUCUAAGGAUGCCCCAGUACCCACCACCAACUCUUCAAAAGCAGAUUCAAAAGGGAAGCAAAAAGAGAAAAAUGAUGAUAAAGCCAGUUCAGAACUGGGAACAUAUGGGACUUGUGAUGGGUUACUUGAGAAGUGCACGGACCCCAAGAAAAAGAUGAUUGCUUGCAUUCAAAGUUUUGAAAAUGGUAUUUUCUCAUGGAUUAUGGUUUUGUUGCAAUGUGGUGUUGCUUUAGGUAGAAUGAUUCUGUACUUGCAUUUAGUAUCAGUUUUAGUGAAUGGGGUCUGCAAGUCUCAUUUUGGAAAACUACUAAGAGCAAUAUCAAAUUAAAUGAACUAAAUUUUUAUUGACAAGAUUUGUUGGGUAUCAUACUGAGUUGUUAUCUAAAUACUAUUGUCUUGUCAAAACUUUUGAUAUAGAAGUAUUUCAGAUAUAGGGCUCAAGUAUUUUGUUAUAUUAGUAUGAGAAUAUGAUGGCUUAAACGCAUUGAGAAUUGAGAUAAAUGGCAGAUUCAGGGCUAGACAACUGUGGAACAUCCAUGCUGGAAUUUUAGAGCUAGCAGCUCAUUAACACUUGUACAACUUAGAGACUUUACUAUUUCAAAUGUUGAGUAUAAAGUUUGGCAGGCAUGUGUAGGAGUCUAAAUGAUGUCAGUAAAACUGUUACUGCUUCUGGUAGAACAAUUUUGGACUUCUUGGAGGUGCAUUUGCUUGGUAGCAAGCACCAUAUCUGAAAUUACUUAUUGGGUCGAAAGGUGGCAGUCAGGAAGUGCAAUUUAAAUAGAACAGCAAUUGGAUUGCAAUGUUGACAACAAAAUAAAUGGUUUAGCUUCAAGCUUUUCUAUUACAUAAUAUGGAGGAAAUCAGGAAUUCAAAAUUCCACUCUUAUUAGUGAGCGGUAACCUGGUUACUGUGGUUACCAUUCUCCCUUGUGUAUCAUUUCCACUUUUCUGCUUGUGGAGUUAGAUGCAGCAUUCUCCUGUAGUCUGAAUAGUUUCAAUGGGGAUACCGAAACAAAUGCAUUUUUAGCUAUUUUCUUUGUACUUCAUAGUUUUUUUUAUAAGCAAAAUAUUGGAAGUGGACUAUAAUUUAAAGCAUUUCAUGGUUCCUGUUUUAGAACAAUCACAGUGGAUUCUAAUCUUUAGGUGUCUAUGUUACAGCUGUCAAACAGAACUUAAUAUAUUAGUUAAAAGCACGGAUUCCUUUUUGAGAUAUUGAAUUGUGUUGAUGUUUAUUCUAUGAUAUGUUGGAUACUCCUCUAUCAACAUUUAUUGGCAUGUCAAUCACUAGUUAAAGUGUAAAUCUGUCUAUGAGGGUAAAGAGCAACUAAAGUGUAACUUUGAACACAAGUGUCUGCUUUUGGUUCGGAAACUUCAACGGGUCUACAUUUGUUUAUUUCAGAAUUGUGUGGAAGGAUAUGUGAUUGUCCUGCUUAUGUUUUGGAAGCUAUUGAUAUUUGUUUUUUGUAUUGGCCUUGAGUCCUAUCUAAAGUGCAAGAUGAUGGAGAAGGUUCCAGGUUUUAUUCCCAUUUAAAGGCCAAAUAGAAAAAACUAUAAAAAAAUUAUAUUUUUAGAUUGAUUUCUAUUGUUAUUUCACAUGCACAGCCUUAGAGGCAUGCUGAAUAUAUUCUUGUUCAUAUAAAUUUGUUCAAAUCCAUACUCAAGACUCAAACCAAUGUGAAUAUUUUUAUUUAUAUAGAUUCAUGAGUGCACAUAUGCACAAACAUAUCCUCAUCUCAAUGUUUUGAGGAGUUCUUAUCUCUGUGCUCCAAGUCCACAUGAGUGUGUGAUAGUUGUCCAUGCCUGCAUUCUUGGCUUUUAUUUCUUUCUGAGUGUUUAAGAUGUGUUAUUGGACACAUUCUUUAAUAACAUUUUGUUUCUUAUAAAGGAUUGAUGUCUCACUGGGCAUUGACUUUCUACUAAGCUAUAUCUGAUUAGGAUGGUUUCUGCAGUUCUACGUAGGAUGAGUUAGUACUUCUGAUGCUAUAUUAUUCUGUGUGGGUGCUUUUUUUGUUGUGAUAAGCUUUAGGCAUGUUUAGUCACUCAAAUUAUCUAUCUCAAAUGGCCUCAAAUAUAACCUCCUGUAUCCAUUUUUGCUACCCUUUAGUGGGCCUUGGGUUCUUUUGCCAUCUUUCGAGUAACUUGUUAUUAAGGAUUCAAGGAAGCUAAUAAAACAUCAUUUAAUGUCUUCUGCAAAUUUGGAAUGCUGUCUGAGUGUUUGUCGGUUAACUUAUUUUCUGUUAUAUUUGUUGUUUAUUGACAUGGAUUCAAUUCCCCACAGAAUAUUGUGUUGAUAUACCAUUAGUUUUACAUAUUUCUUGUCAAGGAGAGAGUUCUUCAUUGCCUUCCAUUUUCCUUUGUAACAGGAUCCAAAGCCCUCAUUGUCCAAAAUGAAGGAGAGAACACUUUGAAAGUGAAUCUUACUGUCUCGGAUUCUGUGAAAGAUGCUUUGGAGGUUCUAGUAAUACCAAAACAUCAAACUAGAAGUGUAUGGGUCCUUUCUCUUCUGCUACUUUGUCUUUUUCUUUUGAUCGUUAUGAAAGCCAUUGGAAAAAGAAUGAUGGCAUGAACCUGAAAUACAAGCCUUUCUGAUGGAACACUACUGAACUACUGUUCAUAUGAUGGUUUUUAAUCUUAGUGUAGUAUCAAAAGUGUCACCAGUUUCUAUUGCAUGCAUUAAAUAGAAACAUUGUCAAGUAAUAAUGACGAGGAAAAAUAAGCUUACAAAAAUAGUCUAUUUUUGGGUGGUUUUAUAGGAAAUCGCAUGAGAUGACAUGGUGGGGUAGUGGAGUGGGGUAUGAUUUCUUUUUUUGCUGUUUCUUGGAUGAAAUGAUAAAGCAAGGUUGAUUCAUGUGUUCAAUUUUUCAGCUUAGAUGAGAUUCAUGUUCUAGAAUUUUAACAAAUUCACUUAUUUGUGUCUUUACUGUAUUGGUGUUAGAACCAGAGAAUUGGAAAGAGGUAAUAUCUCUGAUAAGAGAAUAAAAAACACUAGGGACUUCAAUGCGCAGCUUGGUAGGGCACAAUGGAGGGGUGGUUUUGCAUAAAUCAUUGUCUGAUCCUUUUCAGUGUUCUGUUCUCAAAUAUGAGUAUUCUUGCUUUCUGUUAAUAUGGCAUAUCUAUUCCACUCCUUUUCUAGAUCAAAAUCCUCCUCUAAAAUAACCAAAUUGUUUUUAUAACUGAUAUAGAGGAUCACCUCCAGAAUUAGAUGAUUCCUAAAACUUCUUCAAAAGUAGUUUACAAUAGAGGAACUUUGGAGUCCUGGCCACGAGGACUUUGAGGAAUCAUCCAAUUUUGGAGAUGAUCCUCUAUUUCAGCUGUAGAAAUAAUUUGUUUAGAGGAGGAUUUUGGUUUUGAAAAUGAGCGGAACAGAUAUUUCAUAUGAAAAGAAAGAAAGAAUACUCCAAUUUGAGAACAAAACAGUGAAAAAAAUCAAACAAUGAUUUCAAAAAAACUUCCCUUCCUUGGGUCUUACCAAGCUAUGCACUAAAGUCCCCAAUGUUUUCUAUUUUGUAGUCAAAGAUAUUAUCUUUUUCCGUUCUAUAGCUCUGAUACAAUUCCAACAUUCCUAAAUGGAUAUAACAUAAAAACAAUUCAAAAUUAAAAUCUGAAAUACAAAAAGAAAAUAGUAGUAAGAGAAAUCUUACAUUCAAACUUAAAGAUAACUUUUGAUACAAGAAGCUCACACCAAGAAUACAAGAAGAGGUUACUUUAUAUAAGAGAGCUACAAUAAUUAAUGGGGUCCUUCAGAGAUUAGAAAAGAUAGCCUAGAUAAAAGAGAAACUAUGUGAACUUUGUCGCGUCUUGGGUAAGCAAUAAUGCUUUGGCAGAGUUGUACAUAAUCAUGUGAAUAGGGUUGAAUAUCGUCAAAAGCAACUUUUGCACAAUUGUCCCCUAUAUUCCAUUUGACAAAGACCAUGUGAAUGCACCUAAGAGCAAAUUGUGCUUUUACCAUCUAUCUAGAUUCUUUUAAUUAUCAAGAUUUGAGAUAAAUCUCCUUCAUAGAUAUCAUCCAAGUUUAUUGUGGUUCUAGAAGUAGAAAGGGAAUAUGCUAGAGAAGAGUAAUUUUUCUCUGAGUUCUUCAUAUGAUAACCCUUUCACCUUUUCUUUUCUUAAAGAGACUAGGUCUUUAUCCGUAGUGGUUGAAGAUGAACCAAUCAUUCUAAGUUUAGGCUAGAUAAGAACAACAUUAAAGAUUGAUGGUUUAAGAUAGUCAUUCAAAUUUUGGCCACUACCUAAUUGAGAUCCUUCUUUGAAGUUUAGGCAUUGUAGAAGAGAUAUCCUCCCAUUUAGCUAUCCAUGGAAUUUCCUAGAAUGUCGCAAGGUGUAGGAAGGCGUCAUCUUCAAACAGUACUCCUUGAUUUCUCUUACAAAAUUUUCUAAAGGAUUUUUGAACUUCUUUUGGGAAAAUGUCAUUAGUCAUUCCCUAAUAAAAACAACCAAUCUUUGAACCAAUUUGGAAAAUUCAUUAGUUUGUCUAGUAAUUGAAAUUGGAUGAACCAGCUAUGAGCUAUCUUAUCAUUUUGAAAUGAUAAUAUGGGAAAUAAUCCCAAACAUGAAUAUAAUUAUGGUAAUUGAGAGCUUUUGGGAAAAUAUUUUUAUUUUUGGAAUACUUAAGAUUUUCCUAGGUCAAAGCCCCAUCCCAAGGUAGAUAAAAUCUUCUUUAUCAAGACUUUAGAACAAGCAAUAUUAUGCUCAUUGCAUGAUAUUGAAAUUAUGAGUUAAUUGAAUUUAAGAUUGCUUCAUAGAAUUUUCUGUUUUUUGGAAGAAGGUUAGAAUUGAAAUGAUCUGUUAGAUAAAGCUUGGCUAAUUCAAUAACUCUCUUAUUAGAGUGUUCAUCCUCAAUAGUUAUUUCAACUUUACAAAAUUUUUCUGUUGUAGAAGGCAUAUUAGCCUCAAAGGAAGAUUCUUGCUUCCAUUCGUAAAGUGGCUUUGUUGGUCUCUUUGGAGUUCUACAAGAAUUCACGAUUGAGGAAGUCAAACAAACAAUUGGCUUCUUUAAUGUGUUAUAUGUCAAAGUCAAAGAUUGUAAGUAGGGCUUGCCAUCUAGCACAAAUUUGUUUUGAUGCUAAAUUUUUUACAUCCUUUGUUAAAACUUCUUUUGCAUUCUUGCCAUAGUUAUUAAAAACUUAUGAUACAAGAUAUGAUACAAAGAUACGAUACAUUUUUAUGGAAAUCGAUAUGUAUCACAAUCCGUAUCUUAGUAUACAUAUACAAUACACAAUAUGAUACUUGAUAUUACAAUACAAUGAUAUAUAUAUCCUCAAUUAUUUUGUAUAAUUUUUUUAAAAAAUAAAAUUAAUUUUCUUUUUGUUAAAAGAAUUCAUUAUGUUAAUUGUUUAAAAGGAGAAAUACGUAAAAUAAUCUUAUAUGAAAAGUUGCAUUCUUGUUGUCAUAUGUUAUAUCAAAAGUCAAAUAAGUUUAUCUUUAUAAUGAAUAUUGGAAAAUUUUCAUUUGAACGGUUUGAAUGUUGACAAUGAAAAUAAUAGUUAUUAGUGAAUAAAUUUUUUUACUUAAUAUAUUAGUUUUUUUUUAAUUUCUUUUCUAGUGGAAAAGUAAUGAUGAUGAACCUAAAAGCUAGAAAUUUGAAAAUGACACAUAAAGGCAUAUAUGUAACAACACCAUAGGUGCAUAUACCUAGUUAGAAUUUGGAAUUAAAAUUUAUAGCUAAAAAUUGACUAAGUUUAUUUUUGUGGAUUAUGUGAUGAGCUUAUAUAUUAAAGUUAUAUUUUGUUAAUUUGAACUUGUCAAAAUUUUAAUAUUCAAUGUUUUCAUAUGAUAAAAUAUAGUUUAACUCUUUAGAUUAUACUAUCUUCCAUAAAAUUGGUUAUCUAUUACUUUGUAAUCCAUAUUUUCAAUAGAUAUUCACACACACACACACACACACACAUAUAUAUAUAUAUAUAUAUAUAUAUAUAUAUAUAUACUCACUUUAUUAAAAAACUUACAAUACACGAUAUGAUAUGAUGCAUGAUACAAAAAAACAAAAAAAAACUAUAUACGAUAC